rnacentral:lncRNA from 1 species
CAAGGCUGAGCAGGACCUGGUUGCUAAAGGGGUCGAACUAGAGACAUUGCACUGGCCAGACCGUUCAAGGACUUGGUUCUUCGGGGUUGGGGGAACUUUGGACCCUGAAACAGGGAAGUGCUGCUGGACGGACGAGCAACUUAAAACACCCGUCAGGAAGCUUCAGAAAGCAAUCAAGGAAGUGCAGGAAGGGAAGUUCGUUCCCGAUAGAGAGAACGACGAGCUCACAAGGGCCCUCGGGAAUCCUGAGCACCCUGGACAAACUCGAGGCACGCCAGGCUCUGUUGUGUGGAAGGUUGGGUUUCCCGACGUAGGCGGUUACAAAACCCAAGAGAGGAGGAGGAAAGUGGAGCAGAGCGAACUACAGGAGCUUAAGGCAAGGGUACGGAAGCUAGAGGAACGACAAGAUGUUGAGAACCAGCAACUGCGGGAUCCUGCCCAAGAAGCUACCCCAGAAGCUACCCCGCCAUCUCAGCGGAGAAGCAGCGUGGCUUCCACCGAGCUCGUUCAGCAGCCUGACUUGACGUGUCCUAGCUACCCCAUGGAUUUUAUCACGGAUUCACACCGGUGCCACCUUAUGACGCAAUGGCAGAACCUCAAAGUCAAGGUGGUUGUCGGCUCUGUGUUCCCUCCUUCACUCGGAGCAACUUUUCACUGCCGCCCGAUUCCACAAGGCUAUGUUGUUGUGAUGGUGGACGAAAUAACGGAGGGAUUUGAGGAGCUCCAGCUUGAGCAUGGUACAGGUGAUGGAGAAACUCAGCCCGGUCUUGCUAUGAAGACUCCGUGUCUAUGGCGGAAGGAGAACAUCAACCUUCUGAACUUCAGGGCUCCGGCGAGUCAGCUAGGCACUCCGCAUCCUCCGCAUCCUCCUCCUCCUCCUCCUCCGGCGAGUAUCAGGGUACUCCGCCUCCUGCUCCGGCACGUGAGGAUGGCAGUACUCCGCCUCCUUCUCCACCUGCUCCGGUGCGUCCGAGCAGCCCGCCUCCUCCUUCGUCGCCUCGUAAGCGACAGCGCUACACAGACGCCGCUGCUCCGGCUGCUCCGGCGCGUUGUAGCAGUCCGCCUCUAGCUGCUCCGCCACUUAAGAAACGAAAGAAGACAGUUGUAGCCGCUCCGGCUGCUCCGGCGUCUAGCAGUACAUCCAAAGGCAAGAGGUAAUACAGAUACAGUCCAUCGUCUCUCAAGCCUCUAGACAAGUUACCAUACGAGAGGAGCGAUGAGGAAAACCAUAAGAUCUGUGAAGGCCAAGUGAAUAACUUCUUUCAAUCGGUAAAAGCUAAGAUACAUCCACCUCCGGUGGAGAAGAUAGAUCCGGUGAAAGCGAAGCGCACUUUGGAUGCCCUGCAGCGACCACCACCGCCUCCGCCGACUAUGACUGCAUCAUUGAAAUGACAUAUAAGGAAGCGGAGCGGUCGGGAAGUACUUGCACUGAUCAAAGGCUAGCAGAACGAAGAAAAGGGAAAACAUUCCCCAACUCGGCGAACAAGUGAAGCAAUCGUGCCCCCCCUGCUCAAUGUGUCUAGCGAUAUCGUCGCUAAUCUUUCGGGGAUGCUGCCCGGUACCAAUCUUGGAGAUUACAUGACCGACAAUGAUGCACUAAUUUUUGAAACAAUGGAGGUGGACACAUUAAGAUUAUAGCACGGGAAGCCUCUCGUCAGACCUGGUACUUCCCUAACAACAAUGAUGCGAAGAUUCAAUGAUUGGUACAUGGACAUCUACAGGAAAUCUGGGAAAAAUACUUUGACGCUCAUAGUUAAAGAGGAGCACGACCUCGUUGGAAUUGAUCUGUUGUCUGUUCCAUAUGAGGAGUUCUUCCAGUUUUUCAAUCAAAAGGCCCUCGAUAAAACAAUCAUAACUUGCUACUAUCUGUAAGUACUACUUCUAUGUAAUUAAUUAAGUCUCUCUAUAUAGCUCAGGUUUUUCAUUGCAUGUAUAUAUAAUUAUCCUCACUAUAUUAUGCAGAUUGAAGAUCGCCGAAUUGAAGAAAAAGCAAGUAGGUGAUAUUGGGUUCAUUAACAAAAAUCUCAUGGAUGAAUGGAAUGUUAAACAUGAUCCCAAAGAUACCGAGGCCAACUUACUACGAUCGUUACUUCUAAAUCAAAACAAAGCUACAAUACUCUUUCCUUAGGAAUACAAGUGAGUGUUACUGUCUUGUGCAUAUUCAGUUUCCCUUAUUACUCGAGGUUAUAGUAAUGUAAUUAAUGAGUUAUGCAUGCGUGCGCAACUUCCACUUUAUUCUGCUAGAGAUUAAGCUUGAGCAGGGACUAGUAACCAUAGACUCCAAACGAAAAAAUCCGGAGGAGUAUGCGACCAUGACUAAAAUGCUCGAGAAGUAACUUCAAUCGAUCAUUAUCGCACCAUAUCGGCAACUUUGUUCAUUUACUGAUAUCAAGUAAUUGUUUUCUUUGUCUGGCAGGGUUUGGAAAUAGUUCACCGCACAAGCUCCGGGACUGCCGGCGCAACUGCGAUUUAACCAUGAAAGUAAGUACUAGCUACUAGCUAGUUCCGCGCAUCUCCCAUUGAUUCUAGCUAGUUUCAUCAAUACCAUUUAGCAUGCUUGCUUAUCAGUUUGAUUGACCUCUAUUUCUUGUAAAGUGGUUGUGGCAGGAACCCGGGAAUGAUUUCUGUGGAUACUACAUUUGCGAGUUCAUCAGCCACACCACCUGUGAGCGGGGCUACUCUAAACAACAAUAUGAAGUGCGUAAGCAAUAAUAUUCACAAUUUUAUUUUAUUACCAUCAUUUGUGUUGAGUUUCAUUCAUAUAUAUGUAUUGACCCCCUUCUUCAAAUUAGAUGUGGCAGAUGCGGGAUGAACUCCUACCACAAGAUCGCAUACGAGCAAUACAAGAGGAAUUGGUGGGAUUCUUUCUUGACCACGUCAUCGACAAACACGGAGAAUACCAUGUGGAAGUUGAGUUCAGAUGUUAGGGGAUUUUGUAAGAGAUCUUAUAUUGUGUGUGUGUGUGUGUGUGUGUGUGUGUGUGUGUAGCCAGUAGCGUCGGAUAGAUAUACGAAAACUUGUUGUUCGACCAAUCUAUCGAAGAAGGAGAGGUCGGUCACUUCUCUAUGUGUAUAUGUUCAUGACGAUCUUCUGUACUUAAUGGUUUCCUUCAUUUUCUUACUAGCUAGCUAGCGUGUCGAGUCCUCUCUAUACUUAUAGUACGUAGCGUCGACCAAGCACGGAGAUAAGAGAGGACACUUCUCUUUAUUAGCUANNNNNNNNNNNNNNNNNNNNNNNNNNNNNNNNNNNNNNNNNNNNNNNNNNNNNNNNNNNNNNNNNNNNNNNNNNNNNNNNNNNNNNNNNNNNNNNNNNNNNNNNNNNNNNNNNNNNNNNNNNNNNNNNNNNNNNNNNNNNNNNNNNNNNNNNNNNNNNNNNNNNNNNNNNNNNNNNNNNNNNNNNNNNNNNNNNNNNNNNNNNNNNNNNNNNNNNNNNNNNNNNNNNNNNNNNNNNNNNNNNNNNNNNNNNNNNNNNNNNNNNNNNNNNNNNNNNNNNNNNNNNNNNNNNNNNNCCUAGCCCCUGAACUGCUGACGCGUGGAAGCCUUUUGGUCCCGGUUGGUGGCACCAAGAGGGACAAAAGGUCCUCCUGCCUAGGCAAGCGGCAGCGGCCACGUGGAGCCCCAUCUAUCCCGGUUCCUGGGCGAAAUGGGACUAAAGGUAUAGGGCUUUAGUACCGACCCUUUAGUCCCGGUUCGGCAACCGAGACAAAUGGCCCUCACGAACCAGGACGAAUGGGGUUUUUUCUAUUAGUGCUGGUGAUUAUUUCAUAUGGAGUCUUGUUCAAGCCUUUGCGGAGAUAGAGUCGAUUGGAUGCAUGACACACGGUGUUGAUGGCUUCGGCCCAAAAUUUGUAAGGAGACUUGAACUCCGCCAUCAUGGUCCUUGCCGCAUCCAUCAACGUCCGAUUCUUCCUCUCUGCAACACCAUUUUGUUGAGGGGUGUAUGGUGUGGAAUAUUGAUGCUUGAUCCCCUCAUCACUAAGAAACUCAUCCAAGGUGUAGUUCUUGAACUCGGUGCCGUUAUCACUUCUUAUUGUCAGGAUCUUUGCAUCGUGUUGACGUUGACCUUCAUUUGCAAUACUUUCUCUUGAAGAAAUAUACCCAAGUGUACCUUGAGUAAUCAUCAACAAUAACCAAGCAAUACUUUCUACCCCCAAGACUAUCAAAGGAUGGAGGCCCAAAGAGAUCCAUGUGAAGGAGCUCCAAGGGUCUCUUCGAGUAGAUGAUAGUCGUGGGAGGGUGAGCCUUCUCAUGUAACUUUCCUUUGAUACAAGCACUGCAAGCACGAUCUUUGGCAAAGCUAACAUUUGUUAGUUCAUGGACAUGGUCCCCCUUGAGAAGACUUUGCAAAGAUCUCAUAUUGACAUGGGCUAAACGGCGAUGCCAAACCCACCCCACAUCAACUUUAGCCAUUAGGCAUGUCGCAGUCUUAGUGGGUCACUUCGAAAAGUUAAUCACAUAAAGACCGUUCUCGACAUGCCCAACAAAGGCUACUUUAAGAGUCUUGCCCCACAAGAGGGCCAUGGUAUCAAUAUCAAAGAAUGUGGCAAAACCCAUGAGUGCAAGUUGACGAACGGAAAGUAAAUUGUAUGCAAGGGACUCAACAAGCAUGACUUUCUCGAUCGUGAGAUCAUGAGAAAUGAUAACCUUGCCAAGACCCAAUACCUUAGAAGAUGAGGCAUCACCCCACUCGACAUUGGUGGGCAUAGAUGGGAUCUUGUGUACUUCCACCACCAAGUCCUUGCUUCGGGUCAUAUGAUUUGUGGCUCCACUAUCGAGCAACCAUGACCCCCCACUGGAAGCAAACACCUACAAGAGAUCAAUGCUUGGUUUUAGGUACCCAUUUUGUAAUGAGUCCUUUGAUGUUAGUAACAAGGGUCUUAGGAACCCAAAUAGACCAUUCAAUGUACUCAUAAGGAGAACCAACAAAUUUAGCAUAAACAUGCCCAUCACUGGCACGACACAACACUAAGAAGGGUUAAAGUCGCCGGCUUUGUUGGAAGGGGUGGCAUUGCCCUUUUUGACAUCACCACCCUUCACAUUGUUAUUCUUCUCCUUAGAGUCACCCUCUCCCUCUUUCACAAAAGUUUGCUUUAGAGGAUGAGGUCGUUUGGCCUUGUCAUUCUUCUUCUUGUUCUUGGACUUGGGUGCAAACCCAACUCCUUCCUUGGCCACAACUUCCUUUUGAUUGCUCAAAAGGUCAUUGAGAUUCUUCUCACCUUGUAUGCAAGACACAAGGCCUUUAUCAAGUUGCUCCUUCAACUUGGCAUUCUCCUCCACAAGAUGCACAUGCUCACAACACGGGUUAGUAGCAUUUGCAUUCUCAAUUAAGACCAUAUGAGGAAAAGUGGCUUUCUCCUUGGUUAGCUUCACUUGGAGUUGAUCAUGAGACUCCUUGAGGCUAGCAUGAGCACCCUUCAAGGCCUUGUGAGUGUUGUCAAGUAUAUAAAACUCCUCUUUGAGUUUAGCAUGUUCAACCCCAAGUUUAGCCUUCUCGGAAUCGAGCACACGAGAUACAACAAGAGCAUGAUCAAGAUCUUUCUUUAAUUUAGCAUGGUCAUCGUUGUGUGACUCCUCAAGAGCCAAACGAUGAACACGCUCUUCCUUAAGCGCAUUAGAGAGGUCCGGUAUCUCAUCGGCAUAGUCACGACUAUGACCUUCCAUCUUAGAGAUGGUUUCUUCAUGAGCCUCGAUCGUGUCAUUGGCUUCACCAAGUUGUUCCAAGAGAGCAACAAAGUGCUUCUUGGAUUUGCCCUUGAGCUUCCUCAUAAAAGACUCAAAUUCAUUUACUUCCUCAUUAGACCCAUCACUUUCAUCAAUGCAAUCCUUCAAGGAAGGAUUAGUAAUGAUGGUAGUUUUGAUGUUGGGGGUUACCUUGUUGGUGGCUUUGGCCAUGAUGCACUUGGCGGUGAUGUUCUCGUUGGGUGAAUCGAAGAGAGACACCCGUGGAGUUGUGGCAAUGGCAACGGAGGCCAUGGCCAUGGCUUCACCAUCUUCAUCAUCAUCAUCAUCAUCCUCAUUGUAUUCUUAUUGUGCCACCAACCCUUUGGUCGGAGUCUUCUUGGUGAAGUUGUACUUGUUAGGGAAGGACUUGGCUUUGUCUUUUCAGAUGAGCUUGCCACCAUUGUGUUCCCGCUUCUCGUAAGGGCACUCCGUAACAAAGUGGAUCACAUUGCCACAAUUGUAACAUGUUCUCACACAUUGCUUGCCCUUGAAGCCACUUGAGUUGUUCUUGUUGAAAUUUGGCCUUGAGUUCUUCUUGCUCCAAAAUUGCCUUGAAGCAAGAGCCAUGUGCUCAUGAUAGUCAUAUUUUGUAUCUUCGGGGUUGCUCUCCUCAUCUUCCUCUUCAUCCUAUUCUUCUACACUAGCCUUGGCCUUCAAGGCAAGGUUGGGCUUCUUUGCUCUUUGAGAACGCAACACCGCAUUGUCGGCGGUCUUGCCCAAGAUCCUCAUUGCCACAAACUCAUCCAACACUUCACUUGAGGACAAGGUGUGGAAGUCCGGCCUUUGACGGAUGACGGAGGACAUGGCCUUGUGGUAAGGCAUCAUGGCCUUGAGGAAUUUGUGCUUGAUCCAAUUAUCAUCUAUAUCCUUGCUCCCAUGAUCUCAGAGAGAGACCACGAGAGUGGUUAAUCUCCGGUAAAUCUCACGAGCUUCCUCAUCUUCAUUCAUUGCAAACUCAUCGGCUUCAUCUUGCACCACUUCAUAGUUGGAGCAUUGAAUGCUUGCGCUGUUGGAAAUAUGCCCUAGAGCAAUAAUAAAAGGGGUUAUUAUUAUAUUUCCUUGUUCAUGAUAAUUGUCUUUUAUUCAUGCUAUAAAUGUAUUAUCCGGAAAUCGUAAUACACGUGUGAAUACAUAGACCAUAACAUGUCCCUAGUGAGCCUCUAGUUGACUAGCUCGUUGGUCAACAGAUAGUCAUGGUUUCCUGACUAUGGACAUUAGAUGUCAUUGACAAUGGGAUCACAUCAUUAGGAGAAUGAUGUGAUGGACAAGAUCCAAUCCUAAGCAUAGCACAAGAUCGUGUAGUUCGUUUUGCUAGAGCUUUUUCAAUGUCAAGUAUCUCUUCCUUAGACCAUGAGAUCGUGUAACUCCCGGAUACCGUAAGAGUGCUUUGGGUGUACCAAACAUCACAACUUAACUGGGUGACUAUAAAGGUGCACUACAGGUAUCUCCAAAAGUGUCUGUUGGGUUGACACGGAUCGAGACUGGGAUUUGUCACUCCGUAUGACGGAGAGGUAUCUCUGGGCCCACUCGGUAAUGCAUCAUCAUAAUGAGCUCAAAGUGACCAAGUGUUUGGUCACGGGAUCAUGCAUUACGGUACGAGUAAAGUGACUUGCCGGUAACGAGACUGAACGAGGUAUUGGGAUACCGACGAUCGAGUCUCGGGCAUGUAACAUACCGAUUGACGAAGGGAAUUGUAUGCGGGGUUGUUCGAAUCCUCGAGAUCGUGGCUCAUCCGAUGAGAUCAUCGAGGAGCAUGUGGGAACCAACAUGGGUAUCCAGAUCCCGCUGUUGGUUAUUGCCCGAGAGCCGUCUCGGUCAUGUCUACGUGUCUCCCGAACCCGUAGGGUCUACACACUUAAGGUUCGGUGACGCUAGGGUUGUAUGAAUAUGAGUAUGCAGCAUACUGAAUGUUGUUCGGAGUCCCGGAUGAUAUCCCGGACGUCACGAGGAGUUCCGAAAUGGUUCGUAGGUGAAGAAUUAUAUAUAGGAAGUGAUAUUUCGGCCAUCGGGAAAGUUUCGGGGUCACCCGGUAUUGUACCGGGACCACCGAAAGGGUCCCGGGGGUCCACCGGGUGGGGCCACCCAUCCUGGAGGGCCCCAAGGGCCGAAGUGGGGAGGGGAACCAGCCCUUAGUGGGCUGGUGCGCCCCCUAGGCCCACCCCCUGCGCCUAGGGUUGAAACCCUAGGGUGGGGGGGCCCCCACUUGCCUUGGGGGGUACUCCACCCCCCUUGGCCGCCGCCCCCUUGGGAGAUUGGAUCUCCUAGGGCCGCCGCCCCCCCUGGGGGCCUAUAUAAAGGGAGGGGGGAGGGGGGCAGCCGCACCCUGAAGUCCUGGCGCCCCCCCCCCCCUGCUACACCUCUUCCUCCUCCGUCACGUGCUUGGCGAAGCCCUGCCGGAGUGCUGCUGUUCCACCACCACCACGCCGUUGUGCUGCUGCUGGAGCCAUCAUCAUCAACCUCUCCUUCCCCCUUGCUGGAUCAAGACGGAGGAGACGUUAUGCUGACCGUACGUGUGUUGGACGCGGAGGUGCCGUCCGUUCAGCGCUAGGAUCUCCGGUGAAAGGAUCACGACGAGAAUGACUACUUCAACCCCGUUCUUUUGAACGCUUCCGCGCGAUCUACAAAGUGGUAUGUAGAUGCAAUAUCUCUCCCAUGACUCGUUACUUAGAUGAACUCAUAGAUGGAUCUUGGUGAAACCGUAGGAAAAAUUUUAAUUUUCUGCAACGUUCCCCAACAGUGGCAUCAUGAGCUAGGUCUAUGCGUAGUUCUCUAUUGCACGAGUAGAACACAAUUUUGUUGUGGGCGUAGAUCUUGUCAACUUGCUUGCCGCUACUAGUCUUAUCUUGCUUCAGCGGUAUUGUGGGAUGAAGCGGCCCGGACCAACCUUACACGUACGCUUACGUGAGACCAGUUCCACCGACUGACAUGCACUAGUUGCAUAAGGUGGCUGGCGGGUGUCUGUCUCUCCCACUUUAGUUGGAGCGGAUUCGAUGAAAAGGGUCCUUAUGAAGGGUAAAUAGAAGUUGACAAGAUCACGUUGUGGUUAUUCGUAGGUAAGAAAACGUUCUUGCUAGAACCCAAUUGCAGCCACGUAAAAGAUGCAACAACAAUUAGAGGAUGUCUAACUUGUUUUUGCAGUAAUUGUCAUGUGAUGUGAUAUGGCCAGAAGUUGUGAUGAAUGAUGAAUGAUAUAUUGUGAUGUAUGAGAUCAUGUUCUUGUAAUAGGAAUCACGACUUGCAUGUCGAUGAGUAUGACAACCGGCAGGAGCCAUAGGAGUUGUCUUUAUUUUUUGUAUGACCUGCGUGUCAUUGAAGAACGCCAUGUAAAUUACUUUACUUUAUUGCUAAACGCGUUAGCCAUAGAAGUAGAAGUAGUCGUUGGCGUGACAACUUCAUGAAGACACAAUGAUGGAGAUCAUGAUGAUGGAGAUCAUGGUGUCAUGCCGGUGACGAAGAUGAUCAUGGAGCCCCGAAGAUGGAGAUCGAAGGAGCUAUAUGAUAUUGGCCAUAUCAUGUCACUACUAUAUAAUUGCAUGUGAUGUUUAUUAUGUUUUAUGCAUCUUGUUUACUUAGAAUGGCGGUAGUAAAUAAGAUGAUCCCUUGUAAUAAUUUCAAGAAAGUGUUCCCCCUAACUGUGCACCGUUGCUAAAGUUCGUCGUUUCGAAGCACCACGUGAUGAUCGGGUGUGAUAGAUCCUUACGUUCACAUACAACGGGUGUAAGACAGAUUUACACAUGCAGAACACUUAGGGUUAACUUGACGAGCCUAGCAUGUACAGACAUGGCCUCGGAACACAAGAGACCGAAAGGUCGAACAUGAGUCAUAUAGAAGAUACGAUCAACAUGGAGGUGUUCACCGAUGAUGACUAGUCCGUCUCACGUGAUGAUCGGACACGGCCUAGUCGACUCGGAUCGUGUAACACUUAGAUAACUAGAGGGAUGUCUGAUCUGAGUGGGAGUUCAUUAAAUAAUUUGAUUAGAUGAACUUAAUUAUCAUGAACUUAGUCUAAAACUUUUGCAAAAUAUGUCUUGUAGAUCAAAUGGCCAACGCUCAUGUCAACAUGAACUUCAACGCGUUCCUAGAGAAAACCAAGCUGAAAGAUGAUGGCAGCAACUAUUCGGACUGGGUCCGGAACCUGAGGAUCAUCCUCAUAGCUGCCAGGAAACAAUAUGUCCUAGAAGGACCGCUAGGUGAUGCACCCGUCCCGGAGAAGCAAGACAUUAUGAAUGCUUGGCAGACUCGUGUUGAUGAUUACUCCCUCGUUCAGUGCGGCAUGCUUUACAGCUUAGAACCGGGGCUCCAAAAGCGUUUUGAGCAACACGGAGCAUAUGAGAUGUUCGAGGAGCUGAAACUAGUUUUCCAAGUUCAUGCCCGGGUCGAGAGAUAUGAAGUCUCUGACAAGUUCUAUAGUUGUAAGAUGGAGGAAAAUAGUUCUGUCAGUGAGCAUAUACUCAAAAUGUCUGGGUUGCACAACCGCCUGUCCCAGCUAGACAUUAACCUCCCGGAUGAGGCGGUCAUUGACAGAAUCCUUCAGUCGCUCCCACCAAGCUACAAGAGCUUUGUGAUGAACUACAAUAUGCAGGGGAUGGUGAAGACCAUUCCUGAAGUAUUUUCAAUGCUGAAGUCAGCAGAGGUUGAAAUCAAGAAAGAACAUCAAGUGUUGAUGGUCAAUAAGACCACUAAGUUCAAGAAGGGAAAGGGUAAGAAGUACUUCAAGAAGGACGGCAAAGAUGUUGCCGCGCCCGGUAAGCUAGUUGCCGGGAAGAAGUCAAAGAAUGGACCCAAGCCUGAAACUGAGUGCUUUUAUUGCAAGGGGAAGGGUCACUUGAAGCGGAACUGUCCCAAAUACUUAGCAGACAAGAAGGCCAGCAACACUAAAGGUAUAUUUGAUAUACAUGUAAUUGAUGUGUACCUCACCAGUACUCGUAGUAACUCCUGGGUAUUUGAUACCGGUGUCGUUGCUCACAUUUGUAACUCAUAGCAGGAGCUGCGGAAUAAGCGGAGACUGGCAAAGGACGAGGUGACGAUGCGCGUCGGGAAUGGUCCCAAGGUCGAUGCGAUCGCCGUCGGCAUGCUACCUCUACAUUUACCUACGGGAUUAGUUUUAAACCUCAAUAAUUGUUAUUUAGUUCCAAGUUUGAGCAUGAACAUUGUAUCUGGAUCUCGUUUGAUACGAGAUGGCUACUCAUUUAAAUCCGAGAAUAAUGGUUGUUCUAUUUAUAUGAGAGAUAUGUUUUAUUGUCAUGCCCCAAUGGUCAAUGGUUUAUUCUUAAUGAAUCUCGAACGUAAUGUUACACAUAUUCAUAGUGUGAAUACCAAAAGAUGUAAAGUUGAUAACGAUAGUCCCACAUACUUGUGGCACUGCCGCCUUGGUCACAUUGGUGUCAAGCGCAUGAAGAAGCUCCAUGCUGAUGGACUUUUAGAGUCUCUCGAUUAUGAAUCAUUUGACACAUGCGAACCAUGCCUCAUGGGCAAAAUGACCAAGACCCCGUUCUCCGGAACAAUGAAGUGAGCAACCAACUUGUUGGAAAUCAUACAUAUCGAUGUGUGCGGUCCAAUGAGCGUUGAGGCUCGCAGAGGAUAUCGUUAUGUUCUCACUCUCACUAAUGACUUGAGUAGAUAUGGGUAUGUCUACUUGAUGAAACACAAGUCUGAGACCUUUGAAAAGUUCAAGGAAUUUCAGAAUGAAGCAGAGAAUCAACGUGAUCGAAAGAUAAAAUUCUUACGAUCGGAUCGUGGAGGAGAAUAUUUAAGUCACGAGUUUGGUACACACUUAAGAAAAUGUGGAAUCAUUUCACAACUCACGCCGCCUGGAACACCUCAGCGUAACAGUGUGUCCGAACGUCAUAAUCGCACUCUACUGGAUAUGGUGCGAUCUAUGAUGUCUCUUACCGAUUUACCGCUAUCAUUUUGGGGAUACGCUCUAGAGACAGCUACAUUCACUUUAAAUAGGGCACCGUCUAAAUCCGUUGAGACGACACCAUAUGAAUUAUGGUUUGGGAAGAAACCUAAGCUGUUGUUUCUAAAAGUUUGGGGAUGCGAUGCUUAUGUCAAGAAACUUCAACCUGAAAAGCUUGAACCCAAGUCGGAAAAAUGCGUCUUCAUAGGAUACCCUAAAGAAACUAUUGGGUAUACCUUCUACUUAAGAUCCGAAGGCAAGAUCUUUGUUGCCAAGAACGGAUCCUUUCUGGAAAAAGAGUUUCUCUCGAAAGAAGUAAGUGGGAGGAAAGUAGAACUCAAUGAAGUACUACCUCUUGAACAGGAUAGUAGUGCAGCUCAGGAAAAUGUUCCUGUGAUGCCUACACCAACUGAAGAGGAAAACAAUGAUGAUGAUCAAGGUACUUCGGAUCAAGUUGCUACUGAACUUCGUAGGUCCACAAGGACACGUUCCGCACCAGAGUGGUACGGCAACCCUGUCCUGGAAAUCAUGUUGUUGGACAACGGUGAACCUUCGAACUAUGAAGAAGCAAUGGCGGGCCCAGAUUCCAACAAAUGGCUAGAAGCCAUGAAAUCCGAGAUAGAAUCCAUGUAUGAAAACAAAGUAUGGACUUUGACUGACUUGCCCGAUGAUCGGCGAGCGAUAGAAAACAAAUGGAUCUUUAAGAAGAAGACGGACGCGGAUGGUAAUAUCACCAUCUAUAAAGCUCGACUUGUCGCUAAGGGUUAUCGGCAAGUUCAAGGGAUUGACUAUGAUGAGACUUUCUCUCCCAUAGCGAAGCUUAAGUCCGUCCGAAUCAUGUUAGCAAUUGCCGCAUACUAUGAUUAUGAGAUAUGGCAGAUGGACGUCAAAACGGCAUUCCUUAACGGGCAUCUUAAGGAAGAACUGUAUAUGAUGUAGCCGGAGGGUUUUGUCGAUCCUAAGAAUGCUAACAAAGUAUGCAAGCUCCAGCGAUCCAUUUAUGGGCUGGUGCAAGCAUCUCGGAGUUGGAACAUUCGCUUUGAUGAGAUGAUCAAAGCAUUUGGGUUUACGCAGACUUAUGGAGAAGCCUGCGUUUACAAGAAAGUGAGUGGGAGCUCUGUAGCAUUUCUCAUAUUAUAUGUAGAUGACAUAUUUUUGAUGGGAAAUGAUAUAGAAUUCUUGGACAACAUUAAGGCCUACUUGAAUAAGUGUUUUUCAAUGAAGGACCUUGGAGAAGCUGCUUAUAUAUUAGGCAUCAAGAUCUAUAGAGAUAGAUCGAGACGCCUCAUAGGUCUUUCACAAAGCACAUACCUUGAUAAGAUUUUGAAGAAGUUCAAAAUGGAUCAGUCCAAGAAGGGGUUCUUGCCUGUAUUGCAAGGUGUGAGAUUGAGCUCGGCUCAAUGCCCGACCACGGCAAAAGAUAAAGAAGAGAUGAGUGUCAUCCCCUAUGCUUCAGCCAUAGGAUCUAUUAUGUAUGCCAUCUUGUGUACCAGACCUGAUGUAAACCUUGCCGUAAGUUUGGUAGGAAGGUACCAAAGUAAUCUCGGCAAGGAACACUGGAUAGCGGUCAAGAAUGUCCUAAAGUACCUGAAAAGGACGAAGGACAUGUUUCUCGUUUAUGGAGGUGAUGAAGAGCUCGUCGUAAAGGGUUACGUCGACGCUAGCUUCGACACAGAUCUGGAUGACUCUAAGUCACAAACCGGAUACGUGUAUAUGUUGAAUGGUGGAGUAGUAAGUUGGUGCAGCUGCAAGCAGAGCGUCGUGGAGGGAUCUACAUGUGAAGCGGAGUACAUGGCAGCCUCGGAGGCAGCGCAUGAAGCAAUUUGGGUUAAGGAGUUCAUCACCGACCUAGGAGUCAUACCCAAUGCGUCAGGGCCGAUCAAACUCUUCUGUGACAACACUGGAGCUAUUGCCCUUGCUAAGGAGCCCAGGUUUCACAAGAAGACCAGGCACAUCAAGCGUCGUUUCAACUCCAUCCGUGAAAAUGUUCAAGAUGGAGACAUAGAUAUUUGCAAAGUACAAACAGAUCUGAAUGUCGCAGAUCCGUUGACUAAACCUCUCUCGCGAGCAAAACAUGAUCAACACCAGAAAUCUAUGGGUGUUCGAUUCAUCACAAUGUAACUAGAUUAUUGACUCUAGUGCAAGUGGGAGACUGUUGGAAAUAUGCCCUAGAGGCAAUAAUAAAAGGGUUAUUAUUAUAUUUCCUUGUUCAUGAUAAUUGUCUUUUAUUCAUGCUAUAACUGUAUUAUCCGGAAAUCGUAAUACACCUGUGAAUACAUAGACCAUAACAUGUCCCUAGUGAGCCUCUAGUUGACUAGCUCGUUGGUCAACAGAUAGUCAUGGUUUCCUGACUAUGGACAUUAGAUGUCAUUGACAACGGGAUCACAUCAUUAGGAGAAUGAUGUGAUGGACAAGACCCAAUCCUAAGCAUAGCACAAGAUCGUGUAGUUCGUUUUGCUAGAGCUUUUUCAAUGUCAAGUAUCUCUUCCUUAGACCAUGAGAUCGUGUAACUCCCGGAUACCGUAAGAGUGCUUUGGGUGUACCAAACGUCACAACGUAACUGGGUGACUAUAAAGGUGCACUACAGGUAUCUCCAAAAGUGUCUGUUGGGUUGACACGGAUCGAGACUGGGAUUUGUCACUCCGUAUGACGAAGAGGUAUCUCUGGGCCCACUCGGUAAUGCAUCAUCAUAAUGAGCUCAAAGUGACCAAGUGUUUGGUCACGGGAUCAUGCAUUACAGUACGAGUAAAGUGACUUGCCGGUAACGAGACUGAACGAGGUAUUGGGAUACCGACGAUCGAGUCUCGGGCAUGUAACGUACCGAUUGACGAAGGGAAUUGUAUACGGGGUUGUUCGAAUCCUCGACAUCGUGGUUCAUCCGAUGAGAUCAUCGAGGAGCAUGUGGGAACCAACAUCCAGAUCCCGCUGUUGGUUAUUGCCCGAGAGCCGUCUCGGUCAUGUCUACGUGUCUCCCGAACCCGUAGGCUCUACACACUUAAGGUUCGGUGACGCUAGGGUUGUAUGAAUAUGAGUAUGCAGCAUACCGAAUGUUGUUCGGUGUCCCGGAUGAGAUCCCGGACGUCAUGAGGAGUUCCGGAAUGGUCCGAGGUGAAGAAUUAUAUAUAGGAAGUGAUAUUUCGGCCAUCGGGAAAGUUUCGGGGUCACCCGGUAUUGUACCGGGACCACCGGAAGGGUCACGGGGGUCCACCGGGUGGGGCCACCCAUCCCAGAGGGCCCCAAGGGCCGAAGUGGGGAGGGGAACCAGCCCUUAGUGGGCUGGUGCGCCCCCCUAGGCCCACCCCCUACGCCUAGGGUUGAAACCCUAGGGUGGGGGGGGCGCCCCACUUGCCUUGGGGGGUACUCCACCCCCCUUGGCCGCCGCCCCCUUGGGAGAUUUGAUCUCCCAGGGCUGGCGCCCCCCUGGGGGCCUAUAUAAAGGGAGGGGGGAGGGGGGCAGCCGCACCCUGAAGUCCUGGCGCCCCCCCCCCCUGCUACACCUCUUCCUCCUCCGUCACGUGCUUGGCGAAGCCCUGCCGGAGUGCUGCUGUUCCACCACCACGCCGUUGUGCUGCUGCUGGAGCCAUCAUCAUCAACCUCUCCUUCCCCCUUGCUGGAUCAAGACGGAGGAGACGUUACGCUGACCGUACGUGUGUUGAACGCGGAGGUGCCGUCCGUUCAGCGCUAGGAUCUCCGGUGAUAGGAUCACGAGGAGAACGACUACUUCAACCCCGUUCUUUUGAACGCUUCCGCGCGAUCUACAAAGUGGUAUGUAGAUGCAAUCUCUCUCCCAUGACUCGUUGCUUAGAUGAACUCAUAGAUGGAUCUUGGUGAAACCACAGGAAAAAUUUUAAUUUUCUGCAACGUUCCCCAACAUGUGAUUCCCUUGUAAAGAGAAACAACAUUGUGCCAUGCUACCUUGGCCAGGGUGGACAGACAGAGUUGUGCAAUGUCUUCGGAUGGAAUUGCGUCUUGGAUGAUGAAGAGGGCAUUCUCAUUGAAUUGAUGAUCCGCGGCUUCUCUCGGGGUAAAGUUGCUUGGGUCAUGCGGAUAGAAACCUUGCUCAAUAAUUCUCCAAGAUUAGUAUUAACAUGGUUUAAAUGACCUUUAAAGCGAUAGACCCAAGAGUCAAAAUCCUCAUUCUUCACAAUCUUAGGAGGAGAACCCACAUGAUUUAAAUGUGUGUAGGGAACUAGUCCUCCAUAAGUAAGAGGAGGUUCAACAUGGGCAAAGAUUCCGCUACCAUUUCUAUCACUAGAUAAAGGAACUUUAUCACUAGAAGCUUCCCCCCUUAUUGGAGUUGGCAUCCGCCACCUUGUUAGUGGGAGCGGCCACUUCCAAGGGUGUGGUGGAUAAUUUAAGACCAUCAAGGAACUCUUUGAACAUGCCUUUCACCUCAGUCGUCAUGGACGUUUUCAAUGUGUCCAAAACCACAUUGAAUUCCUCGCGUGAGACCGGGGAUCCCCCAUCGGCCGUAGACGAAGAAGGAUUCACACCGGGGUACUCCUCACUGUAUAUGGUGUCAACCAUACUCUUAGGACGGUAAAGCCCUUAAUUAAGAGAUGAGGCUCUGAUACCAAUUGAAAGGAUCGAUAUAGUUGACUAGAGGGGGGUGAAUAGGCAACUAAUAGUUUUUAGCUUUUCUUUACUAAACUUUGCAUCAAGGUAGGUUGUCUAGAUAUGCAACUAGGUGAGCAACCUAUAUGAUGCAACAACAAUAAGCACACAAGCAAGCAAAGGAUAUAACACAAUAAAGCUUGCACAAGUAAAGGUGAGAGAUAACCAAAAGCGGAACCGAUGGAGAUGAGGAAGUGUUACCGAAGUCCCUUCCCUUUGAGGGGAAGUACGUCUCCGUUGGAGCGGUGUGGAGGCAUAAUGCUCCCCAAGAAGCCACUAGGGCCACCGUAUUCUCCUCACGCCCUCACACAAUGCGAGAAGUCGUGAUUCCACUAUUGGUGCCCUUAGAGGCAGUGACCGAACCUUUAAAAAAGGUUGGGGCAAUCUCCACAACUGAAUUGGAGGCCCCCAAUGACACCACAAAGCUUCACCACAAUGGACUAUGGCUCCGCGGUGACCUCAAUCGUCUAUGGUGAUCAAACACCCAAGAGUAACAAGAUAUGCAAGGGAUUAGUGGGGAGGGAAUCAAAUUUCUCUUGGUGGAAGUGUAGAUCGAGGUCUUCUUAACCAAUCCCUAGAGAAUCAACAAGUUUGAUUGGCUAGGGAGGGAGAUCAGGCGAAAAUGGAGCUUAGAGCAUCAAUGGAGCUUAGAGGUGGAAGAGGUAGUCAACUCAGAGAAUAAGACUCCCCUUUUAUAGUCAAGGGACAAAUCCAACCGUUAUCCACCAACUCAUCCUGCGACACGCGGUACUACCGCAAGGGCCUGCGGUACUACCACGGAGAACUGCGGUACUACCGCUGGCACGACAGGGGCCAAGACCAGUCCUGAUGUGCUAAGGCAGGGAGCGGUAGAACCGCUGGCGCGAUACUACCGCGCCCCCUUGCGGUACUACCGCAAGGCAGGAAUAGUCUAGGCUGAGAAGGCACAGACUUAUAAAAAUACAUCUGUCACUUCUCCCAUUGAGUUUUGAUCUAUGCAAAAAUCCGACACGGUACUACCGCAAGCCUGGAUCGAUACUACCAUGUAGGGCGUGGAUGUAAAAAAUUACAUCCGCCCCUACUUCCGCUCAUGCUAUUGUGCCUGGCCAAAGCUCACGGUACUACCGCGCCCAUGGAGCGGUACUACCGCGUAGGGUGCGGAUGUAAAAAAUUACAUCCGCCCCUACUACCGCUCGAGCAGCUGCGCCUGGCCUGAGGCCACGGUACUAUCACUCCCAAGGAGCGGUACUACCAUGAGCACCUAUGGUACUACCGCGCUAGUGGCCAGUACUACCGCAAGGGCCUGCGGUACUACCGCUCCGGAGAGCAGUACUAUCGCCUACCUCAGUUCAGUAACACUAGGAGUCCUUCAUUUUGCAGAGACACGGAGAGACGGAGGAUGCUCCAAAGAUCCAAAGGAAAGGUGGUGCAAAAAGGAACAGACGUGAACGUGUUGAUUCCACCCAAACCUUUCCAACGCGGACCCCCUCUUAAUAGUACGGCUUUCCUACGACUCAAAUCCACUGAAAAGAAACAUAGAGAAACGCCGUCUUCAAUAGUAUUCGAGGGGCACCAAAUCGUCUUGUGCUUAGACAUGAUAUAUCUGAAAUGCUCAUAUGCACACGAUUAGUCCGCAAAAGCAUUGUCAUCAAUCACCAAAACUACUAAGAGAUAAAUAUGCCCUUACAACCUUGCAUCUUUUGGCUUCAAUACUAUGAAUAUGUGUAUCAUCACUAUCGAGAUUCAACAAAAAUAGACCACUUAACAAGGGUGCAUGACUAUAAAAGAUAUUACUCAUAUAAAUAGAACAACCAUUAUUCUCUGAUUCAAAUGAAUAACAGUCUCGCAUCAAAUAAGAUCCAGAUAUGAUGUUCAUGCUCAACGCUGGCACCAAAUAAAAAUUAUUCAGGUCUAAAACUAAUCCCGAUUCCCGAAGGUAGAUGUAGAGGUAGCGUGCCGACUGCGAUCACAUCGACUUUGGAACCAUUUCCCACGUGCAUCGUCACCUCGUCCUUAGCCAAUCUUCUCUUAAUCCGUAGCCCCUAUUUCGAGUUGAAAAUAUGAGCAACAGAACCAGUAUCAAAUACACAAGCGCUACUGCGAGCAUUAGUUAAGUACACAUCAAUAACAUGUAUAUCAAAUAUACCUUUCACUUUGCCAUCCUUCUUACCCGCCAAAAACUUGGGGUAGUUUCACUUCCAGUGACCAGUCCCUUUGAAGUAGAAGCACUCAGUUUCAGGCUUAGGUCCAGACUUGGGUUUCUUCUCUUGAGCAGCAACCUUUUUGCCGUUCUUCUUGAAGUUCCCCUUCUUUCCUUUGCCCUUUUUCUUGAAACUAGUGGUCUUGUUGACCAUCAACACUUGAUGCUCCUUUUUCAUUUUUACCUCCGCAGCCUUGUUCAUCCCUUGCAUAUUAUAGUUCAUCAUGAAGCCUUUAUAGCUUGGUGGCAGUGAUUGAAGAACUCUGUUAAUGACACUAUCAUCAGGAAGAUUAACUCCCAGUUGAGUCAAGUGGUUAUGGUACCCAAACAUUCUGAGUAUGUGUUCACUGACAGAAUUAUUCUCCUCCAUUUUGCAGCUGUAGAACUUGUUGGAGACUUCAUAUCUCUCAACUCGGGAAUUUGCUUGAAAUAUUAACUUCAACUCUUCGAACAUCUCAUAUGCUCCAUGACGUUCAAAAUGUCUUUGAAGUCCCGAUUCUAAGUUGUAAAGCAUGGCACACUAAACUAUCGAGUAGUCAUCAACACGCGCAUGUCAGGCAUUCACAAUGUCUGCAGUUGUGGGCGCGGGUGGUACACCUAACCGUGCUUCCAGGACAUAAUUCUUCUGUGCGGCAAUGAGGAUAAUCCUCAAGUUACGGACCCGGUCCGUGUAGUUGCUGCCAUCAUCUUUCAACUUAGCUUUCUCUAGGAACGCAUUAAAAUUCAAAGGAACGGUAGCAGAGGCCAUUGAUCUACAACAACAUAGUCAUGCAAAAUACUAUCAGGUACUAAGUUCAUGAUAAAUUAAAGUUCAGUUAAUCAUAUUACUUAAGAACUCCCACUUAGAUAGACAUCCCUCUGAUCAUCUAAGUGAUCACGUGAUCCAAAUCAACUAAACCAUGUUCGGUCAACACGUGAGAUGGAGUAGUUUUCAAUGGUGAAAAUCACUAUGUUGAUCAUAUCUACUAUAUGAUUCACGCUCGACCUUUCGGUCUCAGUGUUCCGAGGCCAUAUCUACAUAUGCUAGGUUCGUCAAGUUUAACCCGAGUAUUCUAUGUGUGCAAAACUGGCUUGCACCCGUUGUAUGUGAACGUAGAGCUUAUCAAACCUGAUCAUCACGUGGUGUCUCGGCACGACAAACUGUAGCAACGGUGCAUACUCAGGGAGAACACUUGUACCUUGAAAUUUAGUAAGGGAUCAUCUUAUAAUGCUACCGUCGUACUAAGCAAAAUAAGAUGCAUAAAAGAUAAACAUCACAUGCAAUCAAAAUAUGUGACAUGAUAUGGCCAUCAUCAUCUUGUGCUCAUGAUCUCCAUCACCGAAGCAUCGUCAUGAUCUCCAUCGUCACCGGCGCGACACCUUGAUUUCCAUUGUAUCAUCAUUGUCGUCUUGCCAACUAUUGUUACCACGACUAUCGCUAUCGUUUAGUGAUAAAGUAAAACAAUUGCAUGGCAAUUGCAUUGCAUACAAUAAAGCGACAACCAUAUGGCUCCUGCCAGUUGCUAAUAACUUUUUUCUAAAACAUGAUCAUCUCAUACAACAAUUUAUAUCACAUCAUGCCUUGACCAUAUCACAUCACAGCAAGCCCUGCAAAAACAAGUUAGACGUACUCUACUUUGUUGUUGCAAGUUUCACAUGGCUGCUACGGGCUUCUAGCAAGAACCGUUCUUACCUACGCAUCAAAACCACAACGAUUUUUUGUCAAGUGUGCUGUUUUAACCUUCAACAAGGGCCGGGCGUAUCCAACCUCGGUUCAAGUAAAGUUGGAGAAACAGACACUCACUAGCCACCUGUGUGCGAAGCACGUCGGUAGAACCAGUCUCGUGUAAGCGUACGCGUAAUGUCGGUCUGAGCCGCUUCAUCCAACAAUACCGCCGAAUCAAAGUAUGACAUGCUAGUAAGCAGUAUGACUAUUAUCGCCCACAACUCUUUGUGUUCUACUCGUGCAUCUAACAUCUACGCAUAGACCUGACUCGGAUGCCUCUGUUGGGGAACGCAGUAAUUUCAAAAAAAAUCCUACGAACACGCAAGAUCUAUCUAGGUGAUGCAUAGCAACGAGAGGGGAUAGUGUUGUCUGCAUACCCUCGUAGACCGAAAGUGGAAGCGUUAUGACAACGCGAUUGAUGUAGUCGUACGUCUUCAUGAUCCGACCGAUCCUAGCACCGAAGAUACGGCACCUCUGCGAUCUGCACACGUUCAGCUCGGUGACGACCCACGAACUCUAGAUCCAGCUGAGGUCGAGGAAGAGUUUCAUCAGCACGAUGGCGUGGUGACGGUGAUUAUGAAGUUACCGGCGCAGGGCUUCGCCUAAGCACUACGACUAUAUGACCGAGGUGGAAAUCUGUGGAGGGGGGCACCGCACACGGCUAAAAGAUCAACUUGAUCAACUAGUGUGUCUAUAGGGUGCCCCCAUCCCCCGUAUAUAAAGGAGUGGAGGAGGGGAGGGCCGGCCCUCUUUGGCGUACCCAAGGGGGGGAGUCCUACUCCCAGUAGGAGUAGGUUUCCCCCCUUCCCUAGUUGGAGUAGGAGAAGAAGGAAGAGGGAGAGGGAGAGAAGGAAAGGAGGGCCGGCCCCCUUCCCAAUUCGGAUUGGGCUUGGAGGAGGGGGGCGCUCCCACCUUGGUCGCCUCCUCCUCUCUUCCACCAUGGCCCAUUAAGGCCCAUUAACUCCCCGGGGGGUUCCGGUAACCUCCCGAUACUCCGAAAAAAUGCCCGAACCACCCGGAACCUUUCUGGUGUCCAAACAUAGCCUUCCAAUAUAUCAAUCUUUAUGUAUCGACCAUUUCGAGACUCCUCGUCAUGUCCGUGAUCACAUCUGGGACUCUGAGCAACCUACAGUACAUCAUAUCACAUAAACUCAUAAUACCAAUCGUCAUCGAACGUUAAGCGUGCGGACCCUACGGGUUCGAGAACUAUGUAGACAUGACCGAGACACAUCUCCGACCAAUAACCAAUAGCGGAACCUGGAUGCUCAUGUUGGUUCCUACAUAUUCUACGAAGAUCUUUAUCGAUCAAACUGCAUAACAACAUAUGUUGUUCCCUUUGUCGUCGGUAUGUUACUUGCCCGAGAUUCGAUCACCGGUAUCAUCAUACCUAGUUCAAUCUCGCUACUGGCAAGUCUCUAUACUCAUUAUGUAAUACUACAUCUCGCAACUAACUCAUUAGUUACAAUGCUUGCAAGGUUUAUAGUGAUGAGUAUUACCGAGAGGGCCCAGAGAUACAUCUCUGAAACACGGAGUGACAAAUCAUAAUCUCGAUCUAUGCCAACCCAACAAACACCUUCGGAGACACCUGUAGAGCACCUUUAUAAUCACCCAUUUAUAUUGUGACGUCUGGUAGCACACAAAGUGUUCCUCCGGUAUUCGGGAGUUGCAUAAUCUCAUAGUCUGAGAAACUUGUAUAAGUCAUGAAGAAAGCAGUAGCAAUAAAACUGACACGAUCAUAAUGCUAAGCUAACGGAUGGGUCAUGUCCAUCACAUCAUUCUCCUAAUGAUGUGAUCCCGUUCAUCAAAUGACAACACAUGUAUAUGGUUAGGAAACAUAACCAUCUUUUGAUUAACGAGCUAGUCAAGUAGAGGCAUACUAGGGACUAUGUGUUUUGUCUAUGUAUUCACACAUGUACUAAGUUUCCGGUUAAUACAAUUCUAGCAUGAAUAAUAAACAUUUAUCAUGAAAUAAGGAAAUGAAUAAUAACUUUAUUAUUGCCUCUAGGGCAUAUCCUUCAUAUAAGAGUUCCCGAACUCAACAUCUUCGCUCUUUCUUAACUGUCUACCUGAAACUUGAAGGAAUUUCACCAUUGCCCUAAGUCAAAUUGGCAGUUGUCUUAACCUAUUUUCCAGAUAAUAUUUUACAUGCCCAUAGCUAUAACACUUUGCCCCCUUUUGCCCUUGCUAUCCACAUUUUCCAUGUGCACCUAACAUCAUAGAAUAUAUGACCAUGUGCUCUUCAAGCUUUUCACAAUUUAGACUUUCCAUCACUUUCUUAGAUUCUCCAUGGUCAACUCUCGUCCAUCUCCCGGUACCGAUAAACCUAGUCAACAGCUUGAAUUUGGUACUCGCCAACACUGCAUCAGCACCCUCCGCACACUUUUUCUGACCAUCAGUGCCUUGGUCUAUUACCGUGUCCCAUGCUUAUCGCUCACCCCAUCGCUAUUACCGUGUUGAGCCUCUACUGUCCCGGCUAAGUCUCCAGGGCCGCGAACCAAUACCACUCAACCCUCAGUACGAGAGAACCAUCGAUCAUUAUCGACCGAUGCAAAGUUUCACAUUUCCAUCAGACCACUAGGCCCUAUCGAAACUACAUGUCAUUCGCUUUAUCUGGUGAAAUAGGCUUCGACUCGUCGAGCUCUUACGUCGUAGCUCCUCCAUCAGCACCGAGUGAAAUCUUCUGUUAGACUCCAACUCCACCUUCAACAUGACUCCAUGGUAGAUGACCAGCCCACCCACGGGCCCCCGUCGACUACAAGCUCCCAUGUAGACCAUCUUGAAUCAACCCUGUGCCAUAGUCUUGUUAAAGCACACAAGUCCUCGGGCAUGUGGCACGUGUUUCCAUGCCUCAAAAGUCGGUCACCAUCGACAUCACACUCAUAUGUCAUUGUCGUUGAAAUCAUUGCCAUCUUCUAUUCUGUCCAACCUUGCAUCGAUUCGUAAGAAUGUCUAGUCCAGCCCAAUAGAAAUUGUCCGACAAGCAAACUCCACCUCACGCCGUAUCAGCAUACCACAUCAACAUACAUUGCUCGACGACAUGUACAGUAUGAUCCUCCACAACACGUUACAGGCUCCUCCAAACCUUAAAUGUGCAUCACCAUCCUCUCUAUAUGUGCUCCAAGCCCCUUUGCAAAUCGGAACAAAAGAAAAGAAAACCAUCUGUACGGAUGCGGCAAUUUGGCUCCAGGGGUCAGAUGAGCGCGGGCAUAAACAGUAAAAUUGCUAAAAAUAGUAAAAAAAAACUGAAAAUUUUGCAAGCAAGAUGCUCAAAUGCGUGAUCUCCAUGAAAUUGAUAAAGUUUGGACAUUCGAGGAGAUCUUAGCAAAAAAGAUAAAUUUCGGGUGUCUGAGAAACUUUUAAAAAUCACAUUGUUUAAGCCCAAUUUUGUCUUUUUGCCCUGAGCUCUACAAAUGUCCAAACUUUCAAAAAAAACACGGGUUUCACGCAUAGGAGCGUCUUGCACCACAAAAAAAAUUUGGAUUUUUUUAUUAUUCUUUACAUUUUAUUUCUCAUAGGGUGCAUAUGAGGUCGGGUUCCGGAUAGAAUUGCCGUGCAUGUACACAAUUUCUUCUUGUCCAUCAGUUGCGCCAGCUUCACGUACAUCCAUGUAUCUUUUUCCCGAAUUCCCUAUACAACGCUCACUGCAAUGUAAUGUGGCUAAAACACACACGGAGGCGCGAGCGAGUGACUGAGUGGGCCUGCCCAUUUUCUUAGCAUAGUGUUUAUUUGUACAGUUUUUGUACCGGUUUUUGGGACCAUUCUAGAAGGUUUCUGAACCUUCUUUUCUUUUCGUUUCUUUUACUAGUUUUCUGAAUAUUCUUUCUUUUCUCUUUCGUUGUUUCUGGAUUUUUUUCAUAAAUUAAUAUUUAAAAAAUGUUUGGAAUUUCAUUUUCCCUUUUUUAUUUCAUAAAUCUCAAAAAAUGUUCCCGUUAAAAAAACAGUUUUUCAAAAAAAUGUUCAUGGUCAUUAAUUUUUUGUUUAUGUUUUUUCUAUUCAACAUUUUCAAAAAAUGUUCAAAAUUAAAAAAACACAAAUUUAAAACAUUUUUCACAUUUUAAGAAAAGUUGCACUUAAAAUAUGCUUGAUCUACCACCAAAGAUAAUUCUUUAGAGUUUCACGGUGCUUACCAAUCAUAAAUACCAUCAUCUCCGGUGGCUGGCAACAGGAAUUAGGUAGUGAGAGGUCACGAGUUUACCCCUUGUGAUGGACCUUCAAGGGUCACUUUUGGUGGCCUAGAGCAGUGGCGGAGCUUAGUGGAGACCAACAGGGGCCAUGCCCCCCCCCCCUUAUUUUUUGCAUCCAUUGAAGAACAAGCUACAUCAUGAGCCUAAUUAGUGUUUAAACUACAAAUUAGCCCCUCCUUCCCUAUUAACUUGGUUCCUUUUGACUAAUGGCCCCCUCUUGAAUUAUUCUCAAGCUCCGCCACUGGCCUAGAGCACCCAAAGUGGUGCCUCCAGCCGUUACCACAUGUCAUGUGCUUGACGCUGCCUUUGGAUUUAUUUUUUAUUUUUCUGUAUGCGUUUCUGGUUUUUUGAUGGAUUUUUUUUACUUUUCUAUUUUCGCAUGGUUUUCCCUAGGUCUCGGAGAAAUGUAUUUUUUUCGUGGAAAAAAUAAGCUUAUCGUGGAGGCAUAUAUUUACUUCGAUGAACUGCGGUAAGCAUGGCGCAAUGGUGCUUCUUGUGCAAUCACAUAUUUUUUUUCCUUUCGGAAAUGAUAAAAAGUGAAAAACACGCAAUGGUGCUUCCUGCUCCGGGUUUUUCUUUGUCAUUCGAUUUUUACAGUUGCCUUUUUAUAUCNNNNNNNNNNNNNNNNNNNNNNNNNNNNNNNNNNNNNNNNNNNNNNNNNNNNNNNNNNNNNNNNNNNNNNNNNNNNNNNNNNNNNNNNNNNNNNNNNNNNNNNNNNNNNNNNNNNNNNNNNNNNNNNNNNNNNNNNNNNNNNNNNNNNNNNNNNNNNNNNNNNNNNNNNNNNNNNNNNNNNNNNNNNNNNNNNNNNNNNNNNNNNNNNNNNNNNNNNNNNNNNNNNNNNNNNNNNNNNNNNNNNNNNNNNNNNNNNNNNNNNNNNNNNNNNNNNNNNNNNNNNNNNNNNNNNNNNNNNNNNNNNNNNNNNNNNNNNNNNNNNNNNNNNNNNNNNNNNNNNNNNNNNNNNNNNNNNNNNNNNNNNNNNNNNNNUGCAGAAAAGUACGAUAUUUAGACGCACGGUUUAAGAUAAAACAUUUUGGAUAAAUGAAUCUAUGAAAAAGAAAAAAAUCCCAGUUGUGACAAGUGGUGCACAUGCAGUGCGCUACUUGUCAGCACCUGAGAAGGUGGGAGCGACCUUUGCCAGGGGUAAGUAAGUGAUUUCGGCAAUAUAGCAUCGCACGCUUGGCUACCAAUGGGCCGACCCAGUCGGGUUGUUGUCCCCAAAUGCGGUGCACGACAAUCGGAUGGAACGCGUGGGCGCGCUUAUGUCUCGCUUAUAGCAAGACAUAUGGCUGUCACGCGUGAAGAAGGCGCCAGAUUGGGCCGGCCCAGCACGCGGGAGGCCACAUGCCGUAAAAGCACUGGCUUUCACUAUUUUUUCAUUUUUAUUUCUUUAUUUAAUUUUAAUAUACUUCCAAAUAUUCUAAAUAUAUAUAUUUCAAAAAUCACUUUACAUAAUUGUUUUCUAAAAUGUUAAUCAUGCUUUAGGAAAAUGUUAGAUGAGUAUAGAGAAAUAUUGUUGAUGUAUAAAAAAAUGUAUAAUGUGUAUGAAGAAAAGUAAACGUAAAAAUAUAAGUGUUCAAAAAUAUUAUUCAUAUGUUUGGAAAUGGUUAAACAUGUAUAUAAAAUAUUUUUGAUGUACACAAAAAUAUAUGUUGUGUACGGAAAUAGUAGAUACCAAAAUGUAUAUUUUNNNNNNNNNNNNNNNNNNNNNNNNNNNNNNNNNNNNNNNNNNNNNNNNNNNNNNNNNNNNNNNNNNNNNNNNNNNNNNNNNNNNNNNNNNNNNNNNNNNNNNNNNNNNNNNNNNNNNNNNNNNNNNNNNNNNNNNNNNNNNNNNNNNNNNNNNNNNNNNNNNNNNNNNNNNNNNNNNNNNNNNNNNNNNNNNNNNNNNNNNNNNNNNNNNNNNNNNNNNNNNNNNNNNNNNNNNNNNNNNNNNNNNNNNNNNNNNNNNNNNNNNNNNNNNNNNNNNNNNNNNNNNNNNNNNNNNNNNNNNNNNNNNNNNNNNNNNNNNNNNNNNNNNNNNNNNNNNNNNNNNNNNNNNNNNNNNNNNNNNNNNNNNNNNNNNNNNNNNNNNNNNNNNNNNNNNNNNNNNNNNNNNNNNNNNNNNNNNNNNNNNNNNNNNNNNNNNNNNNNNNNNNNNNNNNNNNNNNNNNNNNNNNNNNNNNNNNNNCUGAAGAAAAAUGAGAAAGAAAAGAAGAACUGUUAAAAACAAGAAAGAGACAAAAAAUCAAAUAAAACAAAGGGAAAAAAAAGAAAACCAAGUAUAACAAAGAAAAAAGAAAUGCCGAUGAAAGACGGUGAAGAAAUAAGAAGAUCAAACAAGCAUCCCGUCGUCUGGAGGCUGCAGUAUGGAGCAUCAGAGUUCGUUGCUCCUUGGAAAAGGAUUGAUGCAUGAAUUACCAGCUUGAUUCCACGGAUAUGCUCAAAUCAUCGCUUCCUGAGUUGAAGGUCGACGGUAGUAUCACCGCCCCAACCUGAGCCUGCAAGAUGAUGACAUUGUUUAGUUCCUCACAAAAAUUGACUACCAUGCCAGCGAUCAUACGACAUUGGUGCUUGCUGUUGACAUGGAGUAUUUAACAAAAAACUAUCACAUUUCACGGAAACGUGUCGAAAAACUACCACUUUACGAUUUUGUGCGAAAAACUAUCACUUUUUUCCUAAUCCGUGGCAAAAAACUACCAAGUCGCGAAAUCGCUCGCUUCGCCCACGCUAAGCACAAAUCUGACCGCUUGGGCCCACGAACCUGGUGCCACCGUGGCCAUCCUUCGCGCCGGAGUUCACGGAAGCUUCCCCGCUCUCCGGUCACCGCCAGCACACCAUGUUCCCGCUCGCCGCCGCAAGGGCCUGCCUUUCCUCCCCGGCGCCGCCGCCGAGACCCCAAACCCGAGCGGCGCCUCUCUUCCCCCUUCACCGUCGCCGCUCCACCACCACGCAGCCCAGACCCGCCAGGAUCCCCCUCCUCCGCCCGCUCGGGGCCGCAGCGGGCGCCGGCGCGCCGGGAGCGUCCUCACGGCCCGUGAGGGACCGCGUGAUCAACUUCGGCAGGCACAAGGGCUAGAUGAUGGGCACGCUGCCGCCGUCCUACCUGCGCUGGGUGGUCGCGGAGCUCGAGUGCGGGGACACACUAGUCUGGGCGCGCCUGGCACACGAGGUGCUCGACGACCCCAUCUACGUCGACCGUGUCGAGUGGGAGCACGCGCACCGCUUUCUCCGCGGCGACUCCAAGUUUGACUACGUCUACGAUGACGACGACGGCGACGAGCCCCUCCAGGAGAUGACCGAGCGCUUCGGCUGGGAUCUCUCCAACGAGGACGGCUGGGGCCGCCUCGACUUCCGCCUCCUCGGCACCUCCUAUGGCGGACGCAUCCCGAGGAAGGCCGACCAGCGUCAGAGCACCGGCAGCAACAAACCCCCCGCGGCGGUGGCGCCCUGUUCGAUACCGGGGCGGCUGACCCGGACGGGCCGAGGAGGAAGAGGGACGAGAGGAGGGAGCGGAUGCGGACGAGGAGGGAAGAGCAGGUGAGGACGACGAAACUGGAUGUGCUCGGCGUGAACUCCGGCGCGAAGGAUGGCAACGGUGGCACCUGGUUCGUGGGCCUAACCAGUCAGAUUUGUGCUUAGCGCGGGCGAAGCGAGCGAUUUUGCGACUUGGUAUGCCACGGAUUAGAAAAAAGUGGUAGUUUUUCGCACAAAAUCGUAAAGUGAUAGUUUUUUCGACACGUUUUCGUGAAAUGUCAUAGUUUUUGGUUAAAUACCCGUUGACAUGAGGAACAAGACUGUUUAAAAAGUGGGUGAGUACAACGCCAAGAGAACUCUUGGUAUAGGCAGGGGCUAUGAUGCAAGUAGGAUCUCCAAAUACUCCCUCCACCCUGAAAUAAGUGUCGUGGUUUGAACUAAAACCACGACACUUAUUUUGGGAAGGAGGGAGUACAUCUGAAUAAGGUAGCUAGGGAUGUGGUAGCUAGUUUGUGAGCGAUAAGAUGCAGCUUGGGUUGGAACCAUAGCCAGCAGGACACGGAUGAAAGUAGCAGAUGGUGCCAAUAAUUAAGCUCGUAUGUGAACUUUGUAUAUAGGAGAGGUUGAAGAAACGUCCUUUUUGUAUUUGAGGAUACUCUUUUCUUUUACUGUUUGUGCUUGGCGCUGUAAAAGCACAGGCCCUACAUACGUAGAAGAACUAAAAUCUAGGCAAAAUAAAAAACAUAUUAAGAUUCAUAUAUACUAGUUUCAAUUUUCGCUAAGAAUCCAGCCUUGCUAAUCUUAACUAUAUAUUCAUCGGCAACCUUCUCCAAAAGGAAUCAUUUUCAAUUGUUAUCAUAGUUAGUUCGUAUGUUAAAAAACAGUUUGUAUCCACCCACGUGAAACUAGCAAUCCACCGUGCGAUAAAUAGCGACUAAUAAUAGUAAUAAUUUUUUGUAAGGACAAAUAGCAACAUAUUAAAUGUAUCAUUUAUACUCUCGUUAGUGAAAUUUACUCUGAAUUCUUACUUUGCACGCAAUUAUUAUUUGUACUAUGCACUCAAAAUAAGCAAGUUCAAUGUCAUCUAGAAUGUAAACUUUUAAUCCUUCGACUUAACAAGGGAGACGCAUGCAGCUAAAAGAAAACUAGUGUGAGAGACAGGUGUGAGAAUUUACGGGAAGAGAAUUGAAUACUCGUGAGUAGAGUGUAUUUUGUACUGGACACUACUACUUCAUCUACUAACGUUAGCACAAAAACACAUGGUUCCAUUGAGUUUUUUUUUUUAGAAAACGACGAUAUACUCCGGCCUUUGCAUCUGGACGAUGCAUGCAACCAUUUUAUUAAUUAUUCACAGUGACCUUACAAAGUUGUACAUGAGUAAGCUUGAAACCACCAUCUUGGCAACAACUGUCACAACUCCUAUCCCCUUAAUGAAGGGUGUUGAAUGUCCGAGUCUAAUACCAAACAGACAUCGCACUGAAGCCUAACAUCUAAAGCCGGAUGCCCUAGCCCAGCCACAAUACCGGGACUAGGUCACACGCCGUUCUGGCGCAAUAUCAGAGGCCGCCGCCGCCGUCUUCCACGGUUCCACCUUGUAAGAAAAUAGGUUUGGGGGAACCGGCACAAUCCUCUAGGGGUGGCCUAUCACACAUAUAUAUAAUGAGGUGGUAUACAACGUUAUAAUAUACACAUGUAAAUACAGAAGCUAUACAGUCUAACACCCUCCCUCAAUGUUAGCCACUUCCUAAAGAAUCUAGAAGGGUAAGAUUGCGCCUGCAAACCUCAAACUGUGGUAAAGGCAAUGGCUUGGUGAAGAUAUCUGCAAGUUGAUCCUUGGAAGAGAUGAACUUGAUCUGUAGUUGCUUCUGAGAGACAUGUUCACGCACAAAGUGAUAGUCAACUUCAAUGUGUUUCGUUCGGGUAUGGAAUAACGGAUUUACAGAGAGGUAUGUAGCACCGAUGUUAUCACACCAAAGGACACGAGACUAUGGUUGGGAUAUACACAAUUCCCGAAGCAAAGACUGUACCCAGAUAAUCUCUGAAGUGGCAUUGGCCACAGCUUUAUACUCAACUUCAGUACUGCUAUGUGAGACAUUGGCCUGUUUUCGAGCACUCCAGGCGAUCAGAUUAGAGCCAAAGAACACAGCAUAACCCCCCGUGGAUUGCCUGUCAUCCGGAUUGCCAGCCCAAUCUGCAUCAGAAUAUGCUGAGAGACAUCCAUAGGAGGUCGGUCGAAUAUGCAAUCCAUGAGCCACCGUGAAUCGAAUGUAGCGCAAGAUACGCUUAAUAGCAGACCAAUGAAUAUCACGGGGUGACUGCAGAUACUGGCAGACUCGGUUAACAGCAAAGGAAAUGUCCGGUCAUGUGAUCGUCAAGUACUGAAGACCACCAACAAUACUCCUGUACUCCGUCGCACCAGCAGAAGACAGAAGCGCACCAUCAACAGCAGUGAGCUUGUCAGUGGUAGACAUGGGUGUAGUUGUCGGUUUGCACUUAAGCAUCCCAGCGCGCUGCAACAAAUCCAAGGAGUACUUUUUCUGCGUCAUAACAAGACCAUCAGCCUGAGAAGUAACCUCCACACCAAGGAAGUAGUGAAGCUUCCCAAGGUCCUUGACCGCAAAAUCACCACCAAGCGAGCGAACAAGAGCAGUAGCAGCCGACUGAGAGGAGCUGACCAAAAUAAUAUCAUCCAUAUAGACCAACAUGUAUGUAGUAACCUCAGGCCUCUGUAGAAGAAAUAGUGAGGAGCCAGCAAUUGAUGAUGCAAAACCAUGAGCGCGAAGGGCCAUUGCAAGACGAGCAUGCCAAGCACGAGGAGCCUGCUUCAGACCAUAAAGUGCCUUGGACAGACGACAGAGAUGAUCAGGACGACCCGGAUCAGAAAAACCCAGAGGUUGGCGCAUAUAGACCUCCUCCUCCAACACACAAUGGAGGAAGGAAUUUUGAACAUCAAGCUGACGAAGAAACCAACCUCGAGUAACGGCAAGAGAGAGAAGAAGCCUGAUGGUAGUAGGCUUGACCACUGGACUGAAGGUGUCUUCAUAGUCAAGACCAAAACGCCGUCGAAAACCACGAGCAACAAGACGAGCUUUGUAGCGCUCAAUGGACCCAUCAGAAUGCCUCUUCACUUUGAAAACCCAUUUAGAAUCAAUGACAUUAACCCGUGAUGGUGGAGGAACAAGAGUCCAUGUCUGAUUGCGAACGAGAGCUUGAUACUCCUGCUCCAUGGCCUCUCUCCAAUGAGGAAUGCGCACUGCAGUUUGAUACGUGCGCGGCUCGGAGGAGGGAUCUGUAAGGGCAGCAGUCAUGCAUGCAGCUAACGAGGCAACUGUACCAUCGGUACGUUGCUUAGGCUGAAAGAUGCCACUCCGGCUGCGCGUAUGUGGACGGGAAGCAGCAGCAGGAGCCAGCAAAGUCGAGGGCGACGGGGGCGUCACGGUCGGCGCAGGACCAGGCGAUGCCUCAGAGGAGCCGAUACCAGACGGCUCCGGGCUGCAUGGGGCCGAAGCCAGCCCGGACGAAGCCAGCCCCGAUGGCGAUGGCCCAGACGCCAUGGGCGAGAUGACGGCGGGCGAGGCCAGCCCCGAUAGCGAUGGCCUAGACGCCAUGGCCGAGACGGGGGCAGGUGAGGCCGGCCCAGUCGCCGUUGGUGACGAGGCGGGAGCGGGCGAGGCCAGCCCAGACGCCGUUGGUGUGACCGGGGUCCCAGGCCGCAGCUGCGGCGAUGCCGGCCCAGAGGCUAGAGGCGACGAUGCGGGCGACAGAACUGGGGCAUCGAUCGGCCGUGCAUGGGCACGGGGACCGAGGCCAUGCAAUGGCGCCAUGUGAUCGUCGUGCACAGCUGAAGGUGCCGACAAGGAAGGCGAUGGCAAUGAAGGAGGCGAUGGUGCCUCUAAGAUCUCCAAACGAGCCCCACGACCAGUGCCUGCACCAUGAUUAGGCAAGAAUAGAGGAGAAUAUGCAACAUCAUCAAAUUGGCCAGAAGAAACAGAGGGUGAAUGCAUGGGUGGUGGUUCGGCGGUGGACACAGGCAGUGGCGGAGCCACCGCCCAGCGACCCUGGCCACUUGCCCGGGCUCGCUGGUUGGUAACAGUAGUGAUCGACAGAUUAAAUAAAGGGCUAAAAACGAUCACUAACUUGCUUUACCCGGGCAAAAAACAUUGGGCUUCAUUUCUGAAAAGUUCAUAGCCCAACAAACAAGUAGUACUUGCAGUUAGAGUCAGCCCAGGACGAAGAAAACAGUGCAGGGAAUACCUACGAUGGAUCCAUCGAUCAAAUUGUCUCAUGUCUCAUUGUUUCUCACACAUGAGCGCAGGGACUGGUCGACAAAGGGGCACUGGCCCUAGACGGCUAGACGGACUGCCGGCGGCAAGUGACCCUAGGCUCCCACGCAGUUUAUUUGUCCGGUCGUUCCGCAGCCCCUCCUUCCUCUCAUCAGGCUUCGGCUUCAUCAACUUCCUUCGGUAAGAUAUCUAUGUGGAAAAUUAGGAGCAACGAUCUCUCAUCCCGAAGUAUGAAUGCUUGGUCUGGGAAGUAGGAUUGAUGCAAAGUACGGAUCGAGGUACACAGACCCCAUUAAUUAUACAUAUCCAGGCUAUGUUGUGUGAUAUAUGUAACUCAUGGUGUGAGAGUUCAAGGUCGGGCUUAGGGGUUAGGGUUUAAAUUUAGGGGGGAAGUAGUUGGGGGUGAUCAUGAAUUCAUGGAAUUAGUGGAUGAUGUCAAAGCUGGCUGGCAACAUUAAGAGAGAGUGAUUGGGAUGAUUUAUUUUAUGAUGUUCAAGAAUUUUGUGCUGCUCAUAGUAUUCCAGUGCCAAAUAUGGAUGAAGUAAUACUGGUUCGUGGUCAUUCAAGGAGAGCAGGGAGGACUGUCACUAAUCUUCACCAUUACCAUCCAGAGAUUUUUUUUUGUGUGUUGCUAUUGACAAAAUAUGCGUGGAGAUGGAUCACCGCUUUAGUGAAGGAGCUAAUGGUGUGCUUGAUUUCUUUUCAUGUCUUGACCCCAAUAAUUCUUUCUCCAAGUUUAAUGUUGAUAAGCUUGUGCGUCUUGCAGAAAUUUAUCAUGAUGACUUUUCCAAUGAUGACUGUGGAACAAUUAGAGAGAAACUUAUCACUUAUACUCCCUCCGUUUCAAAAUAGAUGACUCAAUUUUGUACUAACUUUAAUACAAAAUUGAGUCAUCUAUUUUGGAGCGGAGGGAGUAUAAGUCAAAUGAAAAGGCAUGCUUCUUUGUCUUCUUUUGAUGAUGUUCAAAGUUUGGCCGUGAAGAUGGUUGAAACAGAGAAACAUUUGGUAUUUUCAUUGGUGUACAAAUUAACUAGUUGGUUUUGAUAUUGCUGGUGUCAACAACAUCUAUUGACAGAUCUUUUUCAGCAAUGAAGAUUAUCAAGACUAAACUGCGUAGCAAGAACAAUAAUUAAUGGUUUAAUGACUUGAUGAUUUAUUACACCGAGCGGGAGUUAUUCAAAUCAGUUGACGACAAGGAUAUUAUUCAUACACUUACUAAAAUGAGUUCUCAGAAAGGGCAUUUGCCUCGUGAUUUUCUUUAGUGCACUGUCGGUAUGUUCCAUCUGACCAUCUCUAUUCUUGUAAGCUUUUUAUUUCAAAUCUCACAACUAAAUUUAUUUCAUUAGAAAUCCAUUUUUAUAUUCUAGUGCCUUCUAGGACUUCGGGAACAAGAUGAGUUUGCCUCUACGCAAGGCUGAUUGUAUGUCUUUCUUUUGGCAAAAAUGAACAAGUGAGAGAUGCUUCUGAUCAUGAUGGAAGAAAUUGCACGAUCACAUCCGGUGACAUAUGGUAUGUAACUAUGUUUAGCUUACUUUUGUUGGCAACAUGGCGAGUUUGCCUGUAUGCAAGGUUGGCUAUGUAUCUUUUGUUGUCAUGUCUCAAGUUUAUUUGGUCUAUGAAGUGGAUAUUGAUAUAUUAACUCACCUUAAAAAUUAAAUUUCAUGUGACUAUUAUAGUUAAGUUUUCACUUCAUUAUUAAUGUGGAUUUGUGAUUCCGAAGCAUGGCGGUAUGGUAUAUGUUGUGUAUUUGAAUACCUUAUUUUUUUUUCUAGAUUAUACACUUAGGCUUAAUUUGCCCAGGCUCCACAAGAGUUCUGGCUCCGCCACUGGACACAGGAAGUUUGGCAAAGGGAAAAACAUGCUCAUCAAACACGACAUCCCGAGAUAUAUAGACACGAUUAGUGGGCACAUGAAGACAUUUGUAUCCUUUAUGAAGAGAGCUAUAACCAACAAAUACACACUUCUUGAAACGAAACUCAAGCUUGCGCUUGUUAUAUGGACGGAGAUGGGGCCAGCAAGCACACCCAAACACCUUGAAAAAGAUGUAGUCCGGUUGUUCAUUAAGAAGAACUUCAAUGGGAGUCUUCAUGUUCAAAACACGAGUGGGAGUACGGUUGAUGAGAAAACAUGCAGUGGUGAAAGCAUCACUCCAAAACCGAAACGGAACAGAUGCAUGGGCCAAAAGAGUAAGACCAGCUUCAACAAUGUGACGAUGCUUAUGUUCUACUGAACCAUUCUGCUGAUGUGUAUGUGGACAUGCUAAACGGUGAGCGAUCCCAAGCGACUGAAAAAAGGAGUUGAGGUUGCGAUACUCGCCGCCCCAAUCCGACUGGACAUGAACAAUUUUGUACUUGAGAAGACGUUCAACAUGUUUUUGAAACUGAACAAAAAUGUUAAACACAUCAGAUUUACGUUUACUAAGAUAAAGCCAGGUAAAGCCACUAUAAGCAUCAACGAAACUGAUAUAAUAAUUGUGGCCACUGACAGAAGUCUAAGCAGGACCCCAUACAUCUUAAAACACAAGUUCUAAAGGAUGUUUCACCUCACGACUGGACUCCGAAAAAGGAAGUUGAUGACUCUUCCCCUGCUGACAAGCAUCACACACUGCUACAUUUUUAUUACUAGACACACUAGGAAGCUCAUGACGACGCAAAACAUGACGGACAAUAGGUGUGGCCGGGUGACCAAGACGAGCAUGCCCUCUAGGGGUGGCCUAUCACAUAUAUAUAAUGAGGUGGUAUACAACGUUACAGUAUACACAUGUAAAUACAGAAGCUAUACAGUCUAACACACCUCCAGAGCAGGUACUAACGCACCGACCUUGCCAGGCCUGCCGUCGACGCCACCACGAUGCCAGACAACGCCACCAUCCUGCACGUAUCCAUCCACACGCAUCCGUCGGCGAAACUCCGCAGCGCCAUGCCGCUGGGAUCCAUCGUCGGCCUUGCGGUAGAUGUAACACUCCUCCUCCUCUUGCCCCCUCCAGGCAGCUUCUGCUCCAAAACAAUGCCCCCAGGAGGGAGAACGACACCGAAGGUGUCAUCAUCGUCUGAUUCGGUAGACUCAGAUCUAGGAUUUUCCCCGAAACAUCUCGAUCGAGUUGACAUGUGGAGAAGGAAACGACGUCAGAGACACCACCAUCGUCCGCCAAGACCGCAGUCAGGCGCGAUUUUCACAUGGUUCCAUUGGGUGGAAGCGAAGUAAACACAAAAAAUGAGCACUACUUGGCCGUGCGAUUAACUCUCAACUUGACAUUUUAUUUAACAACACGCCUACAUGCACAUCAUCAAACAGAAACGGAUGGACAUCCCCAAUUAGCUUUUUGACUAUUGUGUACGCUGGGAAUUAAAGCUCCGUACAACCGUUGCUUUACAUAGGCCGGCAAGCAAUAUCCGAGAAGAAUCGAAAAGCGGCCCUCUCGAUCCAAUCAAGACAUCUCUUGGUGCUCAAGGUUUAAUCCUAGUAUCUGCCGUGAGGUCAUUUUGAAUAUUACUUUCGGACAACCACAUACAUACACAUGACAGGCUCUGAAAUUAAUGUCGCGAAGACCUUGUUGAUCUUCAGGACAGCAUGUCGACAUCCGCAGAUUUUAUGUCUGUGGUGAGUAAAGCUGGAGAGCAGUUAGACAGGAUAACCAUGUGUCUUUUUUACUCGCACAAAAAAAGAAAAAGACAGGAUAACCCUGGGCUAAGCAAUGAGCACCACCUAUCCAUCCCUGUGACUUAACUUCUCUUCACACGCACAGCGCAGGUAGAUAUAUGGAGUGUAGGAUUGAAAGUUACAGCCACAGUCAGAAGGAGACAAUCAGAAAUAUUUGCGCACACACAGCCAUAGCUCAUACGGGUGCACUUUACGCUAGUGGAGCAGUAUUAGUUACUCUGAAUUGAUCGCCAGUGGACGCUGGACCUUACGCUGCCCGUUGAUUGGCUCGCCGUGGCUAUAAACACCAGGCUCCGGUGUCCAGGGGAAGCACUCAGCCGGCCAUCCAUCAUCCCUCCCACUGAAUACCAGCACGAUAGGUGCCAGCCAUGGCGAGGCGCCGCCACUCUUCCUCUGGUCUCCUAUGCGUCCUCUUCCUCCUGAUCACUGCUGCCAUGGCAGCGGACGGUGCAGGAGCGCGACAGCGGAAAUUGCAGCAAGUGCCAGGGCCACAGCCGCUGCCACUACCAAACCCACGCCCACAGCCGGGGCCACAGCCCGUGCCACUACCGAUUCCGAACCCGCAGCCUGACCCGAACCCACAACCUUUGCCGAACCCAGACCCAAACCCGCAGCCACAACCAUUACCGCAGCCACAGCCGGACCCAAACCCGCAGCCACAGCCAUUACCGCAGCCUCUUCCACAACCACUGCCGGACCCAAACCCACAGCCACAGCCUUUACCACCACAGCCUCUGCCACAACCACUGCCGGGCCCAAACGCGCAACCGCUGCCAUUACCGCCGCCUCUGCCACUAUCACCGCCGGGCCCAAACGCGCAACCGAUGCCAUUACCGCCGCCUCUACCACUACCACCGCCGGGUCCAAACCCACAGCCACUGCCGCAACCGGAUGCCCCGGGCUCAUAUCCACAGGUACAACCGUUGCCAGACUCAAACACGCCCGGCCGACAAAAUAACGCACUACAGGGACCACUUGGAAAUGGUGCAGCCCCAGCCUUAUAUUCAUGCGGUGCAACCUACAUACACGUAUUCUUCAUCGGUUUAUUAUUGUACUAUUUUGUUUAGAUAAAGUGACGCUUGUUCAUGUAAAUAUAUUUGCCAUUUCUCUAGACUCCAUAAAAUAAUGUAUCGAUUGGGCAUGAUCUCUUUGUAUUUACAUUUAUACUAGUAUAUUAUUUGUAAUAAAAACUUAUAUGAUUGUGUACAAGUAGUUUGUGUACUUACAAAAAGCAGAACCAUUUGUGUAUGCAUUUGAUACACAUGUCGUUCUGAUAUUUUUAGUUAUAUUUCUGGUCUGACUGACUUGCGUAUGGUUGCACACCUUACCCAACACUCUACGUUCAGAAUCGUAAGGUGUGCCUACGUUUUGAAUUUGUCUUCAAUCCACUAUUUUGUUAGAAAUAUAUUUGGAUUCCAUGGUGCAAAAUUGAUAUCAUUGUACCUGUAUGAAAAGUUGAAAACCACUUCAUAGUGAUAUCAAUUUUUUUGUCAAGGCUUUAAGAGGUGGGGUGGGGAGAGGGAUUGACUGUCUACCAAGAAGUCCGUUCUUAUGUAUGUCACGAUCCUGGAGUGUCUGAUCGACGCAACAAUAACCUCCCGCUAAAUUUUUUGCUGCAUUUUCCUUCACGGACUGACAAAAAAUGGUGCAAGAACAUGGCAAUAUUUUGAACACACGAAUGCAACAAAAAAUAUAACGUAUGUAUCAAAUCAUUGGAAAGUAUUCACAACAUACACAAGUACACCAUAAAACCAACGUAUGAAACAUAACAUGGCCAUAUAUUAUCAAUUGUGGUUGUUCAUGACGAGGUUAUGUUUAGAAAGCUGAAGUAUCCUUGGGAAAUCUAUGGAAGGAGAAUGUGCAUAAGGUCAUUAAAGAACAAAAAUAUUUGUUGUCUUCUCUCUAUAUGACACUAAUUAUUGUAUAGUGGUAUGAAUUUUAGAAGGGAGUGUUUAUUUCUCAAGGAGGGGGAGGGUGCUAUCCAAAAAAAAUGAAAAAUGAUGAUCUUGGACAUGGAAUUUUGAUAUAAAGGUCUAUCGACCAACUGCAUAUUUCAACAUUAAGUGUAACUUAAGAUUUAGAUAUAUACAUAAUUGGUCAAUUGCACAUUUGUUGAAUGGAAAAUAAUAACUUCUUAAGCUGACGACGAAAGUCAAGUCUUCUAUUAAAUAUGUACAACACAUGAAAAGGAUACAAAUUUUGGAGGAUAGAAAUCAUGUAGAUUUUUUUUUCUUUGGUACUGUUUCAAACGAAGGAUUCUCUGUCAUGGAUUUAUUUGAAAAUCCUAGAUUAAUCGAAAGAAAUUUUGGGAAAAUCAAACAUGAGGUGCCAUCGCAUUUUUUUAAUUGUUUUACAUCUGGAUAGAAUUCAUAUGUUCUCUUCUCUUCAUGUUUAGAGUUCCUAUGUUCUUUCUACUCGACAUCGAAGCAAUAACCAUUGAAACAAAGCAAGUGGUUUGGACAGAGAAUUUGAGAGGUGGAGACAAGCAAUUUAUAUUGUUUCAUAAUAUCAACAUUGUCAUUCUAAACAGGACAACACGAAGGCAAAAACAUUAGCACAAUAUAAUCCUUACCACUGUUCAAGAAUUCAUCUGAUUAAUUAGUUAAUGGGCCAGUUAAUCUCUACUCGUAGGGUGACCGAAUCGAAUAGCACAUAUUCAUCGUGUUAACUUGUCAGGCCGAUUAAUUCGCUAGUUAGACCGAUUAAUCGGUUGUUAGGCCGAUUAAUCACUGAUGUCCCAUUAACUUGUGGGCAAACAAAGCCCAAAAAAAUUCACUGUAACCCUCUCAUCCCCCUCUCGCUCCUCAAUAGUUAGGGUUCGACCAAACAGUAGCAUAUUUUGGUAUAUUACAUAGUUGAGAGCAUGAGAGUAUGGUAUAAUAAACAAAAAGACUAGAUAUAUGUUGGAAAUUCAUGUUUAAUCUACCGAUGAAUGGUCGACCGAUUAAUCCAGUUAACAGGUCGAUUCAGCGAUUAAUCACUACUACCAAGCCGACCGAGCAGCAACCAGUUACCGAUUUCCUGACAAUGAUCCUUACUCUAUCCGAAUAUAUGGUACUAAACUCAGCGUCCCUGUCAAUUUUGGAGCUCCGGCUCCAUGGAGCCUUUUUUGUAUUUAAUUUUUUGAAAACUCUACUUGAAUAUGAUGGUUAGCCAAUGCAUGUAGCCCUAGCAGUUAAAAUCAUACCCGCGUUACUAAAACACACGCAUGCAUAUGACUGGAGAAUGAGGGGGCAUGCAACGUGGGAACGUAUCUGGUGCACCGGAGCAAUUGGUGCUACCGGUGCACCGGACCAUGUUACACAUUAAAAAAUGUUUAAAAAAAUCUGAGAAAAAUUUAGUGCAUCGACACAACAUCAAUGUAUGUUGUCACAAAAAUUCAAAUUAAAAUUCAAAAUAAUGCUCAAGAUACAAAAAUGACAAAUUUGACGUAAAUGUGCUAAUGGGCCAAAACUGAAGCCCAACUUGUUUUAUGUACUGUUCAAUGCCAAAUUUGUCAUUUUUGUAUCUCAAGCAAUGUUUUGAAUUUUGAUAUGAAUUUUUUGUGACAACGUACAUUGAUGUUGUCUCAAUGCACUAAUUUUUUCUUGAAAUUUUUUGAACAAUUUUUAAUCUGCAACGGCGACCGGUGCACCGGUAGCACCAAAUGCCCCGGUGCACCAGAUACAUCCCCCAUGCAACGUCAUGAUAGGUUAGCUUGUCGGAGAGUUACAAGAUUCAAUAAUUUUAAGACAAUAAGCAUGAUAAAAUCCUCAUUGGUAUCUACAGUUUUGAAACUAUGCCCAGUAUACCCAGACAGAGGGAGUGCUUGAGAACGCGAAAAACUCCGUUGACGAAGCAGGCGACGGAGCCCUGGGGCUUUGUGGUGAAGCUCACGCACGAGGUGGCUGCUCGAUCGGGCCAGUUCCUUUCCAUUGUGAAUUGAACUGAUGUGAUUGCUUUUUUACUUUGUAAUUGCACUAACGUGUACACGGUCUAUCUUGAUUUCUAAAUGAUGGCCGGUCACAUGUAGUACGUGUGAGCACGGGAUUGACAAGGCAACCAACAGAAUUCUAUUACUACGGGUAGGCAACUAGUAAUAGAGUAAAAAUAUUGUUACUCGCCCUACUAUCAUCACAUAAAGACACACACAGAAAAAUCCAACUGUGCUUAUUGGCACCUCCUGUUUGGUAGGUUGCUGCAUUUGUAAUCAACCAAUAUAACUCCAGUGGCAUGUUACGCAGUACUUGUCACUCCAGCUAAGCUAGCUGCAAUGUUUAUUAAUGCAGCCUCCAAAUCUGGUUUGUUUCGCCCACCCUAUAAAACCAGACAAUAUGUAUCUCCAGCUCUCCACACAACACACACACACACACAAAGCACAGCAGGUGCAACACUAGCUGCAAGCACAAGAAGUAGGCAGCAAUGGUGAGGCAUCGCCUCCUCGCCGUGCUCCUCAUCGGGGUAGUUGCAGCCUCUGCCUUCAACCAAGCAGCUGCCGCUGGCCGAGGCCUUGCCGCCAUCGAGAAGUUUGCAGAGCUAGAGCCAAAGCCAGAAACCAAACCAGAGCCAAUGCCCAAACCUACGCCACACCCAGAGCCAGAGCCAUGCGAACCUGAACCGAUGCCCAAACCCAAACCAAAGCCCGAACCAAAACCCGGACAAAAGCCCAAGCCCAAGCCGAUGCCAAAACCAAAGCCCAAGCCCUGCUCCAAACCAAAGCCACUUCCUAAGCCCGAGCCAAUGCCGAAACCCGAACCAAAGCCGGAGCCCAAGCCUAAUGAACCGAAACCGAAGCCGCCUCCUAAGUGCAAACCACCGACGGCUCACAAUUGAUGGGAUACUUGUAUAUGACAGUUGAUGGAGGAGACCCCAUAAUGGAGGACACCCCAUACGGCGCCACACUGUGCUAUUUCUAGAAUAAGUGGUUCCAUUUAUUUUUAUUGUUCCAUGCAUGUGUGAUGAGUAUGAGUACUCUGUACUUAUUAUUUGCUUGUUGGUAUAUGUUCAUCUACUUUGUACGUGACUCGACUCGUUGUUCUUUUGAGUUUCUACACAUGAUUGUAUUCAUUCACAUGAAUGAGCUAUUUUGUCAGUGAACUGCAGUCUAUGUUGUUUUCUCUAUGGUGUGCAGUCUCAGUUAUUUUCUCUACGGGAUUGUUUCAUUAUUANNNNNNNNNNNNNNNNNNNNNNNNNNNNNNNNNNNNNNNNNNNNNNNNNNNNNNNNNNNNNNNNNNNNNNNNNNNNNNNNNNNNNNNNNNNNNNNNNNNNNNNNNNNNNNNNNNNNNNNNNNNNNNNNNNNNNNNNNNNNNNNNNNNNNNNNNNNNNNNNNNNNNNNNNNNNNNNNNNNNNNNNNNNNNNNNNNNNNNNNNNNNNNNNNNNNNNNNNNNNNNNNNNNNNNNNNNNNNNNNNNNNNNNNNNNNNNNNNNNNNNNNNNNNNNNNNNNNNNNNNNNNNNNNNNNNNNNNNNNNNNNNNNNNNNNNNNNNNNNNNNNNNNNNNNNNNNNNNNNNCAUAAGGGAAGAGAAGGCCUCCCUAAAUAGCAGCACAAUAUGAAGUGUAUAGUGUGCACGUACGUGUCUGGUGUUCUAGAUGUAUAAAGUGUACCCAUAUGCUAGACAACGGCCUUGUUCUCUACCUUUCACCUAUGAACUAAGUCCCGACCAAGUACGUUAGUAUUUAUGCCCAGGCUCUGUGAGUGAGCUGGCUCCGCUGCUGGUUAUACUAGGUAUACGUCACACACAUUGCUACGGAAAAUUAUAGCAAUGAAAUUAUGAAAAAUAGCAUAUAUGAGAAUAAUACCACACAACAUUCUCACCAUAUGAGGAUAGAAAACCUAGACAUAACUGGAGGUGGAUGCAUGUUAUAUAUAUUGUCUUGUGACCUCCAAGUUUAAUUAUUUGUUGCUGAAAUAUAAAUAGUAAAAAUAAUGUGGUGAAGAGCUUGCAUAUGUUUGAUGAUGUGGAGGACUUGCAUAUGAUGGAAAGUGAAAAUUCGAAUGAUUACAUGCACGCUUGAUGAUAUGGAGGACUUAUGUGUGAUGAAAACUGGUAAGUGAAAGUUGAUUGGUUGCAUGCCCUCCAUAAUGUGAUUGACAUGCAUGUGCAUUUAAAUGGGAUGAAUUACUUAGAUAUAUAGGAUAUGUGUGAAAGGUAACUACACCCCCUAGGUCAAGAUUACCAAUAAAAGGCACCAUGAAUUUUUUUAUUAACGUAUUUUCUCUUUAUCAAUUCGCAACAAGAAAAAUCUCACAGUGAUAGUGUUAUGCAACAUACGAGAGACCAUAAUAAUCUCUCACCACCCCAUGGUACUGGCAGGGUCGGCUCAAUGAUUUUGAGAGCCCUUGGGUGAAGUUGGCGAAUUGAUUGUCUUUUGCUUCAACACCCGACAAAUCCUUUUUAAGCAACAUUAGGGUAACCAUAAAACUAAAGAGGAAAGUAAAUACAUAAAUAGAGAAGUUAGAGCCCUAACAUUUAACAUGCUUCGACGAAUGGGUGGCACUGGUAAUAUGGUUAUGGGUGUGUGGAAUGAGAGGCCUAGAGAGUGACAAGCUGGUGCCUCGCUGUCACAGACAUCUGAGGAGGUGGCGAGACUCAUGCCGUCAAGCUUACCCGCGAAGACAAAGAUCGCGAAUUGCGAUUAGGAGAGCUGGUGAUGCCAUGUGUUAGUGUCGCGUGCCGAUUGUGAUUAUUUUCAUUUUUAUGGACCAAUUCAACUAUUGACUAAAGACCUAAAGCUUGCUUUUAGGAGAGCAUGUAUGCCUCACUUUUAGGAGAGCAUCUUCACUGCGCUUAUAGCGCUCAUUAGUGCCACAUCGCACAGGUGCUCGCACGCAUAGGUCGUCUCAUUAAAAAGCAAAGGGGUUGCUUGCCCGACGCCCACUACACUCUUUUCUUGCCCGUCUUUUUUCUGGGAUUGCUCUGUUAUGCAAUGAAAGAAAACAUUCACCACUUUUCCAAAUUUAAAACAUUCAUGAAUAUGAAAAUGUUCACAUAUUUGAAAAAAUACGGGUUUGAAAAAAUUAAAUUAAUUCAAAAACACUGAUGACUUAAAAAAUGACAAGUUCAUUUUUUUGUGAAUUUGAAAAAAGGGAAUUCAAACAAGAUUGUAAAUUUGAAAAAAUGUUCACAAAUUUGAAAAAAUUCAUGAAGUUUAAAGUAAAUAUAAAAAAACUGAAGCAAGGCAGAAAAGUAAAAAAAGAGAAAGAAAAACCUGGCCGAAAGUUUCCUGAACCAAAGUUGACCAAUAAGCUUCUGGAAGCUUUCGGGAGUAGCUUCCGCUCACAUAAACGCCAUAGAUUGGCCAACCCUUUUACGAUCUAUAAAAGGAAGAGGUGUGCGCACUUUCUACCAAUAACUUAGAAACCAGUGCUAAAUAACAUAUUUCCACUUUUAGCGAGGGGUAGAACAGAAUUCGACUACAGAGCCACCAUAUGUGCCAAUCGCAACAUUUUUUUCUAGCAAACAAGUUUUUGUCUAUAGGGGGACACGUCUCACCGCCAACGAACGGAUUUUUCUCAUUUUUAUUUUCAUUUUUCUCAUUUUUGAGAAACUUUUCUAUAAAAUAUAUGGAUUUGUACUUUUUUACAAGUGAUCAUGUAGUUUAAUAAGUGUUCAUGUACUUCAAAAAUGUUCAUAAGAUAUUUGUGAAACGUUUUCAAAAUAUCAAACAUUUUGCAAAUACACAUAGAUUAAAAAGUGUUCAUAUUUUUCCAAAAAUACACACUGUGAACAUUUUGAACAAUACAGGAUCUAGAUUUAUUUUAAUACAUGAUGAAUCAUUGAAAUAACAAUAUUUUCUGAAAACAAAAAAUGUUUUUCUUAUCCAUGAUAAUUUUUAAAUACACUGUAAAUAUUUUGUUCGUACACGAAGAACAUUUGGUAAAAAACAUGAGUGAACAUUGCCCGCUGCCGGUGAGGGAGGGGCGAUGAUGGUGGUGCACUUUCAGCUUGAUCGAGUGAUUUUAUACAUCGCUAGGUGGUCUAUGGAUCUGAAUGUAUGUUCUAUUACUUCUGGUGUUCUUAUACUGACAUGACAGUUGAUAAAUAGAUCCAAAACAAUCAUAAAAAAAUAAAAAUAAAAUGUUCAACUUGUCUUAAUAAUUGUUCUUGAGAUUUAAAAUAUAUAUUCUGAUUGUUCCAGAAAAAUUACAUUUCAAUUGUUUUCACAUGUUUACAAAAUUGUUCAUUGCAAUAUUAAAAUGUUCAUGAAAUAUAUAUAAAAAUGUUUUCUUACAGUUUAUAAAAAUAUUCGUGGUAUAUAAAACUUGUUCAUCAUGUUUUAUAAAACGUUCAAACAUGUAUUGGAAAAAUAUUCUAUGUGUAUUUAAAAAAUAUUAAUAUUUUCAAAACAAUCAACAUGUAUUUGAAAUAUGGAAAAUGAAAAACAAAAUAAAAAACAAGAAAAAUAUACAGAAAAGUAAAAGGAAAAAACAAAAAUGAAAACCCUAGACAAACCAGAUAAAGAAAACAGGAAAAAAUCCGGAUAAAACGUUCUGAAAAUCGCAUGAAACAAACCAAUGCUACACUGCCUCCACCGCUACUGGGCCACAGCCCGCACCGCAUCACCAAAGGUGAGCGCCUCACAGUAUGUAGAGACAUAGCAUUUGCGCAAAAUGACCGCACGCAUUGAACAAACUGUUGGCUAGCUAGUUAUUAGAAUGACAUGUAGACUUUUUAAACUCAACAAAAUUAUAGGUACAAUGCUUUGGAUCAUAGAUACAAGAAAUUACAAAAUAACUUCUAUAACUAAGAAUUAGAAUGAAACCCUCUGGAGUCAAAAUAUGAUAAAUGGAGGAAAAAACAUUACUCCCUCCGUUCCACAAUAUAAGACAUUUUUGCAAGCUAGUUAAAACGUCUUAUAUUGUGGGACGGAGGAGUAGCUCAUAUAAUCCUUCCUCUUUCCGAAUAUAUGGCGGUGCUAAACUGGAAAAUCAUACAUGCAUAACUAAAACACAUGCACGCAUGAGACUGGAGAAUGAGAGCAUGCAGCAUCAAAAUAGGUUAGUUUGUCGGAGAGUUAUAAGAUUCAAUAGUUUGAGACAAUACGCAUAAUAAAAUCCCCAUUGCUAUCUAUGUGCCUAGUAUAUAUAUCGGGCCAGAGGGAGUGCUUGAGAAAACACCGAGUCAGCAAAAAUCGGUCAAUGAAGCUUCCAACUGGUGGUGCAGCCGUGCAGCUCACGCACGAGGUGCACAAUCCUCGGCCAGUUCCUUUCCAGAGACCUUUGCUUUCCAUUGUGAAUUGAACUGAAGCGUUUGCUUUGUACUCCCUCUGUAAACUAAUAUAAAAGCAUUUAGAUCAUUAUAAAGUAGUGAUCUAGACGCUUUUAUAUUAGUUUCCGGAGGAAGUACUUUGUAUUGCAUUGCACUAACGUGUACACGGUCUAUCUUGUUUUCUAAAUGAUGACCGGUCACACGGACUUGUGGGCACGGGAUUGACAAGGCAACUAACAGAAUUCUAUUACUACGAGGAGGCAACUAACAGAAUUCUAUUACUACGAGGAGGCAACUAACAAAGUAAAAAUAUCGUUACUCACCCUACUAUCAUCAUAGAGAUACACACGUAAUAUCCAGCUGUGCUUAGGCUGGUCAUAGUGGGGAGUAACUUAGAGUAGUAACAUGCAUAUGUUACUACUCUAGUUACUACCCUUAUAGUGGGAAAUGUCAUAUGUGUAGUAACAUACACAUGUUCAUUUAUUGUCUUAUAGACUCAUUUUGCAUUGAAAAGCGCUAUGUGAUGGUAACAUAUUAGGUUACUCUAUUUACCUCUCUCCUCAUUUACUACUUGUCACAUCAACAUUUUUGCUUAUGUGGCAUCUAUGUUACUACCUAUGUUACUCCCACUAUGACCAGCCUUAUUAACACCUCUACCUACGUAGUAGGUUGCUUCAUUUGUAAUCAACAAAUUAACCAAUCCAUUGCCAAUUUGCCAUGUUACCCAGUACUACUUGUCAGUCCAGCUAGCUAUCUGCAAUUUACUAAUUAAUGCAGCCUCCAGAUCUGGUUUGUUUCACCCAGCCUAUAAAACCACACAAUAUGUACCUCCAGUUUUGCACACAACACACACACAAAGCACAACAGCUAGCUGCAACCACAAGUAGGCUGUAAUGGCGAGGCAUCGCCUCCUUGCCGUGCUCCUCAUCGGGAUAGUUGCAGCCUCCACCUUCAACCAAGCAGCUGCGGCUGGCCGAGGCCUUGCCGUUGUCGAGAAAUUUGCAGAGCUAGAGCCAAAGCCAGAAUCCAAACCAGAGCCAAUGCCCAAACCUAUGCCACACACAGAGCCAGAACCAUGCAAACCUGAACCGACGCCCAAACCCAAACCAAAGCCCGGACAGAAGCCUGAACCAGAACCCAAGCCCAAGCCGAUGCCAAAACCGAAGCCCGAGCCCUGCUCCAAACCAAAGCCGGGGCCUAAGCCCGAGCCGAUGCCAAAACCUGAACCAAAGUCGGAGCCCAAGCCUAAACCUGAACCGAAACCAAAGCCGCCUCCAAAGUGCAAACCACCAACAACUCACAAUUGAUGGGAUACUAUAUACGAGAGUUGAUGGAGGAGACCCCGCACGGAGCCACACUAUGCUAUUUCUAGAAUAAGUGGUGUAGUAUUCCUUGUGUUCCAUUUCUUUCUAUUUUCCCAUGUGAGCGUGAUGAGUACUAGUAGUGUGUAAUUACUAUUUGGUUGUUGGUAUAUGUUCAUCUACUUUGUAUGUGACUUGACUCGCGUUGUUCUUUUGAGUAUCUACGCAUGAUUGUAUUCAUUCACAUGAAUGAGCUAUUUUGUCAGUGGACUGCAGUCUGCUGUUUUUCCUAUGGGUUGCAAUCUCAGUUAUCUCUAUGGGAUUAUUUCAUAUUAUGUGGUCUUUUUUGGGGGGAAAGAUGAUGUCAACAAAAAGGAAGAGAAGGACUCCCUAAAUUGCAGCACGCAUAUGAAGUGUAUAUGCGGGUAUGUGUCUGGUGUUCUAGAUGUAUAAAGUGUACUCACAUGCCAGACAGCGGUUUUGUUCUCUACCCUUCGCCUAUGAACUAAGUCCCGACCAGGUGCGUUAGUAUUUGGUUUGAGCCCCGUUCCUACAUCCUGCUUGAGCCCCGUUCCUACCCUAGCGCCGCCACCACCAGGCGACUAGGGAGAGGCGAUCUUUUCCUCCGAUCUCCACCGGCCGGGGCGCUGGCCCCCUCUCCCUUCGGCCACUGCUCCGGCGGCAGGAGGGAGGGGGACCCCGUUCCUUCGCUCUGUAGUUAGGGUUUGGAUUUGUAGGUCGUGGUGCGUCGUUGGGGUGGUGGGAGCGGCACCUGGACGAAUAAAUCUGCUUCAACUCUACUCCCACACCGGCGGUGUCUUUCAUGGCGGCGUCUCGGAGUUGAUGGCAUCGUGUCUCUGUCGAUCCCUCAGAUCGGCAGCAUUAGGGUUCAUGGAUGAUGUUGGCGAGACGGCGGCGGCGACUCCAUCAGGUGUGUCUCUCCUUAUGCUCUGUCCCGGUUGCUGUGGCGUUGUCUCCGACGUCAUGGUGGAGCAGGGAGGUUUUGUCGUUCAGGAGUACGCGCAGGCGGUUGUCUACACAAGUGACAGCUGGAAGAUGGAGUAUCCUGUGUUGGGUCUGUGGUCGAAGGAUGCCAGUUCUGGUUUCCUCCUCCGACGUCGUCAUCGUCAUGCGGGGGUGUCAGUUCUGAAAUUCGAUGGCGUGUACGGGGACAUGUUGCCCCGGUCUGAUUCUGUCAACGGCUAUGGUUUUGUUUCUGGCAAACUACUUUGGAGGUCCGUAAAGCUGUUGAUCAGCGAUGAAGUCGCAUCGAGCUUUGGUGAAGAGGUGAUCUGUCUUUUUAUCCUUUGGUGGUCACUUCGGUGGUGUCCAAGGAAAGGGACAUGCGCUAGUAUUUUGCAUAAGAUUUUCCUAUCUUUUCAGUUAUGUAUGAUCGGUGCUUACAUGACUUGUAACUUGAUCUUUAUUCUAUUUCUAUAUAAAUGAGACACGUAUUAUCAUGAAAAAAAAGGUGCAUUAGUAGUUAUACCCAGGCUCUACUAGUGAGUUGGCUCCGUUGCUAGUUAUACUAGGUAAACAUCACACACAUUGCUACGGAAAUUUAAAGCAAUGAAAUUAUAAAAAAUAGCAUAUAUGUGAAUAAUACCAUACAACAUUCUCAACAUAUGACAAUAGAAAACCUAGAUGUAACUGGAGGGUGGAUGCAUGUUAUGUUGUCUUGUGACCUUCAAGUUUAAUUAUUUGUUGUUGAAAGAUAAUAAAUAGUAAAAAUAAUGAGGUGAAGAGCGUGCGUGUGUUUCAUGAUGUGGAGGGCUUGCAUAUGAUGGAAAGCGAAAAGUCAAAUGAUUACAUGCACCCUUGAUGAUGUGGAGGACUUGCAUGUGAUAAAAAAUGGUAAGUGAAAGUUGAUUGGUUGCAUGUCUUUCAUGAUGUGAUUAAUUUGCAUGUGCAUUUAAAUGGGAUGACUUACUUAGAUAUAUAGGAUAUAUGUGUGAAAGGUUACUGCAACCCCCCGGUAUAUAUGUGUGAAAGGUAAUUGCACCCCCUGGUAAAGAGAUAAGUGCCGGAGCUACCAAAAAAUUAUUGGGCAGGCCAAGGUGGCCCGUCCUAAAGGAAACACAUUUUUCUCUCUCAAAAGGCCCAAGUUUACCUAUACUAUGGCCACGUAAGGUAGAGUGGAAGAAAAGCUCUCACGUCGCCCCUCUCGGGCGACUCGGGAGCGGCCCCAAACCCUAGCCGCCACCUCCUCUCCUCCCUCCUGCCCCCUCCUCGCCGCCACCCGAGGAGCCUGCCGGCUGCCGCGCGUCUUCCGGUGAAGGUGGCGGCGAGGAUCUGCUGCCUCGCGCCGGCGUGAGGAGCUUUGGAAGCCAGGGCGGCGGCCCUGGGUGGAGAUGGAGGCGUCGAUUUCUCCGGUGGAUGAUGCGCGUAGGUGAUGGUCGUCCCUCCCGGCCGCGUGGGUGGCGUGAGGACGGCGAGGUCUUGCUGCAGCGGUGGGCGGCUCUCUUCCUCCCAGCCCCUUCCCUCCUGCAGUGGUCUCCUCUCGCCGAUCUGGUGGCUGGUUCGUCAGAUCUGGGCUUCGAGGAUGGGGCGGUGGAGACUUGGAACGGGGGAAACCCCUGGUCGAUUUCGCGUCGACCUCGACGCCGGCGGCGCUCCGGUGUCGUUCUCCCUCUUGAGGGCGGGUCGAGCUUCCAGAUCCGUCCCUCCUCCUCCUCCUCCCUUCCCCGGGCGAAAGCUUGGCCUUUUUGGCCGGACAGUGGAGGCGUUCUGGCGUCUCGGCCCUUCCUGGAGGCGCCGUUCAAGGGGUGGUUGGGGGUUGUGGACCUGGUGCGUGGUGGUGGGUGGCGGUGGUGGUACUCGGUUCCCCUGGUUGCCGACGUUGGUGGUGACGUGUAGGUUCUUCCGCAUCCUUCAGCGGCUCCUCACUUUGUUUGCUGGUUGGUCGCCGGCUGGCAGUGGGUGUCCGUGUGUUUGGCACGGUCUGGAAGAAGGGGAGAUAGUGGUCUCUCCUCCGGCAGUGGCCCGAGGCGGCGGCCGGUGCAGUCGAUGGUUUCCUUCACGCGGUCUGGAUCUUCAUGUUCACGGCUUUUGCUGUCGCCGGGUGGCUUCGGCCCUGCCGUUCUAGCUGUGCAAGAUCUCCGGCGGCUUGAUCGCAGUAUUUCUUGCUGCCUUAUUCUCUGUUGCUCUUGGUUGUAGUGAAUUUGGCAUGUCUUUUUCAGUUUUUGUCAAGUCUUUGCCUUUGUAAUUCAGCACCAUUGUAUCCUAGCCGGUUGAUGGCUUCAUUAAUUUGAAGUCGGGUCUUUGUGCCUUUUCUCUAAAAAAAAGUUUACAUAUACUAUUUGAUGUUUUGGCUAUGCAUUGGGCCGGCUAUAUAUGGCCCAUCUGGCCUUGCUUUAGCUCCACUAGUGGUCAAGACUAUAAGAAAACGCACCAUGAAAAAUAUUAUAACAAUUUUUCUCUUACUCAAUUCGCGACAAGAAAAAUCUCUCUAUGAUAGUGCUACACAACAUAUGAGAGACCAUAAUAAUCUCUCACCCAUCCCAUGGUGCUGGCAGGGUCAACUCUAUAAUUUUGAGAGCCCUUGUGUGAAAUUGGCAAAUUGAUAGUCUUUUUUUUCUUUUAUUGUGCAUGAAAACUCCUUUUAAGCAACAUUAUAGUAACCCUAAAACUGACAAGGAAAGAAAAUACAUAAGUAGAAUUUUAGAAAUCAGAGCGCUAACAUUUAACAUGCUUCAGCGAAUGGGUGGCUCUGGUAAUAUGGAUAUGGAUACGAGGAAUGAGAGGCCUAGAGAGUGAUAAGCUCAUGCUUCGUUGUCACAGACGCCCGAGGAGGCGAGACACCCACGUCGUCAAGCUUCGAGACAAACCUGUGAAGAUGAAGAUCACGAAUUACAAUUAGGAGAACUAGUGAUGCCAUGUGUCCGUGUUGCACACCGAUUAUGAUUCUUUUCCCUUUUAUGGACCAGUCAACCAACGGCUAAAGGCCUAAAGCUUCUUGAAGAGCGUGUAUACCUCAAUUUUAGGAGAGCUCCUUCUCACCGCUUAUAGUGCUCUUUCUUUUUUUUGCGAAAACACUUGUAUUACUCAACUCAUAAUGUCUUUACAAUCAUCAAGGGAAAUACCCAAGACCUCAUCUGGCCCAGAUCCCAGCCAGGUCAUAGUCCGCCCUCUACUCGAGCAAAUCUAGCCAAACUAUCACUAGCUUUAUUAUGGGCUCUCAAAACAUGAGUAAUACAAGUUCGUCUCAAAGGAAGCAGCAACCUUAUUUCAUUAACCAACGAGGCAUAGACUGAACGAUCAACUUCGCCGGAGCUUAUCAUGGAGACGGCCAAGCUUGAGUCUGACUCAAUGACAAUGGGCAGUUCUGAACUCUGUAUGGCGAGCGAAACGCCCUCCAUGAUAGCACAUAAUUCAGCUUCAACAACGUCUCUACAGGAAUAUAACACCCUGCAGCUUGACAAAAUAAUCACACCCCUGGAGUCUCGAAGAAUCAUACCAGCGCCCGCUUUAUCAUCCGUUACAAACGAUCCAUCUGUAUUCAAUUUCACCCAGCCAACAUCCGGUGGCUUCCACCUACAUUCAGGGUCCGUUCGCUGAUGUUGCACCUGUACGGAAGACAUAUGAUCCAAGGAAACGAAUCCCUUGCCUUUAGCCGGGUCCAUUCCUGGAUUUUGUUUGAUCCCAAUCAACUCUUCCAAAUACCUUUUCAGAAAACUAACAGAGACAUCCAUAGCGGGAGCUGGUUUAAAGUGCACUACUUCAUUUCGAACAUACCAACUUCUCCAUAGUGCUCAUUAGUGCCGUAGCGCACAAGAGCCCGCGCGCAUGUGUCAUCCCAUUAAAAGGCAAAGCGGUUGCUCACCUGGCCACCCACUACACUCUUUUUUCGCCAGCCUUUUUUUUCCUGGAAUUGCUCUGUUAUUCAAUGAAAAAAUGCCACCGGUUUUCUAAAUUUAAAAAUUCAUGAAUAUGAAAUAUUUCACAAAUUUGAAAAACAAUUAUGGUUUGAAGAGAAUGAAUGCAAAAACAUUGAAAAUUUUGAAAAAAAUCACAAAUUCAUUUUUUGUGAAUUCGAAAAAAGUUGAUUCAAAAAAGUUUGUGAAAUUUGAAAAAAAAAUCUCAUGAAUAUGAAAAAAUGGUCAAAAUUUGAAAAAAUAUGGUAGAGAAGUUUAACAUUCAAAUAAUCAGAAAAAGAGAAAAAAGGCGGAAGAGUAAAAAAGAAAAAUCAGGCCGAAAGUUUCCAUAGCCAAAGUUGGCCCAUAAGCUUCUGGAAGCUUCCUAAAAUCGAGAGGAGGGAGCUUCCGCUCAUGUGAAUGCCAUAGAUUGGGCAGCCCUUUUACAAUCUAUUGAAGGAAGAGAUGUGUGCGCUUUCUGCCAAUAACUUGGAAACCAAUGCUAAAUAGCAUAUUUCCACUUUUAGCGUGGCAUAGAACGGAAUUCAACUAUAGAUCCACGAUAUGGGCAAAUCCCAACAUUUUUUCUAACAAGCUACUUUUUUCUAUAGGGGCAGAUGUCUCACUCUAACUACGAGUAGGAUUUUUUUGUUCUUAUUUUCACAUUUUUCUUUUCAUUUUUCCUAAUUUUCUAUUAAACGCUCUAUAACAUAUAUGGGUGAUCAUAUAGCUUAAUAAGUGUUCAUGUACUUUAAAAAAUUUCAUCACGUAUUUAUAAAACGUUUUCAAAUAUGAAACAUUUUUAAAAUACACAUACAAUUACAGAAGUGUUCAUAUUUUUCUGAAAAUAUACACUAUGAACAUUUUGAACAAUACGGAUGAAGAUUUAUUUUAAUACAUGAUGAACCUUUGAAAUCACAACAUUUUCUAAAAAUACACAAUGAUUUUUAUAUACACAAUAAAUAUGUUUUUCAUACACGAUGAACAAUUUGUAAAAACAUGAGUGAACAUUGCCAAACUCCGAUGAGGGAGGGGCGAUGAUGGUAGUACGCCUCCGGCUUGCUCGAGUGAUUGUAAACAUUGCUAGGUGGUCUACGGACCUAGACAUAAGUUGUAUUACCUCUGGUGUUCUUGUACUGACAUAAUGGUUGAUAAGUAAAUUGGAUUUUUUUUCAUAAUUUUAUUCAGAAAAAUGUUCAACAUGUCUUACAAAUUGUUCCAGAGAUUAAGAAAAAUAUAUUCGCAUUUUUCAAAAAGAACUGUACAUUUCAAUUUUUUCACAUGUUUAGAAUAUUGUUCAUGAAUUAUAAAAAAAUGUGUUAUUACAUUUUUGGACAGAUGUUUGUGGUAUAUAAAAAUUGUUCAUCAUGUAUUUAUAAAACAAUCAAACUUGUAUUAAAAAAAUAUUCUAUGUGUAUCUAAAAAUGUUUAUUAUUUUUAAUAAUUUCAAUGUGUAUUUGGAAAAUUGGAAAAAAAAAUGAAACAAUGAACAGGAAAAGUAAAGAGAAACCAAAAAUGAAAAACCUAAACAAACCCAAUAAACAAGAGAAAUAAAAAAACCAGACAAGAGGUUAUGAAAUCACAAGCAACAAACAAAUGCUAUAGACCUCCACCACUACUAGGCCACAGCCCACACCGCAUCGCCAAAGGUGAGCGCCUCGCAGUAGACAGAGACAUAGCAUUUGCGCAAAAUGACUACACACGUUGAACAAACUGUCCGCUUUCAUGCACUUUGGGUGGAGCUUAUCAUGGAGUGUGUAUCUUCAGUAAGCUAUAUGGUCCGGUUCAAUAAUACAGAAACUGAAGAAUUUGCUCCCACGAGAGGGCUCAGACAGGGUGGCCCAUUAUCACCUUAUUUAUUUCUCUUGUGCUCUGAGGGUCUUUCAAGCUUAUUAGCUCAUGAACAGGAAAUUGGAGGAGUGGAAGGGGUCCGUGUUUGUAGAAAUGCCCCCCUAUCUCACAUUUACUGUUUGCAGAUGACUCCUUGAUCCUAAUGAAGGCGGACUCACAUAAUGCAAGUACACUCAAAAGUGUUCUUGACACAUAUUGUGCUAGUUCUGGGCAACUAGUUAGUAAUGCUAAAUUGAGUAUAUUUUUUAGUCCUAAUACUAAUGUCAAUACCAGGGAGAAUGUGUGUAGAGAUUUAAAUAUUGAGACAGAAGCUCUAUCUGACACAUACUUAGGUCUCCCUACAAUGGUGGGAGUCGACAGAACUGACUGUUUCCAGCACUUGAUCGAUAGAGUUUGCCAGAGGUUGAAGGGAUGGAAGGAGAAGACACUCUCGAUGCAAGGUAAAGAGGUACUGGUAAAGUCGGUAGCCCAAGCAAUACCUUCUUAUGCAAUGUCAGUUUUUAAAUUGCCUAAAGGAAUUUGUAAGUCUAUCACCGAUGAAAUUGUUGGGUUCUGGUGGGGUGAGAAUGCGGAGAAAAACAAAAUGCAUUGGUUUGCAUGGUGGAGGUUGUGUAUUCCGAAGAAGGAAGGGGGUUGGGUUUUAGAGACUUGCACAGUUUUAAUCUUGCUAUGUUAGCAAAACAGUGUUGGCAACUAAUCCAAAAUCCGGAUUCUUUGUGUGCGCAAGUUCUGAGGGCAAAAUAUUACCCAGAUGGCGACAUAUUGAAAGCUGGACCAAAAAAGGGCUCUUCUUAUACUUGGCAGAGUAUUGUCGCAGGUAUUCAGACAUUUAAGUGGGGUUGUAUUUGGUGUGUUGGAAGUGGAUCUCAAAUUGAUAUCUGGCAUGAUCCAUGGAUUCCAUCAAGUGUCACAAGGAAAGUAAUCACGAAUAGGGGUGCAACAAUACUUUCAAAGGUUGAUGAGUUAAUAAAUCCGUACACAGGCCAGUGGGAUGAGGAUCUAAUUUGUGAUGUUUUCUCUCCUGUCGAUGUUCAUAGGAUAUUACAAAUCCCCUUGAAUUAUCACUUGACAGAAGACUUUGUGGCUUGGAACUAUACAUGAUCAGGCACGUUUUCCGUGCGAUCGGCUUAUCAUAAGGAGUUUGAACAUCAACAAGGGGCACAGUGGGUGCGAGCUGAUGGGCAAGGCACAGAAAAUAUAAAUCCAGUUUGGAAGGAUAUGUGGAAGCUGAAAAUACCAGGGAAGAUAAAACAUUUUGCAUGAAAAGUUUUGCAUGGCGCCCUCCCAUGCUUUGGUGUAUUAGCAAGCCAACAAAUCCCAUGCUCAUCUCAAUGUCCAAUUUGUUUAGUGGGAGCAGAAGACAUUCAACACUGCUUAUUUAAGUGCCGACGAGCGACGGAUGUUUGGGAGCGGCUGGGCUUGCUACAAGUCAUACGGAAAGCUGUGGCCGAGGACAGAUCAGGAUCUAUUACGAUGGAAAUUUUAUCAAAGCUUCAGGGCAAUGAUGCGGAGGUACCAACGGCGGAGCUUACUGUUGUAGCAGCAUGGUAUAUAUGGUGGCAGCGCCGACAGAUAGUAAAGAGAGUCAAAGUCCAAACGCCGGAAAAAACUGCGCUAGCCAUCAAGAUUUUGGCGACAAAUUACCUCAGGUCAGAUAUACCCAAAGGACCAAUAAGGAAGAAUGACCACAUGUGGAGGAAACCAGGAUAUGGGAUCGUGAAGAUAAAUGUUGAUGCUUCCUUUCAGUAUGAAACACUUUCAGGUGCUUGUGGUGCUGCGGCUCGGGACGACCGGGAUGAUUUUAUUGCUGCAGCAAGUUGGUUUGUUCCAAACAUCAGUGGAGUUGACUCAGCUGAGCUAACUGCUAUCAGAAACGGGAUAUACUUGGCAACUCACAUUGGAUGCAACAACAUAGAAAUUGAAUCAGAUUGUUCCUUCGCAGUGGACUCGCUGAACCAAGUUGAUGAUUAUUUAGGCCUGGAGGUAGCUAUCAUCACAAAGUGUAAACAACUUAUGAUGGACUUUGCGUCCAUAUCCUUCAGACAUUGCUAUAGAGAGGCCAAUCAGGUGGCAGAUGAAUUAGCAAAGAACUCUUUUACUACUGGAUCCUCUAGUUCUUGGGAUGAUGAGAUCCCUGAUUUUAUUUCUCAUCUGCUUGUAAAUGACAUGUCUAUUAUUUGAGAAAUAAAGUCUAUUUGCAGUUCAAAAAAAAACUGCCCGCUAGCUAGUUAUUAGAAAGGCAUGUAACUUAAUUCAAACUCAACAAAAUUAUAGGUACAAUGCUUUGGAUCAUAGAUACAAGAAAUUACAAAAUAACUCAUAUAACUAAGAAUUACAAUAAAACCCUCUUGAAUCAAAAUAUGAUAAACAGAGGAAAAAAAUUAGCACAUAUAAUCCUUACUCUAUCCAAAUAUAUGGCGGUGCUAAACUGAGCAGCCCCAUUAGUUUUGGAGCUCCGGCUCCAUGGAGUCCUUUUUGGAAAAUCAUACAUGCAUAACUAAACACCCGCAUGCAUGAGGCUGGAGAAUCAGGGCCAUGCAACAUCAAUAUAGGUUAAUUUGUCGGAGAGUUGUAAGAUUUAAUAAUUUAAGACAAUACGCAUAAUAAAAUCCCCACUAGUGAAGUGUCAAAAACCCUCUUAUAUUGUGGGACACAGGGAGUACAAUUUUAAAACUGUGCCCAGUAUACCGGACCAGAGGGAGAGCUUGAGAAAACACUGAGUCAGAAAAAACUUACUAAGCAGACCAUGGAGCCUUAGAGCAUCUCCAGUCGUGCCCCAGAACGGCCUCCCAAGGCGAUUUUUUUGCGCCGGUGCCAAAAAACGGUCCACUCGCGUCCUCAGGAGCCCGUUUUUCACUGACUUGGGCCGAAAUCAGCGUAGGCGGACCCAGGCCGAACCCGAUGCGUCUUGGGGGGGGGGCGCCCGGGGGCGCCGGGGCGAGUGUUUUGGCGCAAACAGCCGCGGGCCCGCCGAGUCAGCGAGACGGCCGCUUCGUCGACCUCAUCGCCUCGGUUCCCGCGGGAAUCAAUACAAAGGUUGUCGCGCCGGUCAGCCUUCAUUUGAUGCCUCACGGGCGACGGAGUGAAGACACCGCCGACGCGGGUCCCGCCCGCAUGCCGCCGCCCCGCCACCCCGCUUCGGCUAUAAAAGGCGCCCCCUUCCCGCCGGUGAGCGCAAUAGCCUCCCCCACUCCCUCCCGCGAAAGCCUUCUCCCCGCCGGCGAGCUCUCACGCCACUUCCCCCUGCCCGCCGACGAGCGAAACCAUGACGGAGAGAUACCCAGGCAACGGCGCAGCGGCAAAUGGCUUCGGCCGCCGGCACCUCCAGGAGCUGGAGGCGCGCCUUCUGUACGAGGCCGAGUACCCGGCGCCCCCCGACAUGCGCGUGUCGGGUUCGUGGAGGCUGAGCGUCGGAGGCGUCCCGGUGCCGCCGGUGCCCAAAGGGGCGGCAUGGCGGGCGGAGAUCGCCCGCAUCCACUCGUCGCUGACAGAGGAGCAGAGGAACGAGCCGAGGUACGCGCCCGAUAGCGAAACGCUGUGGACGUUGUACUUCGAGUGCCACCGCGAGGAGCAGAUCGCCUCCGUCAACGGCAUCAUCUCCCACGGCCGCCUCAACUCUGAAGGACGGCGUGAGUGGUGGGGCGUCCCCGACCGCACACUCGACGCCGUCGUCGACCACAUCGAGACUGACAAUGUGCCGCGGCUAGAGUACCCGGCGCGACCCUCCUUCUCUCGCCGCCGUGGCAGUUCCUGGAUGUCGCGGCGAAUGGAGCCGGGGUCGUCCUCGUCGUCGGGCUCCGGCUCGCCGACCCUCCGCCCCGCCAAGCCUGAGCCGGAGGGGGCACCGCUCGGGCGCCGCGCUCGCAGCAGCGCCCUCGUCAUCAACGAGCCCUCGCCUGCGGCGGCGCCGGCAAGGCGCUCCCUCCGCCUGGUCCGGCCGAAGCCCGAGCCGGAGAUGCUCCCCGUGAAGCCGGAGCACGCUGGCAUGGUGGCCCCCGACGACAAGUCCGCCCUCAAAUGGGUGAGGGAGGACUACGUCCGCGAACAGAUGCGCCACCAGCGUCGGGCGUACCUGGACACCCAGGCCAGUAGCCGCGCCGAGGCCCGUCGCCGCACCGAGGAGGGCGGCGUCAUCGUCAUCGACAGCGACGACGAGGACGAGGCUGGGCCGUCAAGCGCUGUCGGCGACCACGGCGAGGGAUGCAGCAGGGACGCUGCAGGCGAGGUGCGCGACGACGACGACGACGACGGCAGCGGCGGUGGCUACACCCACUUCUACAGGCUUCUCGGCAUAUAGACGGCGACUGUGGCGGCAGCGGCUAGGCUUUUUAGUUCGUUUUUAAGUUAGUUCAUGCAUGUUUUUAAGUUUUUGUACAAAUUUCGACAAAAAAAGGCCGAGUUCAUGCAAAAGUCGCCGAGGUUGCAAAAAAAUUAAAACGAGCUUCGCCGAACCCGCAGCGACCGUGGGCCUGUGACUGAGAGCGAACCGAACCCCAGGGGGCGAUCUAGCGCUGGCUCGCCCCCAUGCCGGUCUUUUGCAGCACCCUGGGGGCCGAACGGCUGGAGAUGCUCUUAGGGCUUCCAACAGGCUCCAGCGAGUUCCUUUCCAGAGAACUUUGUUUCUUGUAUCUCCACGUGGUGAAGCUCACGCACGAGGUGGCUGCACGAUCGGGUCAGUUCCUUUCCGGAGACCUUUCCUUUCCAUUGUGAAUUGAACUGAAGCGAUUGCUUUUUUACUUUGUAUUGCAUUGCACAAAGGUGUACACAUGCUUGAGGUUGCAUGCUUGAUCUGGAGACUCCCCCUCCUCCUCCCCCUCCCUCCCCCGUGCGGCAGCGCCGCCCCGCACCGGGGAGCCCCUGCCCUCCUCCUACAGCCGCGCCUCACCUCUGCUCCCCUCCGCCGUCGUCGCCCGGGGCGUCACAGGGCAAAGCCCUUAUGGCGUGGCGGCGACGGCGGUUUUCUCCUUGGAUCUUGAUCUGGUUGGGAGGCGGCGCUCCUUUCCGGCCAGAUCGGCGGCGGUGGCGCAGAUCGGCGGCGACACGGAUGUGGUACGGUGGCGGUGGAGGACGGCACCAGCAACGGCGGAUCUGGCCUUGACUCAGUCGGGCUAAUUCGUUGUGCUACCGAUCUUAAUCACCGUCUGCGGUGCACUGCUCCUCGACUUGAUCUGCAACACGAGGAUGUCUGGGGCGCCGACCCUAGGCUUGGUGGUGGUGGCCUUCUUCUUCAUCGGAGUUGGUCGGUCGGUUGGCUGUGCUUGCAUGGUCAUGGCGGCGGAGGUCGCAGUGGCUAGUGGCUUAGCCGGUCAGCGGCGACGGAACAUGGCCGGUGGCAGCGGCAAUGUUCUGUCUGGAUCCCCGGGUAGUGGCCCUGGAUGGUGGCGGCCGGUGAAGCUAGGGCUUCCCGCGGCGGCAUGGUGUGGUGCAGUCCCUGUCCAAGGCAGAUCUGUGACGGCGAUCUGAUCUACGGAUUGGUUCGGAUCAGAGACGGUGACGAGCACGGGAUCCAUCUCGGAGGCUCCCGCGGCUUAGCGAGGCGGGGUAGGAGCCCUCCUCCUAGGCUCUAGUGGUGGCACACUUAGGCAGUGGCCGGUGCGCUAGGGCUCCUACGGCGGCACUGUUGUUGCGGUUGGUCGCCGGAUCUAGGCGGCUAGAUCUAGGGUUCUGAGGGCGGUCGAGACGAUGCACAGGUUGUCAGGUGGACUACUUGUGAUGGAUCCGGGUGAAAACCUGGUCUUCAGUCGAUGGUCGGAGCCGGUGAUGACGAUGCCCUUAUCAUUGUUUUCUUCAUGAAGGCAUCAUCGAGGUGAAGCUCCCAGCUCCACUCAAUACCUCCGGGGAAACCCUAGAUCAGCUGAUUGGAUGUUGGCAGCAAUCAUGUGUCGUUACCCCCUUGGGGGCGGCAUUCUUGGAGGUGCACUCGUUCUUGCGGGACCAGCGGACGGCUUCUUUGGUGGAGCGGUGCUUCAUCCUGCACAUUGAUGGCGACGGAUCUCGGCGACGUGGCGCAGUGCAGAUUCGGCGUUCGAUGUGUUAGGAUGGACUCACGCAGGAGGACAACGUUGUCUGGCGUCGUGGUGGCGUCGAUGGCAGAGAGACCUGGCACGGUAGAUGCAACAGUACAACUCUAAAGAUGGACUGGUGGCAGGUGGCUGCGGCGGCUCAUACCCGGCAGGCGUCCUGGUUGAGGAAUGCGCCGGACUUGUAGGUGCCCCAUAUCCGGCAGGCGUCCUGCUUGGGACCGCAGGUCUUAGAUGUUUAGGUUUGACUGCGAGGUCUGUUUGGUAUUAGGUCCAGACUAUCAGCAUCCUUUCAUCAACUGGAUAGGAGUAGCGACAGAUAUUGCCUAGACGGUGGCUUUAGUCUUACUGUUGUAUGACUUUGUAAGGUCUUGUGUGAAUAAUUAAUAAAAUGAUUGCAUGCAUCGUCCAGAUGCAGAGGCCGGGGGCCCUCCUCCAUUUCUAAAAAAACAAAGAUGUACACUGUCUAUCUUAAUUUCUAAAUGAUGGCCGGUCACAUGGACGUGUGAGCAGGGGAUUGACAAGGCAACUAGCAGAAUUCUAUUACUACGAGGAGGCAACUGAUAAAGUAAAAAUAUUGUUACUCACCCUACUAUCAUCAGAUGGAGACACGCACGCAGAAUCCACUGGACAAGGCGACUAACAUAAUUCUAUUACCACGAGGAUGCAACUAAUAGAGUAAAAAUAUUGUUACUCACACGUACUACCACCACAAAAGACACACACGCAGAAUCCAGCUGUACUUAUUAACACGUCUAGCUACCUACGUGUGGUUUCUUCAUUUGUAAUCAACUAAUCAACCAAUAUAACUCCACCGACAUGUUAUACAGUACUACUUGUCACUCCAGCUAGGUAACUGCAAUGCUAAUUAAUGCAGCCUCCAGAUCUGGUUUGUUUCACCCAGCCUAUAAAACCACACAAUAUGUACCUUCAGUUCUCACACAACACACACACACAAAGCACAGCAGGUGCAACACUAACUGCAAGCACAAGAAGUAGGCAGCAAUGACGAAGCAUCGCCUCCUCGCCGUGCUCCUCAUCGGGAUAGUUGCAGCCUCCUCUUUCAACCAAGCAGCUACGGCUGGCCGAGGCCUUGCUGUUGUUGAGAAGUUCGCAGAGCUAGAGCCAAAGCCAGAACCCAAACCAGAGCCAAUGCCCAAACCUAUGCCACACCCAGAGUCAGAGCCCUGCAAACCUGAACCGCUGCCCAAACCCGAACCAAAGCCUGGACAGAAACCUGAACCAGAACCCAAGCCCAAGCCGAUGCCAAAACCAAAGCCAAAGCCCAAGCCCUGCUCCAAACCGAAGCCCGAUCCUAAGCCCGAGCCAAUGCCGAAACCCGAACCAAAGCCGGAGCCCAAGCCUAAUGAACCGAAACCGAAGCCGCCUCCUAAGUGCAAACCACCGACAGCUCACAACUAAUGGGAUACUUGUAUAUGACAGUUGAUGGAGGAGACCCCAUACGGAGCCACACUGUGCUAUUUCUAGAAUACGUGGUGUAGUAUUCCCUGUAUUCCAUUUAUUUGUAUUGUUCCAUGCAUGUGUGAUGAGUAUUAGUACUCUGUACUUAUUAUUUGCUUGUUGGUAUAUGUUCAUCUACUUUGUAUGUGACUUGACUCGUUGUUCUUUUGAGUAUCUACGCAUGAUGGUAUUCAUUUUCAUGAAUGAGCUAUUUUGUCAGUGAUCUGCAGUCUAUGUUGUUUUCUCUAUGGCGUGCAGUCUCAGUUAUUUUCUCUAUAGGAUUGUUUCAUUAUUAUGUGGUCUUUUUUGGCGGAAAAGAUGAUGUCAACAAAAGGGAAGAGAAGGCCUCCUAAAUAGCAGCACACAUAUGAAGUGUAUAGUGUGCACGUACGUGUCUGGUGUUCUAGGUGUCUAAAGUGUACUCAUACGCCAGACAGCGGUUUUGUUCUCUACCCUUCGCCUAUGAACUAAGUCCCGACCAGGUGCGUUAGUAUUUAUACCCAGGCUCUACGAGUGAGCUGGCUCCGUUGCUAGUUAUUCUAGGUAAACGUCACACACAUUGCUACGGAAAUUUAAAGCAAUGAAAUUAUAAAAAAUAGCAUAUAUGUGAAUAAUACCAUACAACAUUCUCAACGUAUGACAAUAGAAAACCUAGAUGUAACUGGAGGGUGGAUGCAUGUUAUAUUGUCUUGUGACCUUCAAGUUUAAUUAUUUGUUGUUGAAAGAUAAUAAAUAGUAAAAAUAAUGAGGUGAAGAGCUUGCGUGUGUUUCCUGAUGUGGAGGGCUUGCAUAUGAUGGAAAGUGAAAAGUUGAAUGAUUACAUGCACCCCUGAUGAUGUGGAGGACUUGCAUGUGAUGAAAAAUGGUAAGUGAAAGUUGAUUGGUUGCAUGUCCUUCAUGAUGUGAUUAAUUUUCACGUGCAUUUAAAUUUGAUGACUUACUUAGAUAUAUAGGAUAUAUGUGUGAAAGGUAACUGCACCCCCCCCCCUCUGGUAUACACUCCCUCCGUUCCAAAAUAGAUGACUCAACUUUGUACUAACUUUAGUACAAAAGUAGUACAAAGUUGAGUCAUCUAUUUUGGAACGGAGGGAGUAUGUGUGAAAGGUAAUUGCACCCCCUGGUCAAGAGAUUAGUGGCGGAACUACCCGCAAAAUAUUGGGCAGGCCGAGGCGGCCCAUCCUGAAGGAAAACACAUUUUUAUCUCUCAAACACUAGUAGAAAAGGGGGCAUUGGUCCAGGCCGGGUCAGCGCUUUAGUCCCGGUUCAAUCCAGAACCGGGACCAAUGGGGGCAUUGGACCCGGUUCGUGAGCCCCGGGGGCCGGCCGGGCCACGUGGGCCAUUGGUCCCGGUUCAUCUGGACCUUUUGGUCCCGGUUGGUGGGACGAACCGGGACCAAUGUGCCUUGCUCCUGGCCCACCACCACUGGUCCCGGUUGGUGGCAUGAACCGGGACCAAAGGCUUCCCUUUCGUCCCGGUUCAAGCCACGAACCGGGACCAAUUAAUUGCCUAUAUAUACCCCUCGCCCGCGAGCAGAGCACUCUCACUGCUCUGUUUUUCGUGGACGGCGAGGAGAGAGCUUUGUGGUGCUCUAGCUCACCUCCUAUGCACACGAGGUGUUUGAUGGAAUGCCCGAGGCACACUACUUAAGCUUUCUCCUCUCCAAGCUCGACCUCCAAGCUCCAUUUUCCUCAAUAUUUGUCUACGUUUAGCGGUCCGUCACGUCCCGUCCCCGUCUUCACCGUCGUCGAUCGCCCGCGCUGAUCUCGUCGCCGGCACCACCGUGGUGAGCCUCUUGUUCUUAUCUUCUUUCUGAAAGGAAAAAAAAUUCUUACUUGUAUGUUUAUAUAGAUACUUGUAUAAUUUUCUUACUUUUAUUAUUGCAUCUUAUAUAGUGCGAUGGUUUUGGUAUCCGCCCCCGUCGGUCCUCAUCCUGUCUAUGAUUCGGAUGUGGUAUAUAUUAUCUUUUCAUAACUAUUGGUUCAUCUAUUGUUUAUGACAAUUAUGCCGACCAACGUGACAUAGAUUUUAUUUAUCUAGGAGGUUGUUGAACCGGAAAUUCCAACCGACCCUAUUGUCGAGAGGUUAAAUUUAGUUGAAGAAGAAAACAGUUUCUUGAAGGAAAAAAUAGAAAAAUUGAGGAGGAGAAGAUGAUAUUGGAGUUGCAUGUUGCGGAUGUCGUGGAUGAUCACAAGAUCAAGAUGGAUGCAAUGCGCUUGAAGAUUAGAAAAAUUAGAAAAUAUGCCAUUCAUACCGAGGCUUGGUAUCAUUAUGCCGUUGGAUCAGUUGUUACAUUGGUUGCGAUUAUGAUUGCAUUUGUUUUCGCAUUGAAAUGUUUUACAUAGUUUCAAUGUAUGGUUUAAUUAAUUUACAUGCUCUGCAGAGCUUUAUGUUGUUAGAUGAGAACUAUGUAUGUACUUUGGUUUUAAUGUGAUGAUGAACUUCUAUUAAUUUGGUCACUUAAUUAUCUAUUCAUGAUGUUCUGUAAUGAUUUUUGACACACUUGAUUAUAUAUAAUGCACGCAGAUGAACCGGCAAUGGAUGUACGGUUCAAGACACACCUCCGAGUACAUUAAGGGCGUGCAUGAAUUUCUCGAAGUGGCUGAGGCAAACAAGCAGAAUGGUUUUAUGUGUUGUCCAUGCCCUAUAUGUGGAAAUACAAAGUCUUACUCUGACCGGAAAAUCCUUCACACCCACCUGCUUUACAAGGGUUUCAUGCCACAUUAUAAUGUUUGGACGAGGCACGGAGAAAUAGGGGUUAUGAUGGAGGACGGUGAAGAAGAAAAGUACGAUGACAACUAUGUGCCCCCUGAAUACGUGAUGCUACUGAAGAUCAAGAGGAACCAGACGAUGUGCACGAUGAUGCUGCAACAGGCGAAGCUGCUAAAGAUCAAGAGGAACCAGACGAUGUGCCCGAUGAUGAUGAUCUCCGCCGGGUCAUUGUCGAUGCAAGGACGCAAUGCGAAAGUCAAAAGGAGAAGCUGAAGUUCGAUCGCAUGUUAGAGGACCACAAAAAAGGGUUGUACCCCAAUUACGAAGAUGGCAACACAAAGCUCGGUACCGUACUGGAAUUUCUGCAGUGGAAGGCAGAGAAUUUUGUGCCUGACAAAGGAUUUGAGAAGCUACUGAAAAUAUUGAAGAAGAAGCUUCCAAAGGAUAACGAAUUGCCCGACAGUACAUACGCAGCAAAGAAGGUCGUAUGCCCUCUAGGAUUGGAGGUGCAGAAGAUACAUGCAUGCCCUAAUGACUGCAUCCUCUACCGCGGUGCGUACAAGGAUCUGAACGCAUGCCCGGUAUGUGGUGCAUUACGGUAUAAGAUCAAGCGAGAUGACCCUGGUGAUGUUGACGGCGAGCCCCCCAGGAAGAGGGUUCCUGCGAAGGUGAUGUGGUAUGCUCCUAUAAUACCACGGUUGAAAUAUCUGUUCAGAAACGGAGAGCAUGCCAAGUUGAUGUGAUGGCACAGUGAGGACCGUAAGAAAGACAGGAAGUUGAGAGCACCCGCUAACGGGUCGCAGUGGAGAAAAAAUCGAGAGAAAGUACUGGGAUGAGUUUGCAAGUGACCCAAGGAACGUAUGGUUUGCUUUAAGUGCGGAUGGCAUUAAUCCUUUCGGGGAGCAGAGCAGCAAUCACAACACCUGGCCCGUGACUCUAUGUAUGUAUAACCUUCCUCCUUGGAUGUGCAUGAAGCGGAAGUUCAUUAUGAUGCCAAUUCUCAUCCAAGGCCCUAAGCAACCCGGCAACGACAUUGAUGUGUACCUAAGGCCAUUAGUUGAAGAAUUUUUACAGCUGUGGAAUGGAAACGGUGUACGUACGUGGGAUGAGCACAAACAGGAGGAAUUUCACCUAAAGGCGUUGCUGUUCGUGACCAUCAACGAUUGGCCCGCUCUCAGUAACCUUUCAGGACAGACAAACAAGGGAUACCACGCAUGCACGCACUGUUUACUUAACACCGAUAGUAUAUACCUAGGAAGCUGCAGGAAGAAUGUGUACCUGGGCCAUCGUCGAUUUCUUCCGACCAACCAUCAAUGUCGAAAGAAAGGCAAGCAUUUCAAAGGCGAGGCAGAUUACCGGAGGAAGCCCGCCAUGCGUACCAGUGUCACGUACUUGCUAUGGUCAAUGAUUUACACGUAAUCUUUGGAAGGGGUCCCGACGGACUAGCUGUUCCGAGUGACGCUGGGGGACACGCACCCAUGUGGAAGAAGAAAUCUAUAUUUUGGGACCUACCCUACUGGAAAGACCUAGAGGUCCGCUCUUCGAUCGACGUGAUGCACGUGACGAAGAACCUUUGCGUGAACCUGCUAGGCUUCUUGGGCGUGUAUGGGAAGACAAAAGAUACAGCUGAGGCACGGGAGGACCUGCAACGUUUGCACGAAAAAGACGGCAUGCCUCCAAAGCAGUAUGAAGACCCUGCCAGCUAUGCUCUUACCAAAGAAGAGAAGGAAAUCUUCUUUGAAUGUCUGCUUAGUAUGAAGGUCCCGACUGGCUUCUCGUCGAAUAUAAAAGGAAUAAUAAAUAUGUCAGAGAAAAAGUUUCAGAACCUAAAGUCUCAUGACUGCCAUGUGAUUAUGACGCAACUGCUUCCGGUUGCAUUGAGGGGGCUUCUACCGGAAAACGUCCGAUUAGCCAUUGUGAAGCUAUGUGCAUUCCUCAAUGCAAUCUCUCAAAAGGUGAUUGAUCCAGAAAUCAUACCAAGGCUAAGGAGUGAUGUGGUGCAAUGUCUUGUCAGCUUCGAGCCGGUGUUCCCACCAUCCUUCUUCAAUAUCAUGACGCACGUCCUAGUUCAUCUAGUUGACGAGAUUGUCAUUCUGGACCCCGUAUUUCUACACAAUAUGUACCCCUUUGAGAGGUUCAUGGGAGUCCUAAAGAAAUAUGUCCGUAACCGCGCUAGGCCAGAAGGAAGCAUCUCCAUGGGCCAUCAAACAGAGGAUGUCAUCGGGUUUUGUGUUAACUUCAUUCCUGGCCUUAAGAAGAUAGGUCUCCCUCAAUCGCGGUAUGAGGGGAGACUGACUUGAAAAGGCACGCUUGGAAGGGACUCAAUAAUAUGCAGGGACGGAUAUUCUUGGUCUCAAGCACGCUACACAGUUCUAUAGAACUCUACCUUGGUGACCCCGUAUGUCGAUGAACAUAAGAACAGUCUGCGCUCCAAACACCCGGAGCACUGCGACGACUGGAUUACAUGUGAACACAUCAGGACUUUUAGUAGUUGGUUGGAAGCACGUCUCAGAGGUGACAACACUGUUUGUGAUGAGCUGUACUUGUUGUCCAGGGGACCAUCUUCGACUGUUACGAUUUGGAAAGGAUACGAGAUAAAUGGGAAUACAUUUUACACGAUUGACCAAGAUCAAAAGAGCACCAACCAAAACAGCGGUGUCCGCUUUGAUGCAACAACCGAGAGGGGAAAGGACACAUAUUAUGGUUACAUAGUGGACAUAUGGGAACUUGACUACGGACAUGAUUUUAAGGUCCCUUUGUUUAAGUGCAAAUGGGUCAAUCUGUCAGGAGGCGUGGUACAGGUAGACUCACAGUACGGAAUGACAACAGUGGAUCUGAAAAAUCUUGGGUACAGUGAUGAACCGUUCGUCCUAGCCAAUGAUGUGUCACAGGUUAUCUAUGUGAAGGACAUGUCUACCAGACCGAGAAAAAGAAAAGAUAAGGAAGCGAAUACAUCAUACGAUGAGCCAAAGUGCCACAUAGUUCUUUCAGGAAAAAGGGACAUCGUGGGAGUGGAGGGCAAGACAGACAUUUCUGAAGAUUAUAAAAAGUUUCAUGAAAUUCCUCCCUUCAAAGUCAAGGCUGACCCCAGCAUCCUGAUAAGCGAUGAAGAUUAUCCAUGGUUACGGCGCAAUAAGCAAAUGACACAAGCGAAGAAAAAGUGAAGACUUUCUCCCGCAACUAUUAUGAUGAUACCAUGCCAACUUUGUAACACACGAGUAUGAUACCAUUGUCCAUUUUGUACAUGCACAUGCUAUAUAUGUGGGUGAAUUUAUGAUACCAUGCCAACUUUCAACUUUUUCAUAUUUCAUUAGAAACAAAGCAAGAAAAAAACAAAAAAACAAAAAAAAGUGUUUUCAAAUUUGGAAAUUAAUGGCACUAAUAGAAAGUUUAUAAUUUUUCUAAAACUAAAAGCAAAAAGAAUUAAAAAAUAAAGCAAAAAACAAAAGAAAAUAAAUAAUGCAGAAUACAAAACAAAAAAACAAUUAAAAAUAGCAACAAUAAGUAUUUUGUUGUAAGUAGAAACAAAAUAAAAUAAAUAAAGCAAGAAAGAAAACAAAAAAACAAAAAAGUGUUUUCAAAUUUGAAAACUAAUGGCACUAAUAGAAAGUUUAUAAUUUUUCUAAAACUAAAAGCAAAAAGAAUUAAAAAAUAAAGCAAAAAACAAAAGAAAAUAAAUAAUGCAGAAAACAAAACAAAAAAGCUGGAAAAUAAUUAAAAAUAGCAACAAUAAGUAUUUUGUUGUAAGUAGAAACAAAAUAAAAUAAAUAAAGCAAGAAAGAAAACAAAAAAAAUGCCUCCUACUGGGCCCCCACGGCCUGAAUACGACUAGAAACCCUACCAUGGGCCAGGAUUCAGGCCCGCAGUAGGCACAGAAGGCCCAUCAGGCAAAGCAGUAGCAAUUAGGCCCGCAAGCCUACGGUGGAGAGGAGCUCGAGAGGGGUGCUGCAGUGGGGUUUAUAAACCACUGCGCGCCCCUCUCAACUAGCAAGGUGGGACUAAACUUUGGCCCCGACACGGGCAGCACAGGGUCCUUUGGUCCCGGUUGGUGGCACCAACCGGGACUAAAGGGCCUUUAGUCCCGGUUGGUGCCACCAACCGGGACCAAAGGUCGCCGCUUCCCGCCCUUUGGCUGCUGAAAAGAGGCCUUUGGUCCUGGUUGGUGGUACCAACCGGGACUAAAGGGGGCAUUAGUCCCGGUUGGCCUCACGAACCGGGACUAAUGCCCUUGAUAUAUAUACAGCACUUAGGAAAAUUUGACGAACACAUCGCUAGUUGCCCCCGGCCCGCCCGACGACGCCGAGCUCAUCGACGCCGCCAGGCUGCCCAGAUCGACGCCGUCCGCUGCCCCGACGCCGCCCACCGCCCAGACGUUGUCCGCGCGCCGCCCCGACGCCGUCCGCGCGCCCCCGNNNNNNNNNNNNNNNNNNNNNNNNNNNNNNNNNNNNNNNNNNNNNNNNNNNNNNNNNNNNNNNNNNNNNNNNNNNNNNNNNNNNNNNNNNNNNNNNNNNNNNNNNNNNNNNNNNNNNNNNNNNNNNNNNNNNNNNNNNNNNNNNNNNNNNNNNNNNNNNNNNNNNNNNNNNNNNNNNNNNNNNNNNNNNNNNNNNNNNNNNNNNNNNNNNNNNNNNNNNNNNNNNNNNNNNNNNNNNNNNNNNNNNNNNNNNNNNNNNNNNNNNNNNNNNNNNNNNNNNNNNNNNNNNNNNNNNNNNNNNNNNNNNNNNNNNNNNNNNNNNNNNNNNNNNNNNNNNNNNNNNNNNNNNNNNNNNNNNNNNNNNNNNNNNNNNNNNNNNNNNNNNNNNNNNNNNNNNNNNNNNNNNNNNNNNNNNNNNNNNNNNNNNNNNNNNNNNNNNNNNNNNNNNNNNNNNNNNNNNNNNNNNNNNNNNNNNNNNNNNNNNNNNNNNNNNNNNNNNNNNNNNNNNNNNNNNNNNNNNNNNNNNNNNNNNNNNNNNNNNNNNNNNNNNNNNNNNNNNNNNNNNNNNNNNNNNNNNNNNNNNNNNNNNNNNNNNNNNNNNNNNNNNNNNNNNNNNNNNNNNNNNNNNNNNNNNNNNNNNNNNNNNNNNNNNNNNNNNNNNNNNNNNNNNNNNNNNNNNNNNNNNNNNNNNNNNNNNNNNNNNNNNNNNNNNNNNNNNNNNNNNNNNNNNNNNNNNNNNNNNNNNNNNNNNNNNNNNNNNNNNNNNNNNNNNNNNNNNNNNNNNNNNNNNNNNNNNNNNNNNNNNNNNNNNNNNNNNNNNNNNNNNNNNNNNNNNNNNNNNNNNNNNNNNNNAUAUAAUGUUCAUAGCAUUUUUUUUAUUUAUAUAUGUUUUUUCAUAGAUGUAUUAAUUUUUUAUUUAGGUUGUUAGUAGAUAUCGAUUUUAGGUUAGUGCAUUUUAAUUAGGUUAGUGUAGAGGAAAAAGUAAAAUAAGGAAAAGGAAGAAAAGAGGAAGAAGGAAGAAGAAGAAGAAAAAGAAUGAGAGGGAAAAGGAAAAUAAGAAGAGGAAGAAAGGAGAAGAAGAGGAGAGGAAAAGAAGAGGAGAAAUAAAUAAGAAGAAAAAAAAGAAGAAAAAGAAGAGGAGAAGAAGAAAGGAAUAGAGGAGAAGAAGAAAAAAUAGAAAAAAUUCUAAUUUUUUUUUCUUCUCCUCCUCUUUUUUUUCUUCUUUUUUUCUUCGAUCUUCUCCUCUAUUCCUUUCUUCUUCUCCUCUUUUUAUUUCUUCUUUGUUUUCUUAUGUUUUAUCGGGUCUGUCGCCGUCAGGCUGCUCGCCUUCGCCCUCGCCGCCCCCUCGAGAUAACUUCGACAUGAGGGGCGGUCGAUAUAUAUACCCCCUCUCGACCGUGAUAACCUAUACAACGGCAGCACCCCCCUCGGCCCUCUCGCUCGACCAAAACUCUCGAGGCCACCCAAAUUUACCAAGUUAAAAGAGCGUUGUCGUCGAGGCCACCCCUAACCCUUGAAGCGUUGUGUCGAGGCGAUCCCAAACCCUAGAGAAGCAGCGUCGAGGCCACUAACAUGAUUCCUUAUUGUGAUUAGCUAGCUAGUUCUACGUUUGCCACUAAUAUAUAUCCAUCUGUACCAUGUUUGAAUAAUAAUUGACAUGUUGUAAAUAUUUGCAGAAACUAUGGAGCACUACCGAGACGAAGCACUAGAAGCGAUGUUGGGGGAGAUGAUCGCAGAAGGAACUGAUGUCAUUGCGUCAUUUUUCAACGACGUCGUUGGUCAGGAAGGACUGGGUGAAGAAGAGGGCUAUGUUCAUGAUGGCUCCGGCUCAUUAAUGCCGGUACAAGAAGAGGGCUAUGUUCAUGAUGGCUCCGGUGAUGACCCAAUGGAGGUACAAGAAGGAGACCGUGCUGACUACUCCGGUGACUGAACCGAGUCCAGCCAGGUAUAUAUAUAGUAGUUAAGCCCGUGCUGACUAGUUAAUUAAUGCAUUCAUUGUUUUGGUAUAUGUACAUAUAUUAAUUAUUCUCGGCUUUCUUCCUUUUAAUUUCUAGCCCUCCGGAUCGAGCACAACUUCGGUAAGGAGACGAGGCCCGAAGAAAAAGUUGAGCUCGGAUGAAAGGUUUGAGAUCAUAGAAAUCGCGCCCGACGGCGAACCGAUUGAACCCAUCCGGACAAAGAACGCAUUUUCUGCUCAGUGCGGGGUUCUUGUUAGGGACAAGAUCUCAAUCAGCAUCCAGCAAUGGUAUAAGCCUAAGGACGACCCUGAGGUGUCUUAUGUCAAUGAUAUGCAGAAAGAAGGUCUUUGGACUCAGCUGAAGGCAAAUUUCACCCUACCGCCAGAGGAGGAUCCGGAGAAGCCAGUUAAAGAGCAAUUAAUCAAGUCGUCUGCUCUUAAGAAGAUGGCAACCCUAUUCAGGAGGUGGAGGAAAGAGUUGAAUCAUUUUGUCGGAAAAAAAAGACACCAGAAUUCAUCGGCAAAUAUGAGAAGAUCAAAGAUCACUGGCCCGCAUUUGUGGCCCACAAGACAUCGGAAAAGAGUAAGAAGAUGUCGGCGACGAACAAGCAAAAUGCUGCGAAGAAGAAGCUUCACCAUCGCACGGGGUCAGGUGGCUACCUCAAAGCCCGGCCUAAGUGGUCCAAGGAGGAGAAUGAUCUGCUUGAAAAAGGGAUCGAACCAGAGAUAAUGAGAUGGCCAGACUGUUGCCGGACUUGGUUCUUCAGGGCUGGCGGAACCUUGGACCCUGUAUCAGGGAUGUGCCGUUGGACGGACGAGCAACUGGAAAUACCAGUCAAGAACCUUCGACACUAUAUCAAUGCAGCGCAGAAAGGGACGUUCGUACCAGACAGGGAGAAGGACGAGCUCACAAUGGCCCUCGGGAAUCCUGAGCACCCUGGACGGACACGAGGCACGACAGGCUCCAUUCCAUGGAAGGUUGGUUUUCCGGACGCAGGGGGUUACAAAACCCACGAGAGGAGGAAGAAACUGGAGCAGGGCCAACUGCAGGCGCUGCACGAAAGGGUAAUGGGGCUAGAGGAACGAGAAGAGGAACGAGAAGCAGCAGAUCGCAGCAAAUGACCUACCGAAGCUUCCCCCGAAGCUACCCCGCCAUCUCAGCGGAGAAGCGGCGUGGCUUCCAUCGAGCUUCUUCAGCCGGAGCAUGUCUUGACGGCUCCUGCCAGCUAUCCCGUGGAUGCUAUCAUGGAGUCUCAACAUUGCCACAUUAUGGCGCGAUGGAUGAAUUUGAAGGUCAAGGCGGCUGUUGGCUCUGUUUAUCCUAGUGGAUCCGGAGCAACUUAUCACUGCCGGCCGAUUCCAGAAGGAUAUGCUAAGGUGAUGGUGGAUAAAAUAACGGAGGGAUUUGAGGACCUCGUGCUUGACCACCCUACCGGUGAAGGGGAGACUAGGAUGGGUUCUGCUCUGAAGACUCCAUGCCUAUGGCGGAAGGAGCUCAUCAACCUUCCGAACUGGACGCCUCUGCCUCCUCCUCCUCCUCCUCCGGCGAGUCAGGGCACUCCGCCUCCUCCUCCGGCGAGUGACGAUCAGGGAACGCGUGGCGGCACUCCACCUCCUUCUCCGACGCGUGGCGGCACUCCGCCUCCUUCUUCGCCUGUGCCGGCGCUCCCGAGCAGCCAGCAGCCUCCUCCUUCUCCGCCUCGCCAGCAAGGGCGGAAGAGACCCGCCGCCGCCCCGGCUGCUCUGGCGCGUCGUACUCCUUCUCCUCCGCCUCGUAAGCAAGCACGAAAGAAGACAGACACCGCAGCCGCUCCGUCUGCUCCGAUGUCUAGCAGCACAACCAGAGGCGGGAGGCAAUACAGAUACGGUCCACCUCUCAAGCCUCUAGAGAAGUUACCAUACGAGAGGACCGAGGAGGAAAACGAUAGAAUUGGGCGGACCCACGUGAAGGAGUUCUUUGAAGGGGUGAAAGCAAAUAGACAUCCACCUCCGGAGGAGAAGGUAGAUCUGGUGAAAGCAAAGCGCACUAUCGAUACCCUGAGGAAACCACCAAAGUCUCCGCCGAGAACCAACUAUGAGCGCAUUACUGAACAGACAUAUCUCCAAGCCCAGCGGUCGGGAACUACUGUCAGUGCUAAAAGGUUAAAAGAACAAGCAAAGGGGAAAAAAUUGCCCAGCUCGGCGAACAAGCACAGCAAUCGUGCCCCCCUCUCAAUGUGUCUAAUGCUCCGGAGACGGUGGCCGGUUAUGGCAAUCUUGCAGAUUACCUGCCUGACGAUCAACUUCCUGAUUUCUUGGAGGUGGACGAACACAGAUACGAGUACGGGAAGCCUCUCGUCAAAGAUGAAAAAUCUCUGACAACAAUGAUGCGAAGAUUCCAUAAUUGGUACAUGGAAACCUGCAGAGAGUCUGGGGGUACGAAUGCUUUGUAUCUGAAUAUUAAAGAGGAGCACGACCUCGUUGCAAAUGAUCUGUUGACUGUUCCAUUUGAUGAGUUCUUCGCGUUCUUCAAUCAAAAGGCCCUCGAUAAACUAAUGGUCUUUUGCUACUGUCUGUAAGUACUAUUUCUGUCAUUAAGUCUCUAUAUAUAGCUCGUCUCUUUCAUUUCAUGUAUUUAUAAUUAAUUAUCCUCAAUAUAUUAUGCAGACUGAAGAUCGUCGAGUGCAAAAAAUAAGAAAUUUAUGAUAUUGGGUUUAUUAACACAAAUAUCAUAGAUGAAUUUCUGGUUAAAAAGGACGUCAAAGAGGCCGAGGACAACUUGCUACAAUCGUUGAUCAAAAAUCAAAACAAAGAUACCAUACUCUUUCCUUACAACGGCAAGUGAGUGUUACUGUCGUGUGCAUAUUCGGUUUCCCUUAUUACUCGAGCGAGGUUAUAGUAAUGUAAUUAAUGAGUUAUGCAUGCGUGCGCAGGUACCACUAUAUUCUUCUGGAGAUUAAGCUUGAGCGUGGACUAGUAACCGUCUUAGACUCGAGACGGAAAGAUCCCAAAACCUAUGCGGACAUGACUGAAAUGCUCAGCAAGUAAGUUCAAUCGAUCAUUAUCGCACCAUAUCGGCAACUUUUUGUUCAUUUCCUGAUAUCUCAAGUAAUAAUAAUUAUUUUCUUUGUCUUGCAGGGCUUGGAAACAGUUCACCGCACAAGCUCCGGGACUGCCGAAGGAGCUGCGAUAUACAUACCCGAAAGUAAGUACUACUGGCUAGCUAGUUGCGCGCAUCUCCCGUUGAUUCUAUAGCUAUACUUUCAUCAAUGCCAUUUAUAAUGCUUCAUUAUCAGUUUGAUUGACCUCUAUUUCUCGUAAAGUGCUUGUGGCAGGAAGAAGGGAAUGAUUUCUGUGGAUAGUACGUGUGCGAGUUCAUCCACAACGCGACUUUGAAAAACAAGUGGGGCUACUCUCAAAGAUAAUAUGAAGUGUGUAAGCAAUAAUAUUCACAAUUUAAUUUUAUUACACCAUCAUUUCUGUUGAGUUUCAUUCAUAUAUAUGUAUUAAUUAACCCCCUUCUUCAAAUUAGACGUGGCAGAUGCGGAAUGAACUCCUAGAACCAGAUCGCAUGAAAGCAAUUCAAGAGGAAUUGGCGGGAUUCUUUGUUGACCACGUCAUCAAUAAAGCCGGAGAAUACCAUGUGGAAAUUGAUUUCAAUUGCUAGGGGAUUGUAAUUAAGAGAUCUUAUACAUAUUGUACAUGUAUGUAGCCAGUAGCGUCGGAUACAUGAUAUACGAAAACUUGUUGUUCGACCAAUCUCUCGGAGAAGGAGAGGUCGAUCGAUCACUUCUCUCGGUAUGCAUGACGAACUUCUGUACUCAAUGGUUCUCUCGAUCACUUAUGUAUAUAUAGUACGUAGCNNNNNNNNNNNNNNNNNNNNNNNNNNNNNNNNNNNNNNNNNNNNNNNNNNNNNNNNNNNNNNNNNNNNNNNNNNNNNNNNNNNNNNNNNNNNNNNNNNNNNNNNNNNNNNNNNNNNNNNNNNNNNNNNNNNNNNNNNNNNNNNNNNNNNNNNNNNNNNNNNNNNNNNNNNNNNNNNNNNNNNNNNNNNNNNNNNNNNNNNNNNNNNNNNNNNNNNNNNNNNNNNNNNNNNNNNNNNNNNNNNNNNNNNNNNNNNNNNNNNNNNNNNNNNNNNNNNNNNNNNNNNNNNNNNNNNNNNNNNNNNNNNNNNNNNNNNNNNNNNNNNNNNNNNNNNNNCCGCUCCUUUCAAAAAAAACAAAAACCCCAGCCACUGGAAGGCUGACGCGUGGAUGCCUUUUGGUCCCGGUUGGUACCACCAACCGGGACCAAAGGCCCCCUGACUGGGCUCGGCGCACAGGGCCACGUGGAGGCACAUUGGUCCCGGUUCGUGUUUGAACCGGGACUAAUGGGUGGAGGUAUUAGUAACGACCCAUUAGUCCCGGUUCAUGAACCGGGACUAAAGGCCCUUACGAACCGGGACUAUUAGGUGUUUCUCUACUAGUGAAAAGGCCCAAGUUCAACUAUACUCUUUGAUGUUUUGGCUAUGGGCUGGGCCGGCUAUGGCCCAUCUGCCUUGCUUUAGCUCCACCAGUGGUCAAGACUAUCAAGAAAAGGCACCAUGAAAAUUACUAUAACAAAUUUUCUCUUACUCAACUCGCAAUAAGAAAAAUCUCUCGGUGAUAGUGCUAUGCAACAUACGAGAGACCAUAAUAAUCUCUCACCCGUCCCAUGGUGCUGGCAGGGUCAACUCUAUAAUUUUGAGAGCCCUUGUGUGACAUUGGCAAAUUGAUAGUCUUUUUUUCUUUUAUUGUGCAUGAAAACUCCUUUUAAGCAACAUUAUAGUAACCCUAAAACUGACAAGGAAAGUAAAUACAUAAGUAGAAUUUUAGAAAUCAGAGCACUAACAUUUAACAUGCUUCGACGAAUGGGUGGCUCUGGUAAUAUGGAUAUGGAUACGAGGAAUGAGAGGCCUAGAGAGUGACAAGUUCAUGCUUUGUUGUCACAGACACCCGAGGAGGCGGCAAGACACUCACGUCGUCAAGCUACGAGACAAACCUGUGAAGAUGAAGAUCACGAAUUACAAUUAGGAGAACUGGUGAUGCCAUGUGUCCAUGUCGCACACCGAUUAUGAUUAUUUUCCUUUUUAUGGACCAGUUCAACCAAGGCUAAAGGCCUAAAGCUUCUUGGAGAGCGUGUAUACCUUAAUUUUAGGAGAGCUCAUUUGAAAAAAGCCAGAAGACUAAAAAAGAAAAAUCAGGCCGAAAGUUUCCAUAACCAAAGUUGGCCCAUAAGCUUCUGGAAGCUUCCUAAAACCGACAGGAGGGAGCUUCCUCUCAUGUGAAUGCCAUAGAUUGGGCAGCCCUUUUAUAAUCUAUUGAAGGAAGAGGUGUGUGCGCUUUUUACCAAUAACUUGGAAACCAAUGCUAAAUAGCAUAUUUCCACUUUUAGCGCGGCGUAGAACAGAAUUUGACUAUAGAUCCACGGUAUGGGCAAAUCCCAACAUUUUUUCUAUAGGGGCAGAUGCCUCACUCUAACGAGUAGGAUUUUUUUGUUCUUAUUUUCACAUUUUUCUUUUCAUUUUUCCUAAUUUUCUAGAAAACGCUCUAUAACAUAUAUGGGUGAUCAUAUAGUUUAAUAAGUGUUCAUGUACUUUAAAAAUGUUCAUCACGUAUUUAUAAAAUGUUUUCAAAAUAUGAAACAUUUUUGAAAUACACAUGCAAUUACAAAAGUGUUCAUAUUUUUCUGAAAAUAUACACUAUGAAUAUCUUGAACAAUAUGGAUGAAGAUUUAUUUUAAUACAUGAUGAACCUUUGAAAUCACAAUAUUUUCUAAAAAAUACACAACGAUUUUUAUAUACACAAUAAACAUGUUUUUCAUACACGAUGAACAUUUUGUAAAAACAUGAGUGAACAUUGCCCAACUCCGAUGAGGGAGGGCCAAUGAUGGUAGUACGCCUUCGCCUUGCUCGAGUGAUUGUAGACAUCGCUAGGUGGUCUACGGACCAGGACAUAAGUUCUGUUACCUCUGGUGUUCUUGUACUGACAUGAUGGUUGAUAAGUAGAUCAGAUUUUUUCCGUAAUCUUAUUAAGAAAAAUGUUCAACUUGUCUUACAAAUUGUUCCAGAGAUUAAGAAAAAUAUAUUCGCAUUUUUCAAAAAGAACAGUACAUUUCAAUUUUUUCACAUGUUUAGAAUAUUGUUCAUGGCCAUAUUAAAAUAUUCAUGAAAUAUAAAAAAUGCGUUAUUACAGUUUUGGAAAGAUGUUUGUGGUAUAUAAAAAAUGUUCAUCAUGUAUUUAUAAAACAAUCAAACUUGUAUUAAAAAAAUAUUAUAUGUGUAUCUGAAAAUGUUUAUUAUUUUUAAUAAUUUCAGUGUGUAUUUGAAAAAUAGAAAAAAAAACAUGAAACAAUGAAUAGGAAAAGUAAAAGAGAAACCAAAAAUGAAAAACCUAAACAAACCCAAUAAACAAGAGAAAUAAAAAACCGGACAAAACGUUAUGAAAUCACAAGAAACAAACAAAUGCUACACACCUCCACCACUACUGGGCCACAGCCCACACCGCAUCGCCAGAGACAUAGCAUUUGCGCAAAAUGACCGCACGCAUUGAACAAACUGUCGGCUAGCUAGUUAUUAGAAAGACAUGUAACUUAAUUCAAACUCAACAAAAUUAUAGCUACAAUGCUUUGGAUCAUAGAUACAAGAAAUUACAAAAUAACUCAUAUAACUAAGAAUUACAAUGAAACCCUCUUGAGUCAAAAUAUGAUAAACAGAGGAAAAAAACAUUAGCACAUAUAAUCCUUACUCUAUCCGAAUAUAUGGCGGUGCUAAACUUAGCAACCCCAUUAGUUUUGGAGCUCCAGCUUCAUGGAGUCUUUUUUGGAAAAUCAUACAUGCAUAACUAAAACACACUCAUGCAUGAGGCUGGAGAAUCAGGGGCAUGCAGCAUCAAAAUAGGUUAGUUUGUCGGAGAGUUAGAUUUAAUAAUUUGAGACAUUACGCAUGAUAAAAUUGUCAUUGGUAUCUACCAUUUUGAAACUGUGCACAGUAUACCGGGCCAGAGGGAGUGCUUGAGAAAACACUGAGAGUCAGCGAAAACUCGGUCUACUAAGCAAACCAUGGAGCCUUGGGGCGUCCUAACAGGUGGUGAAGCUCACGCACGAGGUGACUGCACAAUCGGGCCAGUUCUUUUCCGGAGAGCUUUCCUUUCGAUUGUGAAUUGAACUGCAGCGAUUGCUUUUUACUUUGUAUUGCAUUGCACAAACGUGUACACUGUCUAUCUUAAUUUCUAAAUGAUGGCCGGUCACAUGGACGUGUGAGCACGGGAUUGACAAGGCAACUAACAGAAUUCUAUUACUACGAGGAGGCAACUGAUAAAGUAAAAAUAUUGUUACCCACCCUACUAUCAUCAGAUGGAGACACGCACGCAGAAUCCACUGGACAAGGCGACUAACAUAAUUCUAUUACCACGAGGAUGCAACUAAUAGAGUAAAAAUAUUGUUACUCACACGUACUACCACCACAAAAGACACACACGCAGAAUCCAGCUGUACUUAUUAACACGUCUAGCUACCUACGUGUGGUUUCUUCAUUUGUAAUCAACUAAUCAACCAAUAUAACUCCACCGACAUGUUAUACAGUACUACUUGUCACUCCAGCUAGGUAACUGCAAUGCUAAUUAAUGCAGCCUCCAGAUCUGGUUUGUUUCACCCAGCCUAUAAAACCACACAAUAUGUACCUUCAGUUCUCACACAACACACACACAAAGCACAGCAGGUGCAACACUAACUGCAAGCACAAGAAGUAGGCAGCAAUGGCGAAGCAUCGCCUCCUUGCCGUGCUCCUCAUCGGGAUAGUUGCAGCUUCCUCUUUCAACCAAGCAGCUACGGCUGGCCGAGGCCUUGCUGUUGUUGAGAAGUUCGCAGAGCUAGAGCCAAAGCCAGAACCCAAACCAGAGCCAAUGCCCAAACCUAUGCCACACCCAGAGUCAGAGCCCUGCAAACCUGAACCGCUGCCCAAACCCGAACCAAAGCCUGGACAGAAACCUGAACCAGAACCCAAGCCCAAGCCGAUGCCAAAACCAAAGCCAAAGCCCAAGCCCUGCUCCAAACCGAAGCCAGAUCCUAAGCCCGAGCCAAUGCCGAAACCCGAACCAAAGCCGGAGCCCAAGCCUAAUGAACCGAAACCGAAGCCGCCUCCUAAGUGCAAACCACCGACAGCUCACAACUGAUGGGAUACUUGUAUAUGACAGUUGAUGGAGGAGACCCCAUACGGAGCCACACUGUGCUAUUUCUAGAAUAAGUGGUGUAGUAUUCCCUGUAUUCCAUUUAUUUGUAUUGUUCCAUGCAUGUGGGAUGACUAUUAGCUCUGUACUUAUUAUUUGCUUGUUGGUAUAUGUUCAUCUACUUUGUAUGUGACUCGACUCGUUGUUAUUUUCAGUAUCUACGCAUGAUGGUAUUCAUUUUCAUGAAUGGGCUAUUUUGUCAGUGAACUGCAGUCUAUGUUGUUUUCUCUGUGGUGUGCAGUCUCAGUUAUUUUCUCUAUGGGGUUGUUUCAUUAUUAUGUGGUCUUUUUUGGCGGAAAAGAUGAUGUCAACAAAAGGGAAGAGAAGGCCUCCCUAAAUAGCAGCACACAUAUGAAGUGUAGUGUGCACGUACGUGUCUGGUGUUCUAGAUGUAUAAAGUGUACUCAUACGCCAGACAGCGGUUUUGUUCUCUACCCUUCGUCUAUGAACUAAGUCCCGACCAGGUGUGUUAGUAUUUAUACCCAGGCUCUACGAGUGAGCUGGCUCCGUUGCUAGUUAUACUAGGUAAACGUCACACACACUGCUACGGAAAUUUAAAGCAAUGAAAUUAUAAAAAAAUAGCAUAUAUGUGAAUAAUACCAUACAACAUUCUCAACAUAUGACAAUAGAAAACCUAGAUGUAACUGGAGGGUGGAUGCAUGUUAUAUUGUCGUGACCUUCAAGUUUAAUUAUUUGUUGUUGAAAGAUAACUAAUAGUAAAAAUAAUGAGGUGAAGAGCUUGCGUGUGUUUGUGGAGGGCUUGCAUAUGAUGGAAAGUGAAAAGUCGAAUGAUUACAUGCACCCUCGAUGAUGUGGACGACUUGCAUGUGAUGAAAAAUGGUAAGUGAAAGUUGAUUGGUUGCAUGUCCUCAUGAUGUGAUUAAUUUGCAUGCCCUCAUAUAUAUAGGAUAUAUGUGUGAAAGGUAACUGCACCGCCCUGGUAUAUAUGUGUGAAAGGUAAUUGCACCCCCUGGUCAAGAGAUUAGUGGCAGAGCUACCCAAAAAUUAUUGGGCAGGCCAAGGUGGCCCAUCAUGAAGGAAACACAUUUUUCUCUCUUAAAAGGCCCAAGUUUACCUAUACUAUUUGAUGUUUUGGCUAUGCGCUCAGCCGGCUAUGGCCCAUCUGGUCUUGCUUUAGCUCCACGAGUUGUCAAGACUAUCAAGAAAAGGCACCAUGAAAAAUAUUAUAACAAAUUUUCUCUUACUCAAUUCGCAACAAGAAAAAAAAUCUCUGUGAUAGUUCUACGCAACAUACGAGAGACCAUAAUAAUCUCUCACCUGUCCCAUGGUGCUGGCAGGGUCAACUCUAUAAUUUUGAGAGCCCUUGUGUGAAAUUGGAAAAUUGAUAGUCUUUUUUUUUUCUUUUAUUGUGCAUGAAAACUCAUUUUAAGCAACAUUAUAGUAACCCUAAAACUGACAAGGAAAGAAAAUACAUAAGUAGAAUUGUAGAAAUCAGAGCACUAACAUUUAACAUGCUUCAACGAAUGGGUGGCUCUGGUAAUAUGGAUAUGGAUACGAGGAAUGAGAGGCCUAGAGAGUGAUAAGCUCAUGCUUCAUUGUCACACACGCCCAAGGAGGCGGAGAGACACCCACGUCGUCAAGCUUCAAGACAAACCUGUGAAGAUGAAGAUCACGAAUUACAAUUAGGAGAACUGGUGAUGCCAUGUGUCCGUGUCCACACUGAUUAUGAUUCUUUUCAUUUUUAUGGACUAGUCAACCAAUGGCUAAAGGCCUAAAGCUUCUUGGAGAGCGUGUAUACCUCAAUUUCAGGAGAGCUCCUUCUCACCGCUUGUAGUGCUCAUUAGUGUCGUAGCGCACAAGAGCCCGCGUGCAUGUGCCAUCCACUAAAAGGCAAAGCGGUUGCUCACCUGGCCACCCACUAUACUCUUUUUUCGCCAGCCUUUUUUCCGGGAUUGCUCUGUUAUUCAAUGAAAAAGAUGCCACCGGUAUUCUAAAUUUGAAAAACAAUUAUGGUUUGAAGAGAAUGAAUUAAAAAACAUUGAAAAUUUUGAAAAAAAAAUCACAAAUUCAUUUUUCAUGAAUUUGAAAAAAGUUGAUUCAAAAAAGUUAGUGAAAUUUGAAAAACCAAAUCAUGAAUAUGAAAAAACCACAUGAAACUUACCAGCGCUACACCGCAAGAGCUAUAUCUCGCUUAUAGUGAGAUGGUAGGAGCUCUCACAUGAAGGGAAGCGCUACUAACCACUGGGCCACUGUCCGCUUCAUGUUAGAUUAGCAGGUCGCGACCUUAUUAAGAAAAAGAGUUGUAUUUCCACUGGUUUUCCAGGUUUUUUGUUUUGUUUUUCCUAGUUUUUUUUACGGUUCUUCUUCGUUUCUACUUGGUAUUACAAACUUUUUAUUUACUUUGUUUUUCUUUGUUUCUUUUUCUUUCACUAGCUUGUUACUUUUUUUCUUUUUUCUUCGGUUUUGUUGAUUUAUUUUCUCGUUUUUCUUUUGGUUUCCUUUUGUUUUCUUAUUGGGUUUUCAUUUUUUCUAUACACAUUUUCUAUAUAUCUAAUACAUUUUUCCAACACACGUUAAAUAUUUUGAAAAUACAAGAUUAAUAUUUAUUGAAUACAUGGCAACAUUUUUUCUAUACAUAUUUAACAUUUUUUUAAAUGCUUGAUUAACAUUUUUCAAAUAUCAGAUUAACAUUUUUUAGUACAUGAUAAAAAUAUAAUCUCAUUUUAUUUUUUUGUCAGAUCCUUAAUUAAAAAUUUGCAAAUACAAGUUUAACAUUUUUAAAAUACAUGGUGAAUAUUUUUUCUAUAAACAUUUAAUAGUUUUUCAAACGCUCUAUAAACAUUUCAAAUAUAAGGUUAACAUUCUUUCUAAUACAUGGUAGCCAUUUCUUAUAAACAUUUAACAUUUUUCAAAUGCUUGAUUAAUUUUUUGAAAUAGUUGUUUAUUUAGUUUUUUAAUGUAUGGAUUAACAUUUUUAAAACCAAGGUCACCUUUUUAGACACACAUUAUAUAUAUUUUGUGUACAUUUGUAGUAUACAUGAUAAACAUUUUCUCUAUGUACAUUUAACAUUUUUCAAAUGUUAGGCUACUAUUUUUUGAAAUAUUUUAUAUACUGUUUUUGCAAUAUAUUUAUUUAUAUUAUUUGGAGGUAUAAAUGAAAGAAAAAACGAAAACCAAAUGAAAAGAAACUAAAAAACGAGGCAGUAGCUUCCCCGUGCACUGGGCUGGGCCGUACGCUCAAGCGACUGCAAGGUGCUUCAGCGAGUCGGAAGGUUGACUAGAAGCGAGGUAUAGCCGCGCCCGCGCUACACUGCCUCGUCCGCUACUGGGCCAUGGUCCACACCGCAUCGCUAGAGGUGAAUGCUGUGUGCGCCUUGCAGUAGGCCAGACGUAGCAUUUGCGCAAAAUUACUGCACGAUUGAACGGCUAGUCAUCUAUUUUUUAGGAUGACCUGUAACUUUAUUCAAACUUGAUAAAAUUAUAGGUGAAAGGCUUUGGAUAAUAGAUCCAAGACAUUACAAACUAACUCCUAUAACUAAGAAUAUAAAACUAUUUUCUCAAAAAAAAUCAUAAUUUUACAAAUUUGAAAAAAGUCAUGACUUUUGAAAAUGUUCAAAGAUGGAUGCCAUGGAGAUAAACGUUCAGAGAAAUUGAACUAUUUUUAAGAGCCAUGAAUGUUUUUCAAAUUUUUAAAAUUUCCAAAUAUUUUUAAAAUUCAUUAAUUUUUUAUAUUUUUGUGUUUUUAAAAUUCAUGAAUAUAUUAUUAAACUCAUGAAGAUUGUUCAAAAAGCACAAAAUUUAAAAUUUACUGUUUAUUUUUCAAAAAAAUUGUACACUUUUUAAAAUCCAUGAUUUUUUAAAAUUUGUGAACAUUAUUUUAAUGCAUGCGAAUCUAUAAAAAAAAAUAUGAAGUCGGUUUUUAGCUAGCGAGAGUGAGAGAAGUGGCAACUGGGAGCGAGCUCGCUAAUGGGUCGUAGUGUGCCGUAUGCUCCACAUGAGCAUACAGUACUAAUGCGGACGCUCAUACAUACAGACAUACAUUUAUCUCUAUGAACGAUCGCACACACUACCUACCCCUAUGAGCACCUUCGAAUGAUUGUGUUGACAUAUAAUUUUGAGAUUGGGAAAACCACCACAUGCGCCUUCGUAGUUGACGGGAAUAUCUCCUCCCAGUGAACAAGCAUCGGAAGCCUGGAAUAAUACAGAAAAAUGAGCCGACCUGUGUUAAGUCUAGGACUUGAACCCUGAUGGAUUGGUUUCACUACGACGAACCUAACCAUCUGAGCUAGGCACGUUUCGCAGGAGUGCCUGAAGAUAGGAGCUCCCCAUGAAAUGAUCAAAGGCGAUAUUUUCCUGGGCAGCCUCCCAUCGAGCUUCACUCUUUCCUUUGAAAGACAAAAACACCGACAAGAUGGUCAAGUACUUGGUGUGCUAGUUUCAAGCAUGUGAUGUGUGUUAUCUAGAAGUACAAAACUACCAUUAUCUCUAGUUGUUGUAAUAUUCCUAAAUCUCUUAGGUUUCUUUUAGGAAAAAAAAUAUACUUCAAUUAGAAUUAAAAAAGGGAAUAUGUCGAUAUCGAGACGAUAUCAAUUACACCCGGGCCUAUGCAAAAAUACGGUGUCAAGGUUAUUCUCACUAGUGCAGAAUCGGGCAAUAGCACCGGUUCGUAAGGCCCUUUAGUGCCGGUUCCAUAACCGGCACUAAAGUGUGGGCACUAAAGCCCCCCCCCUUUAGUACCGGUUCAGCAUGAACCGGUGCUAAAGGGAAACCACGUGGCACGAGCCAGCUCCAGGGGCCUGGAGCCCUUUAGUACCGGUUGGUAAGAUCAACCGGUACUAUAAGAUUUGGGGGGUUUUUAGUUUUAUGAUUUCUUUUUCAUUUAAUUUUAUGUUUCCAUUUUAAUUCUUUUUCAUUUGCUGGUAUUUUACGAUACUACACAUUGUACACGAUAUAUAUAUAUAUAUAUAUAUAUAUAUAUAUAUAUAUAUAUAUAGAAUUUCUAGUAGAACCAAUCAUGCAUAUAUAUCAUCAAUUAAUGUCUCACAAACCAUCAUAUUAAUUAAUUCACACAUACACACAUGUAUAGCUAUAUACAAUUUCUCCUACAUAUGCAUGUUGCCUUCGGAGCCAGUGGCAUUAGCCUAAUUGGUGCCUUCGGAGCACGAUGACAAUUUGAAGUGGUUUUCAUGAGGGCGGUAGCGGGUAAUAGUAUUCUCCCUUCGGAUUUAUGACCUGGUCGAACAAAAAUCCCGCUAUUUCCUCUUGAAGUGCUUCUACGCGCUCCGUUUCUAGGAGCUUCUCCCGCACCUCUCUGAACUGUUAAGAAGGAGAUCAAUAUGCAUGUGUAUUAGUUGUGUGACUAGAUAUCGAUAAUGGUGUAAAAAUUGUGAAUAGUGUUUUGACAAGCGUACCCAUUCCUGUCUUUGAGAUCUUCUCUUUUCGGACGCCAUCAUGCGAAUGUUCUCGCAAACGCAGAAUGCACACAGAUCAGUCCCCUGCGCCUGCUUCAGGGCCUUUACGAGAAUGAAAUUUGAUCAGAUAAUAAUUAAUCAAGCAUGAUAAUUAAAGAGAUGGCAGCUAGCUAGCUAGCUAGUGCUACUUAAUUACUUACCUUUGGUCUUCCCCAUUUAAGCUUUUCUUUCCAUUCGCCUUCCGUGACGCUGAUGAACCUUGCCCAAGCCCUGCCCGCCGACAAAGAAAAUGAAUAAAGGGGUUAUUAAAUAGUUCAUAUCAUGAAAUGACGAACUAAAUAGGCCGAGAUAUAUAGUUAAUAAUGAUUGAAAUUACCUGUUGACUAUCUCAAACAAGAUGUUAUAGUCAGUUUUUUCUUUGAGUAGUGAGUCCAGUAUUUCAACUGUUCGGGCGUCAACUUUAAUGAUACACAAGACCCAGUGAUAUCUGCAUGCACACACGUUUGCAUGUCUUAAUUAAGCGGGCAUAUGUAAGCAAAAAUAUGUAGCUAGCUAGUAGGCAAAAAUAGAGAAUUUGUAGUACAAGACAGUGUGACUCACUGGAAGUUGUAAGGAAGUAGUAUAUCUUCAUUGUAUUUGAGGCGCUUCAAGAACUCUAGCAUGCUGUCCUCUACUGCCUUUUGAUCACGUGCAUCUAUUUUCCAUGUGUAUUCAUUAACGGUGUUUGGGUCAAUGAACCCAAUGCCAUAGCGUCCACCUUUUUCUCAUUUCAUACAUCUUCAUCCUGCAUAUAAUACCACAGAAAAGAAUAUAGUGAGGAUAAUUACAGGUAAUGAUUGAUCAAAAGGAUCACUACAGCUAGCUUGAGACUUAAAUUACAGAAAGAAAUCACUUACAGACAAUAGCAACUGACGAUAGAUUUGUCGAGUGCGUCUUGAUUGUAUAACUGAAACAGUUCAGAAUACUCAACGGACACAGCUUUCUCAUGGUAGUAAUGCUCCUUCUUGACAUUCACCAUGAGGGACAAUCGAUCGGAAAUCUUGGUAAUGUUCAUGUACCAUUGAUGCAAUUCAUACAUUCUCAUACAUUCUCGUUGGGAGGUUCUUGACCUUGUCUGGCUCGACCAAAGGUUGGCCCCGGACAUAUUUCCGUUUUAUUUCAUCCUCUCUAAGCACAGGCAUGGGCUCGAUCUCGAGGAAUUGUCCAACAGUGAUUUUGAGAACUUCAGCCUGCAUUAUAUGCUCCUCCGUUAUUACCACAUUGCCCACCUCAGGAACGUAAACUGUUUUCCCACAAUAAUAUUGGGCGCGCGUACUGUCACGUGUUGUUGGCACAACAAGCGAGGGGAUCGAUUGCGCCGCCUGUUCUCCCAGCUGGGGAAUGGUUUUCCCACAUUUUUUGACAGCUGCUUCUUGUUUGCUUGAUCCCGAGCUCGCCUCCUUAUGUAGACGUGCUCGAUUUAACUUCCUGAUGUGGCGCUCAUAGUCUGUGUCAACAGGCUUGGGAGCUGGUGGUUGAGCCAUACGAAUGAAGUGGUCAAUCGUUUUCUCAGGCACUUUCUCCCUUGGCGGCGGUGGCGGUUUCGGUGCAAAAUGGGCUUCCACCUCGGACUUUGAUAUGGCUGCGAUUUCCUCCUCGGACCUGUCAUAAGCCCUCUGCAGAAGAGGCGUGAGGCUUGGACCAUAUUUAUAUCGCUUGCCUCCGCCUGUACUUCAUGUACUACCUCGACUCGUACCGCUACGCAUCAUAGCUGCGGGGUGUCUCUUCUGUGAUUGCUGAGGCGGCGGAGACGGCUGGCGGGGCUGAGUUGGACGAGGAGGAGUGGCCGCCUGAAGCUGUGCCGGACUUGGAGGAGGAGUGGCCUGAGGUUGUGCCAGACUUGGAGGAGGAGUAGACGUCUGACGAUGUGGCGGACUUGGAGGAGGAGGAGUGGCCUGACACUUUGCCGGACUUGGAGGAGGAGUGGCCUGACACUUUGCCGGACUUGGUGGACUUGCAGGAGCGGGAGACUGCUGACUCGGUGGCGGACUUCGACGAGGAGUCGCUGGCGCGGUGUCGGUGGCCUUCAAAAGAUGAUGCAAUCCUUUUUCCAUAGGAUGAUACAAUGGUUGGCAUCUCCGAGAAAGCGCUUGUCGUCACCUCCAGGAUAGUCAAGCUCUAGAUCCGAAUAUGGGUCCACCACCUCAUCAACCAAGACACGAGCAUAGCCCGCUGGAAUCGGGUUGCAAUGGAAGGUUGCCUCGGGGGGAUUUGUAAAAGCAACGGCGUCCGCCACCUUCAUGGAUAUGUUCUUCAUUUUGACGUGUAGCUCGCAGCUAGUGUUCUCCGUGAUGUCAUCCAUGGGGUAUCUACCCAGCAUUGCGUCGUCCGGGGCGGAACCCACGCUGCUUCUCGGCAUGGAUGGGGCGGUGCUAUCCAAUGUUGGAUCAUUCGCUAGCUGCUACAGCUGCUGAGACCCCCUUUGCUGGGUAAGUGAGUCGAUCUGCUCCUGCUGCUGCUGGAAUUUGACUACCAAUUCUGCUUGACUUGCUUCUAGGCCUUGAAGGCGUUCAUAGUCCCUCUUCCUCUGCUCCUCCUCCAUCUUCCUCUUCUUCUCCUCCGCAAUCUUCUUUCUCGCACGGGUUCUGUAGUCGGUGUUCCAGUCUGAAAACCCCUCAUACCACGGAAUAGCGCCCUUGCCUCGUGUUCUUCCCGGGUGUUCAGGAUUUCCCAGGGCACGCGUAAGCUCGUCGUUCUCUCUGUUGGGCUGGAACACCCCCAUCGUGCCUCUUCUAUUGCAACAAGUAUCGCAUCGUCGGCUCCCUUCAGACUUGCCCUCGUCGAAACAUUGUCUGUCUUCGGGUCCAACUCCCCCCCCCCCAUGCGCAUAGAACCAAGUCCUGACCCUGGGGGCAGCUCUUAGUAACCGGAGUGGCACCUGCAUCCUCCAUCUCUUUCUCAGACUUAUCCCACUUAGGCAUUGCCACCGCAUAGCCACCUGGCCCCAGCUUAUGGAACUUAUCCUUUUUUCGGCAUUCUUCUUGUUUAUUCUCGACCGUUCCUUAGCUAAUUCCGAAUCCUUGAAUUUCAUGAAAUCGUCCCAAUGAGCACGUUGGUUCUCUAGUGUUCCCUCGAAUACUGGAGUGUUCCUUCCUCCCUUGACGUACUUGUCCCAUUCACGAUUUUUGUGGUUCUUGAAUGCAACCGCCAUCUUCCUAAGAGCAGCGUCCUUGACUUUCUGCACAUCUGCUUCUGUGAAAUAAUCUGGUAGGGUGAAAUGUUCCAUGAGAGUAUCCCAAAGCAGAUCUUUUUGAUUCUUGUCGACAAAAGUAACAUCUGGACGUGGAGCAGCGUCCUCUUUGCCUUUUUGUCUUUUGUCUUUUGCUAGCUCUCUCCAUUCUUGAAGGGAGAUCGGGAGUUGGUCCUUCACAAGAACUCCGCACUGACAAACGAACUUGUCCGCAAUCUUCUUAGGCGCUAAUGGUUCGCCAUUAGGUCUGACUGCCUCGAUAUUGUACUUUACACCCUCCUUCAACUUUUUGUUCGGGCCUCGUUUCGUCCUUUUGCCUGAAGAUUUGCUCGAUCCGGAUGGCUGAAAGAACAAACAUCGAUUCGUUAAUAUAUCUUCAAGUCAUUUAAAACAUGUGAUGAUCACCAGAUACCUGCUUAUAUAAAUAUAUAUACCUCGCCGGUCUUUGUUGUUUCAGGAUCAACAUGUUCUUCGUCAUCGUCAUAAUCGUAGUUCAUGACUUCAUCAAUUCGGUCGUCGCGAUCGAAUAUCAUAUCACCCUCUCUGGUGUUGUUUAGAAAUUCGGAGCCGGCAUAAUCUUCUUCAUUCUGAUCAUCAUCUGGCCCGCGUAUCAUAUCGAACAUGGUCUGUUCUCCCUCUCUGUCGGUAUUGUCUGCCAUAGCUUUUAUUUAACUAAUUCAAAAAAAUAUAUAAAACAAUUUAGUAUUCAAAUUACAUCGUCUCGAAUAAUAGAUAUAAUCUCGAAUACUUCGUCUAGAAUAAUAGAUAUAAUCUCGAAUACAUCGUCUCAAAUAAUAUAUAAUAUUGAAUAGUACAUCACUGGCUAGCUAAUUAAAGAUCGAAUACUACAGAAGAAUCUAGAACACUCGUGGUUCCUGCGGCGCGGGCGGUGGACACCCAAAGAGAAGGAACCCUCACAGGAUCAUAGCUGAAGUGAGAUCCCCGAAGAUACUGCCAGGUAUUGGAGAACCUGCCGCCCUCUAACGCAACCAUGUAGCGAUGGACGUGCUCGUCCUCCUCCCUAACACGGCGACGUACCACCUCCGGCGGGGCCGGGUCCCUCCGCACCGAAACUGGCCCACGCGAACGCCACCAAACGAGAUCAGGAUCGACGACGGGACCCAGGGCCGGGUUCCUCAUCAAGCGGCGCGCCCCUCCAGGCAGCACCUCCUAGUGCCAGCCCGACGGAGCCCAGUCCCGGACAUGGGGCGGCUGGACGUCGUCGUGGACGGGUCGACGGCGAGGAUGCGGGCCGGGCAUCGUCGAGAACAAAUACUAGCUAUAUGCCCGCAAAAAGUAACAUUUUUUUAAUGAUUGGAUUUUAAUAACUAAAAUUUCUAACAUUUCUAUAUAACACUAAUUAUGCUAAUCUAAAUAAUCUAAAUAACACUAAAAUUUCUAACAUUUCUAACAUUUCUAUAUAACACUAAUUUCUAACAUUUCUAUAUAACACUAAUUUCUAACUGAUUAAACACUAAUUAUAUCCAUCUAACAUGCAUUCAUACAUAUAUAAUAGUGAAAAAAUAAUAAUCUAAAUAAUCUAAACUAAUUAAACAUACAAAAUACGUGUGUGUGUACUAAUUAAACACUAAUUAUCUAAACUAAUUAAACAUACAAAAUAAUAAUCUAAAUAAUCUAAACUAAUUAAAGACUAAUUAUCUAAANNNNNNNNNNNNNNNNNNNNNNNNNNNNNNNNNNNNNNNNNNNNNNNNNNNNNNNNNNNNNNNNNNNNNNNNNNNNNNNNNNNNNNNNNNNNNNNNNNNNNNNNNNNNNNNNNNNNNNNNNNNNNNNNNNNNNNNNNNNNNNNNNNNNNNNNNNNNNNNNNNNNNNNNNNNNNNNNNNNNNNNNNNNNNNNNNNNNNNNNNNNNNNNNNNNNNNNNNNNNNNNNNNNNNNNNNNNNNNNNNNNNNNNNNNNNNNNNNNNNNNNNNNNNNNNNNNNNNNNNNNNNNNNNNNNNNNNNNNNNNNNNNNNNNNNNUAUAUAUAGAAGGCACCUUUAGUACCGGUUGGAGCCACCAACCGGUACUAAAGGCCUGUUUUGGCCAGGCCAAGCGGCGGGAAGCGACCCCCUUUAGUACCGGGUGGUGGCACAAACCGGUACUAAAGGCCCCCCCUUUAGUACCGGUUUGUGCCACGACCCGGUACUAAAGGGGGUGCGCUGGCGCAGGUGCGGUGCGGCAAGUUUAGUCCCACCUCGCUAGCCGAGGGGCGACCGCACUGGUUUAUAAACCCCCGUGCGGUCGCUCUCUCGAGCUCCUCUCCAAAGCAGGCUUACUGGGCCUACGUGUUCUUUGCAGCCAUGUGGGCCCACUUGGCCUUUGCGGGCCUGCAUCCUGGCCCAACGACAGGUUGGGUUUCUAGUCGUAUGCAGGCCGCUCUGGCCUAGUAGGCGGGCUUUUUUUAUUUUAUUUUUUGCUUUAUUUAUUUUUGUGUUGUUUUUUUUGUGUAUUUAGAGUUUCUUUGUGAACAUUUUUGUUUUAGGUACAAAAAAUUACAAACUUUCUGUUAGGGCUUUUUUUUAUUUUUUUGUGUUGUUUUUUUUGUGUAUUUAGAGUUUCUUUGUGAACAUUUUUGUUUUAGGUACAAAAAAUUACAAACUUUCUGUUAGUGCCCGUAGUUUUCAAAUUUGAAUAGUUUAAAUUUUGAAUUUUUUGAAAUUAGUGUGAAUCACUGGUUUGUGAAUAACUUAACUUUAAAAAUCAGUAAAGGCAUGAAAGAAUUUGUUUGCACAUAAAAUUUCUUCGCAUUUCAAAUGCCAAAACACAUAACUACCCUAACUAUUACAGAGAUUCCCCUCUCGGUGCGAAACACAGAAGAAAGUGAUGAUAGCUAGUGAAGCCGAUCACAUCCCAGAUCUUUGGUUGUGAAACUUUUUCUUCGCGUGUGUCUCUUUGCGCCGUAACCAUAGAAAAUCGUCAUCAUUUAACGGGAUGCUCGGGUCAAUAUUCACUGUGAAUGGAGCAAUUUCAUUAAACUUUUCAUAAUCUUCUGACUUGUCUGUCUUGUCAUCCACUCCCACGAUGUUUCUCUUCCCAGAAAGAACUAUGUGCCGCUUUGGCUCAUCGUACGAUGCAUUCGCUUCCUUAUCUUUUCUUUUUCUUGGCUUGGUAGACAUGUCCUUCACAUAGAAAACCUGUGCCACAUCAUUGGCUAGGACGAAUGGUUCGUCUGCAUACGCAAGGUUGUUGAGAUCCACUGUUGUCAUUCUGUACUGCGGGUCUUCCGUUACCCCGCCUCGUGUCAUAUUGACCCAUUUGCACCGAAACAAAGGGACCUUUAAACCAUGUCGAUAGUCAAGUUCCCAUAUGUCCUGUAUAUAACCAUAAUAUGUUUCCUUUCCCGUUUUAGUUUCUGCAUCAAAGCGGACACCACUGUUUUGGUUGGUGCUCUUCUUAUCUUGGGCGAUCGUGUAAAAUGUAUUACCAUUUAUCUCAUACCCUUUGAAAGUCAUUAUAUUCGAAGAUGGUAACUGGGACAGCAAGUACAGGUCAUCUUCAAUAGAGGUGUCAUGCAUGGUACGUGUCUGCAACCAGCUGGCGAAACUCCUGGUUUGUUCACGUGUAAUCCAGUCAUCAGACCGCUCCGGGUGUUUGGAGCGUAGCAAAUUCUUGUGUUCAUCCAUAUACGGAGCCAUCAAGGCGGAAUUCUGUAGAACUGUGUAGUGUGCUUCAGUGAGAGAAUGUCCGUCCAUACAUAUUAUUUGUUCCCCUCCUAGCAUGCCUUUUCCAUCCAGUCUGCCCUUAUACCGCGAUUCAGGAACACUAAUCGGCUUAAGGUCAGGAAUAAAGUCAAUACAAAACUCAAUGACAUCCUCAUUUUGAUGGCCCUUGGAGAUGCUUCCUUCUGGCCUAGCAUGGUUAUGAACAUAUUUCUUUAAGACUCCCAUGAACCUCUCAAAGGGGAAUAUAUUGUGUAGAAAUACAGGACCCAAAAUGUUAAUCUCUUGGCACAGGUGAACUAGGACGUGUGUCAUGAUGUUGAAGAAGGAUGGUGAGAACACCAACUCGAAACUGACAAGACAUUGCACCAAAUCAUUCUGUAACCUUGGUAUGAUUUCUGGAUCGAUUACCUUCUGAGAGAUUGCAUUGAGAAAUGCACAUAGCUUCACAAUGGCUAAUCGAACGUUUUCCGGUAGAAGCCCCCUCAAUGCAACCGGAAGCAGUUGCGUCAUAAUCACGUGGCAGUCAUGAGACUUUAGGUUCUGGAACUUUUUCUCUGCCAUGUUUAUUAUUCCUUUUAUAUUCGACGAGAAGCCAGACGGUACCUUAAUACUGAGCAGGCAUUCAAAGAAGAUUUCCUUCUCUUCUUUGGUAAGAGCGUAGCUUGCAUGACCCUGAUGUAUGUCGUCUUCUUCGUGCAUACGUUGCUGGUCCUCCCGUGCCUCAGGUGUAUCUUUUGUCUUCCCAUACACGCCCAAGAAGCCAAGCAGGGUCACGCAAAGAUUCUUCGUCACGUGCAUCACGUCGAUUGCGGAGCGGACCUCUAGGUCUUUCCAAUAUGGCAGGUCCCAAAAUAUAGAUUUCUUCUUCCACAUGGGUGCGCGUCCGUCAGCGUCCUUUGGAACGGAUUGUCCGCCAGGACCCUUUCUAAAUAUCACCUUCAAAUCCUUGACCAUAUCAUGUACAUCAGCACCAGUACGGUGGCGAGGCUUCGUCCGGUGAUCCGCCUCACCUUUGAAAUGCUUGCCUUUCUUUCUUACGGGAUGCCUGCUCGGAAGAAAUCGACGAUGUCCCAGGUACACAUUCUUCUUACAACUAUUCAAAUAUAUACUGUCGGUAUCAUCCAAAUAGUGCGUGCAUCCGUGGUAUCCCUUGUUUGUCUGUCCUGAAAGGUUACUGAGAGCAGGCCAAUCAUUGAUGGUCACGAACAGCAAUGCCUUUAGGUAAAAUUCUUCUUGUUUGUGCUCAUCCCAUGCACGUACAUCUGUUCCAUUCCACAGUUGUAAGAGUUCUUCAACUAAUGGCCUUAGGUACACAUCAAUGUCGUUGCCGGGUUGUUUAGGGCCUUGGAUGAGCACUGGCAUCAUAAUGAACUUCCGCUUCAUGCACAACCAAAGAGGAAGGUUAUACAAAUAUAGAGUCACAGGCCAGGUGCUAUGGUUGCUGCUCUGCUCCCCAAAAGGAUUAAUGCCAUCUGCGCUUAGACCAAACCAUACGCUCCUUGCGUCAUCUGCAAACUCCUUCCCGUAUUUUUUUUGAUUUUUCUCCACUGCGACCCAUCAGCGGGUACUCUCAACUUUCCGUCUUUCUUACGGUCUUAUCUGUGCCAUCGCAUCGCCUUGGCAUGCUCUUUGUUUUGGAACAAACGUUUCAACCGUGGUAUUAUAGGAGAAUACCACAUCACCUUGGCAGGAAUCUUCUUCCUGGGGCGCUCGCCCUCAACAUCACCAUGCUCAUCGCGGCUGAUCUUAUAGCGCAAUGCACCACAUACCGGGCAAGCGUUCAAAUCCUCGUACUCACCGUGGUAGAGGAUGCAAUCAUUAGUGCAUGCAUGUAUCUUCUGCACCUCUAACCCUAGAGGGCAGACAGCCUUCUUUGCUUCGUACGUACUCUCGGACAAUUCGUUGUCCUUUGGAAGCAUAUCCUUUAUCAUUAUCAGCAACUUUCCAAAUCCCUUGUCAGAUACACCAUUCUCUGCCUUCCAUUGCAGCAAUUCCAGUGUGGUGCCCAGCUUUUUCUUGUCACCUACACAAUUCAGGUACAACAAUUUUUAUUGAUCCUCUAACAUGCGCUGCAACUUCUUCUUCUCCAAAUCACUUGCGCAGUUUCUCUUUGCAUCGGCAAUGGCCCGACCUAGAUCAUCAACGGGCUCAUCUGAUGCCUCUUCUUCAGCUUCUUCCCGCAUUGCCGGCUCAGCUUCUUCCCGCAUUACCGGCUCAGCUUCUUCCCCCAUUGUUGUAUCAUCGUAUUCAGGGAACCCAUGGCCAGGAUAGCUGUCGUCGUCCUCUUCUUCUUCAUUGUCUUCCAUCAUAACCCCUCUUUCUCCGUGCUUGGUCCAAACAUUAUAGUGGGGCAUGAAACCGGACUCAAACAGGUGGACGUGAAUGGUUCUUGACGUAGAGUAAUUGCGACCAUUCUUACAGCCAGCACAUGGACAAGGCAUAAAACCAUCCGCCCGCUUGUUUGCCUCAGCCGCAAGCAGAAAAGUAUGCACGCCCUCAACGAACUGGGGAGAGCAUCGAUCAUCGUACAUCCAUUGUCGGCUCAUCUUCAUUACACAACACCAAAUAGACCAAAUUAAUACAAGUUCAUAAAUAAAGUUCAUACAACACUUAAAUGCAACAAACAAAUAACUCUCUAGCUAAAGCAUUUAAAUGCAACAACAAAUGCGAUCAAGAUCGCAACUAAGGUAACAAUUGAUCCAACAGCAUAAUGAUAUCAAGCCUCACUAUCGAUGGCAUAUUUUCUAAUCUUUCUAAUCUUCAAGCGCAUUUUCUCCUUCUUGAUCUUGUGAUCAUCGACGACAUCGGCAACAUGCAACUCCAAUUCCAUCUUCUCCCCCUCAAUUCUUUUCAAUUUUUAUUUCAAGUACUCGUUUUCUCUUUCAACUAAAUUUAACCUCUCGACAAUAGGGUCGGUUGGAAUUUCCGGUUCACAUACCUCCUAGAUAAAAAUAUCUAUGUCAACUUGAUGGGCAUAAUUUUUCAUAAACACGAAAUGCAACAAAUAGUUUUAAAAGAGAAUAUACCAUAUCCGAAUCAUAACAAGGACGAGGGGCGACGGGGACGGAUAUCAAAACCAUGGCACUAUGUAUAACAAAUAACGUACGGGUAAGAUAAUUAUUAUACGAGUAACUAUAUAUCCAAAUCACACAAACAUCAAUUUUUUAUAUAAAAUUUCAUGAACAAGAGGCUCACCACAAGGUGGUGCCGGCGACGGGACGGUGCGGGCGAUCGACGGUGGUUACGACGGAGAUUGAGAAGGCACUAAGUAAACCACACCUACAUAUGCAAACUAAGUGUUAUUUUAACCUCAAAUUGCAUAUAAAUCAAAUACUAGCACAUAUAUAUAUAUCCUCCCAAAUUACUAAACUCACAAAUUAAUAAUUAUAUAAAGCAUUGCAAGAGCUAAUCUAGCAAUGAGAGAUGAAAGGACAAAGUUGCUAACCUUUGUGAUCAUUUGAAUGGAUGGGGGCCUUCAAAUCUUGACAAAUUUUGGGCAAAAUGUGUGAUGAGCUCGAGAGGAAGAGGGGAAGAACAGAGCGAGCUCGGGUGGACGAAGGGUUUAUGUAGGACGACCUUUAGUACCGGUUCAUGCCAAGAACCGGUACUAAAGGUGCUGGAGGGGGCCCAGACUGACAACAUCCUGCCACCACUCUCAUUAGUACCGGUUCGUGGCACGAACCGGUGCUAAAGGUUAGCCACGAACCGGUACUAAUGAGAGCGGCCCGGCUAGCCGUUGGAACCGGCACUAAUAUAUACAUUUGUGCCGGCUCAAAUACAAACCGACACUAAUGUGCUUCACGUUUGACCCUUUUUCUACUAGUGUCUAGACAUCGAAGUUGCGCACAACUUAAUUAUUUUUUAAACAAAAUAAGAAAAAAAAAGAAUAAUAAUACACAGCGAGCAACCACAGCGAACGAAUGAGAGAAGUGGACGGCGAAACAUUUAUAUCAUAUCAUGCCUAUCCACUAGACUCAUUUGAUACCAGCAAGAAGUGCAUCUCCUCACAAGUCACAAAUAUGAUCACAUAUCACCAUAAGGCUCGUUGCCUUGAUAUUGGAAAUUUUGUUGUUCCUUUCUCUUCAAAUGCACGACCAAAAAUAGGAGAAUGCUUUCUCUUGAUUUUCCUUCUAUAUUUGUACAGUGUACAACUCUGUUUAUGAUGUAUUGGGGUUUUUCCUCUCUUAGUGAAUGAAACACAGGAAAGAAGGCAACGCUGCUGCAUUUUGCUUAAUUCACUAGAUCUGUGGGUUGGAUCAAUGCUAGGUCUAGCCGCCAAGUUACUUAACUACACACAUCUUACCUAUCCAUAUUUCUACGUUGAUGAGGUACGUACUAGAACAUAGUAAAAAGGACAUGAAAGGUUGACACAGGGUUAGCAAAAGGAAAGCGUGAGCAGUCCAACCAUGCAAGCCAAUCAACGGGAACAUACGCCGGGCUGGAAUCCAUGCCCUACUGCUACAAUGAAAAUAAUUAGUGAGGGCCGGAGUGAAGGGUAGAAAAGGGCCAUGGUCCUUGUGAAAGAAACGGAUGGGGAGUCAUUUUCGUGUGCACCACUGGUCCUUGCGACAAGAGGAUGCCCGUAGCUAGAGCUGACCCUCCCCACUAACGCUACUCCACUACUGUCUUUGUCAUAUCUAUGUUUGUAUGCAUGUCGGUCUGUACCUACCGGCAACACUGCUCAGCACGCCACACAACAGUACAAUACAUAUCACAUCUAUACAUCUUAGGUAUGGGUGCCCCUACAUAAACGUGUGGUGUGGCGUGAGCAAGGGACAAGGCAACUAACAGAUUUUUCUGUUUGCAACAGGGUGCAACUAAUAGAGUUGAAAUAAUGUUACUGGAUAUGUUGCUGUGCCGAUCCACACACGCACCGACGGCACUGGUUUACAGGGAUUGUUGCACACGCGUCCGGGUCUGAUUGGCUCCUCCACCCUAUAAAACCACACCGUAUGUAUCUUCACUUCUCCACACAGAGCACACCGACCCACCAUCCAUCUAUCCAUCCAUCCAGGCUAGAAGCAGCGGCCAACAAGUGCACCCCUAGCUGCGAGCACAAGGAGCUGGCAGCAAUGGCGAGGCAUCGCCUCCUUGCCGUGCUCAUGCUCCUCGUCGGGGUAGUGGCAGCCUCCACUUUCCACCAAGCGGCCGCCGCUGGCCGGGGCCUUGCUGUCCUCGAGAAGUUUGCGGACCUGGAGCCAAAGCCAAAACCCAAACCAGAGCCAAUGCCCAAACAAAUGCCGAAGCCUGAACCAGAAUCAAAACCAAAGCCCAAGCCGAUGCCAAAACCCGAACCCAAGCCCAAGCCGAUGCCCAAACCUGAACCAAAGCCAGAGCCCAAGCAUAAACCAAUGCCUAAGCCAGAGCCCAAGCCUAAACCAAUGCCUAAGCCGGAACCGAAGCCUAAACCUGAACCAAAACCAAAGCCACCACCAAAGCACAAGCCGCCAACAGCUUACAAUUGAUGGGAUACUAUAUAUGCAAACUGAAGGAUCGAGGAGAUCAUGGCCAGAGCCACAAUCGCGAUAUUUCUAGAAUAAGUGGUGUAGUAACAAUGUCAUUCUAUCCGGCUAGCUCCAUAGUGAUGCAUCUUUCUGUAUUCUAUGUAUUUCGUUACAUUUACAAAGUUUCUGUUUCAUGUACCCAUGAUGAGUAUCACAACCUUGUAAUUGUUAGCUGCUUGUUGGUGUACGUUCAAUUUUGUACGUGACUCAUUGUUCUAUUUGUGUAUCUAUAUGCAUGAUUUUAUUCAUUCGCAUGAAUGAGUUAUUUUGUCCAGGGGACCGCAGGCUAU